GCAGGAGCUAGAGAGUAGUGAAGGAUGAGUCUGUAUCUUUGGCUGAGCAUGAGAAGUACCACUUGGCCUGGAUAGGCCACACGAGUUGGAGCUGAGUGGCUGAGGAGUCUGCACUGGUUUUGGGUAAAAAUGGGUUGUGCUGGAUUGGUUGCAUGAGCUAGAACUUAGCUGUUGUUGAGUCUCUAGUUUUGGCUGGACAGGGGAUGAUACAGUCGUGCUGGAGAGGCCACAUGAGCUCAAGUUGAGUGGCUGAUGAGUCUGCACUGGUUUUGGGUAAAAAUGGGUUGUGCUGGAUUGGCUGCAUGAGCUAGAACUCAGUUGUUGGUGAGUCUCUAGUUUUGGCUGGACAGGGGAUGAUACAGUGGCGAUAGAGAGGCCACAUGAGCUCGAGUUGAGUUGAUGAUGAGUCUGUAGUGUUGGCUGAAGACGUGAUGCACCACUUGUUUUGGAGUGGGUGAAUGGGCUAGAGCUAGAGUUAGAGCUAGAGCUCAGUGGAGGCGUAGGAUGAGUCCGUAGAUUUGUCUGCAAUGUGUAGUCCCUACAUGAUCCUAAGCUCGGUGGAGAAGUAAUUGGAUUUGGUUGCAACGCAGGCCUUGAGCUUGAAGAGUUGGUGUCUGAGCCCAAUUUCGGUGGAGAAAUCAGGGGUAGUUUUUCACUUGGCUUCUUUUUAUCAUCUUUUUCACCCCACAACCAGCGAAUAAUAAUGGAGAGAAUUUGACCCAUUGAAUCACCCGUCCCCCUUCUUUUUCUUCUUUUUCUUCUUCUUCUUCAUCUAGGAGCCUGUAAACAUAGAAAUGUCCCUUGUCAUGAAAACCAUGCGGGCGUCCACUGCAAUGUCAAUGGAAUUGACAAAGGUCCGACCAACAUUGCAUUAAAUUUUCCUUGUCUGACAAAUAAGAUAAGGGAUGCCUCUGCCACUUACUGUUGAGAAAUAUAAGAAGAUAUUUCCCACAAAGCCUAUCAUGUUAACAUUCAAGUCAUCCCACAUCGAAAUAAGCGAGAGGCUUUUCGGUCUCAUCUCAUGUGGGUUUCCUCGUAAAAAGGGUUUUACCAUAUAAGCACUUUUGCUCAUUGUUCUAUUUAUUGUUUGAUUUUUCUUUUUAUUAUUAUAUUUUCAAAUUAUCGUUAUAAUAUCAUUUCAUAACACAUUAAAAAUAUAUUUGACAAUGAUUUUAGAAAAUAUCUUUAUUCUUUCUAAUACUUGUAAAAUAAACAUUUUUAAGUAUUAGAAAAACCAAAAAUACUUUCUAGAAUUAGUACCAAACAUAUUCUAAAUCAGGUAUCAUUUCAUAUCCCAUCAUUGUAGCCUGCUCGACUACUUCAACUCCCAAGCCUUUCUCCUCUGUUUUGAAUGUUGAUUCCAUAAAUGUCUAGUUUCCAGUGAUGUAGGGUUGCGUGAGUCUUUCUCUGCCAUAUCAGACCGAGACAUUAAUAGUGGGAUUCUUUUUUUCUUUUCAAACCAAUAUGACUCAAAUGCAACAUUCAUUGUAUUCGGGAUUCAAAUUGUCAACAAAUGAACCAAAAAUCAUCUUCACAGCCAAAUCUACAACUACUAAACAUCUUUUCCCUGUAAAACUAGUAAAAUUUUCAUCCAGACAUGUUGAUUAACUAUAGAAGAACAUGCUUCUGCAUCAUCCCCAUCUAAGUUCAGCAUUUUAGCAGAAACUCAAUAUGAAAAAACAGAAUGACAGAAAGGGUAAAAGGGCGCCAAUAUCAAUACCAUGAAUGCAGAUGAGCUUGUGGAUGAUGAGAGUUUUGUUGAGACCAGAGAUCAAAGCUCCCAAAUCAGAGUUUUCCCACCAAAGAUCGGACGAGAUCAAACACUAGUGAUGCUUGGCUUGCAGGAGAUCCAUCAGUGUUGGGUGUGAGAGAUGAGAGUUGUGUUGAGAGUGAAGGGGGAGCAAUAUCAGAAGGUAAAGAAGUUUCCCAUGAUUCGUACGUCCAAAGACUUGGUUGGACUUGGCCAUUUUUAUGCUACGUGGAGGCACUCUAUUCGGAUUGAUAAAAUAAAAGAAAAAAAUUAGGAAAGAAGUCCAUUUCAUCAAAGAAUUUGAUACCCAAAGUCAUGGAAGUAAUUAAAAGAGACUGAUGAUGAUGAUGGUUGUACCAAACAGCAUUUGAUACCCAGCCCACCAAUCAUAAAAUUCAGUGACAUGGGAGUGUAUAAAGCAAAAUAAGUUAUACUAAAAUUAUUUUAAAAUACUUUAUAUUUCCAAAUAAUCUUUUAUUUGGGGAAAUGAAAACAAAGUUGAAGAAUUAUUCUAAAACAAUUUAUUCAUUUUAAGAUUUUUUUUCUUUCACUUGGUAAAUAUAUCAUAAUUUUAAAAAUUAUUCUAUUAUUUAAUUUAUAUUAUUUAAUACUUAUCAUUAUAAAAAUAAAUAUGCACUUAAAUAUUUAUAAAAAUAAACAUUACUUAUUUUUCGUAAAAAUUUUCAUAAAGCUUACCGUUGGUCUAGUGAUGCCAAUCUCUUUGUUUAUUGCUGCCUUUUAGGUUUGAUUUCUCAUACUCCUCUUUUCUACAUAUACCCAUCCCACAUUGAAAACUUAUACAAACAUUUCCUCCCAUAGAUUACAUAUGAGCUUGGCAUAGAAAUUAGUUACUUAUAAUGUGGCCCAUCAAAAUAAAUGUAUUUGGGUUGUACAGCUUUUAGGGCUACAGAAGGUGUUAAUUUUGUCGAUCCAAUUUUGAAAACAUUUAGAAUCAAUAAAGAGGGGUUCACAUUUUCCGUACAAAAAUAUUCUUAAUUUUUGUGUAUUCUUUGAUAAAGAACUCUAUGUAUUUUCAAUGAAGUUGAGAUCGUACAACAUAUUCUUAAUUUGAGGCACUGACAUAUUGUGAACCCUGCAUUUCGGCUCAUGCGCUUCCACUCGAAUGGCGUGACUCGUUUUUCUAUUUUGAAAAAAUGAUUUAUUAUUAUUUAUUAUUAUUUUUUUAGAAAAUGACUUGGAGUCGCUAUUUAUUUUUGUUUUAUUUUUAAAGGGUAAACAAAAUAAGAAAGAAAAACUCUAAGUGUGACUCAUUAUUUGGAAAAGGUAGUCUGUGAAAACCAAAAAUGGGUUCGAGGGUCAGGUUACUUAUCAGGAAUGUACGAUAAAGACCGUAGCACCCCACUAAGUCCCUAAAAACGGGUUCCUACUAAUAAAAUGAAGCAAGUAUGAUAAUUGAUAAGUAAAUCAAUGGAUACCGAAUGAAAAUCAAAACAAAAUACUCAAAUGAAUACGAGAGGCCAAGAACAUACCUAAGUGAGGAACUGAUUUAUUUCAUGGGAAGCAAAGGUUAGUGAACAAACAUAGGAUGAUUAUGUGCAUAUCAUGGAACAAAGUAAAUCAAUUAUGUAAAGCAAUCAGAUUAAUCAAUCAAUCAUAAAAUCAUGUAUGUGGGGCCCCCCACCAAGGCCGGAUUUAUCUUAGCAUAGAUUAACUAUAAAUUUCAUUAUUUGAAAUUAUAAGAUUAUUCAUGCUUAUUAAAAAUGUGAAAAUCGAAAAAUUAUUAAAGAUCGAGGAGAAUUUAUGAAAGGUGACUAUCGGGGAGAAAUAUGGCAACCUAGUUUAUUAAGGAGCGGAAAAUAUUUAAAAUCAAUGAAAGAAAGUAAAAAUAAAAUGAAAAUAAAAUAAAAAUAAAUAAAUAAAGAAAAAUAAUAAUAAUAAUAAAAGAUAAAAUAAAUGAAAUAAAAUAAAAAUAGAAAUGAAAAUGAAAAUAAAAAUAAUAAUAGUAACAAUAAUAGGAAAUAAAUUAGCAAAAUGAAAAAGGCACGCCCCUGAGGAAAAUGGCAAGAGUUGAUUUGUUAAAAUUGGAUUUAUUUAAGAUCAAGAAAGAAGGAGAAAUGAAGAAUUAAAAUCAAGUAAAAACGAGAUUUUUUUGGAAAUCCAUUUUUGAAAGUGUGCAUGAGAAAAGAGGAGUGUGGGACACGUGGGAAUUGGAUGGGCAAGUGGUGGAAGUGAAUACUGGGGGUUUAAUUGAAUGCAGAUUCAUAAUCUCAGUACUGAUUCCAUCCUUUGCAAGAAUAUCAGCAGCCUUGAGUGCUAGGCCUCCCUACCCAUUGUCUUUAUAGUCCACCCAUGUUGUUUCUCAAAUCUGUACCUCUCUGAAUUAGUCGCUUUUUGUGCAUCGGCUACCCCACUCAGCAAAGGCCGCUUAAAAGUUGUUCUCAUCAUGUACUCAGCAAAAAUUUCUUGGUCAAUGGCAGAUGGGUUUUUGUAAUAAUGAGAGGUGGAGAUGAGAAUGGCGAGGGCGUGAACAUGGUUAACACUAACGCUGAAUUGAUCUUGCAACACUCUCUCUCUCACUGAUCACACAUGCUCAUAGGCACUUCCUCCUUUCUUUCCUUGUUAGCAGAAUCCAUCUCAUUGUAGACGAAGUUACUGGAAACGGCCAUCAACAUGAUCCAGAACACCAGAAAUUUUCUUUCUCAGCUAGUUCUCUUCUCCUUGCUCUCCCCUCCUUCUCAGUUUUUCCAUUUUUCAUCACUCUCUGAAAAGCUCCCUCUAAAUCUUCGCCUCUCAAGCAACCUCCUUCCCUUUCUAUCUCUUCUUCCUCGCUCAAAAGACCCUCAUUCUCCAGCUGAUCUCUUCCCUCUCUCUAUCUCCUGCUUCAAAAUCUGAAUAAUCAUGGAUUUCUCAAUCAACCCGUGUUUUCAAGGAGUUGAGCACACCAUACAUGUUCUAAACCUGACCAUACUGCCUCAAAAGGGUAAUCUCCUACUCCGCCUCGUUCUUCAUCUUGGCCCUGUACUGGUAAGGAAUGGCAGCAACCCGAGCCCAUAGUACAAACAUAAACGCAUAACUCAAGGCAAAAACAGGGACUGCAAGUCCAUUCAUGAGGGGAAUCGAGUUGUCUGCAAUUGAUUGAAGCUGUUUAGCCGCUGACCAAGAGCAAGAUACACUCCAUGAAAGAGAUCAAGAAUGCCCAGGCGGGUGAUGUCGUUGAUACUUGCUGGAUUGAUGAUGCCCAAAUGACUGGUUACAGGUGUGAAAAAAAAAGACCCAGUUUCCUUCUCAGACGCGAGAAACAUGCUCAUGUCGAUCAACAAUUCUUCUUCAAGCUUCGGAACGCAGCAUCUGUGCCUGUGUGCGUGAGCAGUAGGCUAAGGAAUUCAGACAUUAUGUGUGUUGUAUUAUUGAUGCCGAGGUGAGACACUACUUUUAUUAUUGAUCAUGUGGAAUGAAGGUACGUGAAUGGGUGAGGUCACUCCGGGGUUAUUUUAGGUUGAUUGAUGGUCAUUAUCUGAAGAGCAUGCUAGUGGGAGAAAUGAGAAUGACGAUCUGGGAGGGAAUAUGAUGGGUUAUAAGCUGAGGAAGGGGCAUGAGGAGGGACUAGCGGGUAUGGAGAUGAGGAACGAACAGGUGGUGGCGAGCAUGUUAAUGGGUAUGAUAGGUGUAUUGGGUAUGGGUGUGAUCAGUAGAGUGACUUGUGGAGAGUAUAGCAUGGGGAAUGAGUAAAAAAAGAAUGGGUAUGCCGAUGGCUUUGAUGGGUAUGAAUGUUUAGAAGACGGUAAGCUGGUCAUGACGUCCUAGGCGAGAAUGGUUUGGCCUGGUACUCAAAUUUGAUGGAAUGGAUUUUGGAUGGAAAAGUUUGUGAAGGUAUGUCUAGCCAUGCACGGCCAUGCAUAGGCGCGCCCAUUUCAUCUCAAUGUCCAGAACUGUUCCUGAGAUUUCCUGGUAUCUCUACCCAAUGAUGGCGUCACCUACCACAUCUGGACAACUCUCCACUAUUAUUCACUUGAACCAAAACCUUCAAAUGCUUUCUUCUCAUUAUUUACACCUUCAACCAUGGCCAGAUUGAGGACUGUAGCCAGGAGCUGUUUCAUCUUAUUGCUCCGCAAAUGCUCAAUAAAAUACCAUUCAAUGUCUUUUGGAAGCUGUGGUGCUCUUUCAUUCAUCUCCUGAACGUAGCUUUCGCCAAAACAACGGUGACCAACGUCGUGGACUUGCCAGAUGUGAGAGACUGGUUUAGUUCUUGAGACAGCCAUAACGCGGACUUGAUCGGACCGACGAUCUGACCUCUCUGCUGUUUGACGAACACGGAAUAUGACGGACCGGAGCGGCCUUGCCAGAGUCAUUUUACAAGCUGGAACUAUAUGGUCAAUAGACAAAUUCUUGAAACUUGGGGAAAAAGAAACAGCUCUGAAAUCCAAGUCUCAGACCGAUUCCCCAACACUGUUUUCCAUAAUGAUCCUUGCAUGCUCUAACAAGAUCAUGCAUAAAGCUGCAUGCCCAGUAGGCCGUAUCAUGAUUGCUGAAUCCUUUUUGAAGCAGACACAUAGCCCGGUGGAUGACUGCGUCUGAUAGGUCAGAUGCUGCUACAGUUCAUAUACCAAUGACCAUCAUCCUCUUCAUCUGAGCUCUCUCAGAAACACUCCGAUCAAGACAACCAGACCAAACAUGAUACCCAACUUUCGAAAAAUUUACCAGAAACAGAGGGGAGGGUGAAGAAAAACAGAGCAUUUAUAUAAGAGAGAAAAAAACAUGUUGUAAAUAUAGCUUCAUUUCAUGAUGAUCAAUGAGCAGGAAGUGGGUGGGAAAAUCUCAAGCAGAUCCAAAGCAGAAGUGAAAACAAUAACUCUAAACACCUCACAGUUAAUAAGAUAACAAGAAGUUCACCAAUUUUUCGAGUCAAAUCAAAGAAACAGAGGAAGAAUCAGCAACACAGGUGGAAAACCGACAAAUAAAUCAUCGAAGACAUCCAGUGAAAUGAUACCCAGAAUCAAAAAAAUGUAUGGUUCACCGUGAGCUUACCUGAAAAUGCACUAGAUGUCUUCCCGGCCCCCAGCUUCCUCUCUCUCUCCCCCCGUUUUUUUUCUCUGUAACCUCUGCUUCCUUCUCUCCUAAGCUCCCCCAAAAACGGCAGCAAAAGCACCACCCUCUCUCUCUGUAACCAAAACCAGAAUAUCCCCCCCGCCUGCUGGCAGCUUGCUCUCCAAGAAAAUAUCUCUCCCCAAAAACCACCCAGCAAGCUUGCCAAAAACACCUCCUCUCUAACGGCCAAAAGAUUCCAUAACAGUGUCCAUUCUUCAUUGCUUCCUCAACCCACUAUUGAGAUUCACUGACAGCCAGUCCAAAGACAACACGUGGCUCCUUGAGAGCCCUCCACCUGGUAAGAACAAGCUGUAGAAAACCUACCCCAAAAUGGGGGUCUACACAUACAUGUACAAAAAUAUUCUUAAUUUUUGAGUAUUCUUCAACGAAGAAUUCUAUGUAUUUUCAAUAAAGUUGAGAUCGUACAACAUAUUUUUAAUUUGACUCGACUUAGAGGCACAUGCAUAUAUUCUCUAGCUAUACAAAAAUAUUCUUAAUUUUUGUGUAUUCUUCAAUAAAGAACUCUAUGUAUUUUCAAUGAAGUUGAGAUCGUAUAACAUAUUCUUAAUUUGACUCGACUUAGAGGCACUAACAUCUUCCUCCCAAAUUCAUUGUAUGUGUAAAUGGCAUCUUCUUCCCAAACUCAGUGUAUGUGUAAAUGAAAGAGAGUUGAUUCAAAGAUCCAAACAAUCUUCUACUUUUAAAAUUUUAUGAACCCAAUUUAUGAUUUUCCAUUUAAAGAAAUUGACAAUAAACUAAAUUCAACCAAAAAUUACAUACAUAUCUAUAAUAUAUAAUAUCUAUUAGUUAUAUUACCAACUUAAGUUUAUUAUAGAGUAGCAUACCACAUCUAUAUAGUUUAUAAUUGAGCUACUUAGUAAUGCUAUGAGAAGGUUAUAUCAAUAGCUAUAUACAUUCAUCUCCUCGAGAUAGAAUAAUAUGACUUGACAUAGAUUACAAUAAUGUAAUUUAAAUAGGUCUAUUAUAAUAGUAUUUUUCAGCUUUUCGGAUCAUAAUGUUUGAUAGACUUUUUGGUUUGGGCCAAAAUAUAACAUUUUAAAAAAUAAUUAUUGGUUUUUAUUAUUAAAUUGAAUUGAAACCAAAUGGGCAUUAUUGUUACUAAACUGAAUUAAAUGUUAUUCUUAAUAUUAAAAAAAUUAAAUAUUUUGAUUUUUUCUAUUUAAUGAAAAAAAUUAAAAAUAAGUAGCAGAUUAAUAAAAAAAAAAUGAACAAUUUAAAAUCUUAGCAAAAAGUUAAAAAAAAAAAAACAAGACUUAAGUUAAUUUUCUUUGAGUGUCGAACGACUCCCCUCUAGAUAAGGGAUUGGAAGUAGAAGGAAUAAUUAUGAAGCAUAUACAUGCGGGAAAGAGUAUUGACAAGGAUGUUUUAAUCAGUAGCUAUGGCUUUUCACCCAGAAAUAUAGAAUUGAUUUUCCAAGUGCUUGUGAAUGCAAGGAUAUGUCCUUCCAUGUAAUACCCCAACCCAAGAUUUUGUUAGCUUUGUAAAGUACGAAGAAUAACUAUUUUAUGUUUUUUAUUUUUUGUCUGGGCUUAUUAAUAAUUCCCUGAUUGGGCUUUUAAUUCAUGACUGAAAAUUUUGGGCCAAAACUUCCAAAGGUUAGUCUCCAACGUUUCAAAUUGGGAUGGCAACUUUAUCCAAAUCUUGUCCAGUUUAUUUAUACCCAUUCUCAUCCGAUCCAUACCUAAAAAUAAAAUAAAAUAAAAUAAAAUAAACACGCAAAAAUUAAAAAUAAAAAGUAAAAAAUAAACUGGACAAGGUAAUAUUAGGAAAUUUUCAUAUCUGCCCCACUUGAUUUUUUUUAUUUUGAAAAUUUUAAUUAUAUUAAAAAUAAAUAUAAUUUAUAAAAAAAUAAAUAUUAGAACUUUUGAUUAUUUAUUUAUAUGAAAAGUAUAAGAAUUUAUUUUUAUAUGCUAAAAAGAGGUGAAAAUGAAAAUAAAAUAAAAUAAAAUAAAAUAACUUUUUAUUUAAUAUUAUGUAUAAUAAUUGGGACAUGCAAGACAAAACUUAUGUUUUAAAAUUUUUUUAUCAAACUCAUUUCAAAUUCAUCUUUAUCUCAAAUUCAUCACUUUAAAGAAGGGGUAUCCCAAAAACCGUCUCAUUGUCAUCCCUAGAUCCAAAUCCCAUAUAUCAUGUCAGUUUCCUAAUUAUACUAUAGUGGAUAUUGAAAAACAAAAACAAAAACAAAGAGAAGGAAUGAAAAGUUGCACAACUUAUGUGGUUGAGAAAGUUAGACAAAGUAGAUAAGAUGGUGAUCGAUUCAACUCACAUAGUAGGUCUCUCAUCUAUACUGUAGAUUUUUUAACCAUUUUUCUUUUCUUUUAAGUGAAAGAUUGGUAAUUGGAGGGUUGGAGUUCACUUAUUCUUUCUAAAUUUUAUGGUUUUGGUUCAAAGACUAAUGAAAAGAGUUGAAGGUUCUAGGGGUUUCCAUGAAUAUCAAGUAGAAUAUGUAUCAAAUUGAUGAUGAUAAGAAUAGCAUUAUGAAUCUUAAAUUAUUUGACUAAUUAAAAAAGAAAAAACAGAGAAAAUAUUUUGAAGCAAAAAAGUAAGAAAGGACUCUAAAUUAGUAUCAUGUAUGAAUAUCGAGUGGUUAGCAAAUAAGUUACAAAUUAUGGUAACAAGAAACCAUUGGUGUCACAAAAAUAUGCAACUUAUGAAUCUGGGUAUUGUUCAAAUGAUAGUUGAAAAAUAUAGUUUUGAGUGUUAGAAAAAAAAAAAAUAAAGACGAAAUAAAUUUGUUCAAUAUUAUAUAUACAUAUGGAUGUAGGGUUGGCAUUACUAGUUUUAUAUAUGCUUUCCAAUUUGUUUUCUAUAUUAUCAAUCACUUGUCCACACCUCUCUUGUCUCACAAAUCUUCUUUUGAAUAACUAAGUUACACAUUACCAAAUUACUCUACUAUUUGUAUCUUUGGUUCUAAACCUUAUGCAACACCUAUGGCCUCUAGAAUCGUGCUCUUUAUUAAUUAAAGACAAUACUCCUCUCUCGAACCCUACUCGGUAUAUAAAUCUUGUUGGGUUUUAUAGUAUUGCACCAUUACUUGCCUUCACAUUUCUUUUAAUGUUGAUAAUUUAUGUCAAUUCAUUCAUGCUCUAACUCACAUUCACUUUUAGAUAGUUAAAUGACUUCUUUGGUAUCAUAAGGGGGUUGUUCAUUUCAUGGUCUUACUCUUCAUGUAGCCUAUUUUUUGGAUCUUUUGUUUAUUUUGAUACAUGCCGGUAUAGUUGCCCGAAGAAUCAUUGGAGUACAAUGGCUAUUGUGCUUUCUUUGGAAAUAGUUUUGCCUCUUGAUAUGCUAGUAAACAAAAGGUGGUCUCUCAAUCUGGUAUUGCAUUUGAAUAACAUGGUUGCAUUUGAAUACCAUGUUAUUUACAAAUACUACCUCAAUAUUGGUUUGAAUUCAAUUCAUGUUUUUCCCUUAUUCCAUACACCUUUUAUAUUGUGUGACAAUUUAAGUUCAACCUAUUUGGCUAUGAACCCUAUUUCACAUUCUCAUAUCAAAUAUGAGGAUAUUGACUUCCCCUUAUGCAUAAUCGAGUACUUCAACAAAUCAUUAGAUGUCAAGUUUGUGUCUUUUACUCAUCCAUUGGUAGAUGCUAUAACUAAGCCACCACCUACUCAGAUUCUUAGGUCUUUAUCCCAAACUCUUAGUUCUUCCAAGACACUGAGCUUGUAAGGAAUGCUAGAAUAUAGGUCAACUAGCUCAACAUUCUUUUUAUCUUGUUAUAAUGAAAAUUAUAGAAUCUUGUUAGAGUAAGUUAUGUAAUAACCAAAAGUGGUAAUAACUAGGGAAUGAGCUCUUUGAAAGAGGGCAUUCAAAGAAGGAAAAAUACCCUCAUGUUCUUUAUGAGUAUGUAGAUUGCACAUUAAUAUUAUAUACAGAUGUGAAGUUAUAUAUAUAUAUAUAUAUAUAUAUAUAUAUAUAUAUAUAUAUAUAUAUAAAGGAGUACAAGUGCAUAGAGAUGGCAAUGGGGCAGUUUGGGAUGGGUGACCCAUCCCAAUCUCAUCUCAUUUAUUCAAAAUAAUUUUCAUUCCUAUCCCAAUUAAAAAAUUAAAUGGAAUGAGUAUGGUAUAAAUUAAGGUGAGGUGAGACAGGACAAUACAAUAUUUGAAAUCACCUUGAACCUAUCUUGGGUUUUUAAAAAUCUCAAACUUGUUAAUAACCUAUUUAUUUAAAUUUUAAAUUCCCUCCAUUAAAGGCAAGGCAGAGUAGGUACCCAAAAAAAAUCCACCCAUUGUCAUCCCUACAAGUGCAUAUUAAAUAAAUUAAGGGUUAAUUGGUUAAAGGGGUCAAAAUAAACUCCAUAUUUGCAAAUAUAACCCAUCAGUCAAAAAGCAAAAAUGUUGACCUGGUUGAGACAAAAAUACCCUUCUUUUUUCUCUCCAACACAUACAACUUCUCCUCUUCUGCUUCAUUUACAGAACGACUCCUCAUAUUUUCCAAAAAAUUUCUCUCAUCAUCUUCUUCUACUUCAUUAUCUUCCUUUGGUGCACAAAACGGAAAGGUCAUCUCCUCUUCCGCUUCAUUUAUAGAACGAGUUCUCAUCUUUCAUCAUCUUCUUCUAUUUCACUAUCUUCCUUUGAUGCACAAAACGAAAAAUCUCAUAUUUCCUUCAAAAACCCUAGAAAAUUUCUCGUCUAUCCUCUCAUCCUCUGUUUCAUUCCGAAUCCUUGGAAAAAUUAUUAUUCUAUUUUUUUCAAGUUAUCUCAUAUUAUAUCUUCAAGCACGAAGGAAACAAUGAGUUCAUUGAAGAGUGAUAGGAGAAAAAGAUUUUAAAAAGUGGCAAAAAAACAAAAAUGGCAAUUGCAACCAGAAGAAAAAAGUGAAGCAGAAGAAAGUGAAGCAAAGGAAAGCGAAGCUACUUAGCAAAAAUCUCAAUUACCAAUAGAAGAGGCAAGUGAUUCUACUAAACCGGUGAGUGUAGUCUUCAAAUUUGAUAAAUUAUUGAAAUUUUUAGAGAUGUUAUACAAUAAUAUUUGAGUAUGGUUAAUUUUAUUAGUUAAAUACACAAAAAAAAAAUUAGGAUUUAUUGAAUUGUAUUCAAAGCAUAAAAUUGUUAUAUUUAUAAUUUUUUUUUUAGUUCUCCAUUGUUAUCAGUUAUGUAUUUUGAGUGAAUAAAUUUAAGUUUGUUAGCUGAUAUUUGAAAAUAUUUGGGAAUUAUUAUAGUGUGUUGAAAAAUAAUAAAUUGCAUAUUAAUACUGUUUUAGUUUUCUGUAUUAUUAUCAAUCAUGUGUUUAGAGUGAAGUGAUAUAUUCAAUGUAAUAACAUCUAAUUAGGGAUAAAUUUACAGAUAAUUUAUGAAAUUUUAGGGAUUUUUGGAAAUUUUAGGGAUAUUAUACAUUGGUGUUUGAGUAUGUCUAUGUUCCAAAUGCAAGCAGAUGAUAUUCUUGUUGACUAUGUUAAUGGGCUUCACCCAAUUCCUUCCAUGAAAUGGUCUGAGGUGGACAUCGUUUAUGUCCCUAUUAAUGUUUGAAGUAUGCAUUAGGUAUUGGGAGUAAUUCACCUUGCUCAGAGGAGAAUAUUUGUGUAUGACUCAUUGAUAGGAAUUAAUAGUGAUAAUCGACUAAAAGGUGAUAUAAUACCUUUAGCUAAAGUGUUACUGCGUAUUUUGCAUGCUACAUCCUAUUAUGAGAAGAGCGGCGAUCCUAAGAGUGAAGAACAGUGGGACAUUGAACAAUUGCAUGAUGUUCCUCAACAAGUGUAUGAGUAAGUAAACAAAUAUCCAAACUUCAUCUUAUCAUUUCACCUUUAUGCCUUAUAUAGUAAAUUUUUUUUAGUCAUCUUAAUUUUGAUUACUUGUGUUUCAUGCGAUGGUGAUUGUGGGAUGUUCCUAAUUAAAUAUGAAAAAUACUUAAUGCAUGAUCAUCCAUUCAGCUCAUUGACCGGUACCCGCAUUGAUUGGUUUAGAGAGAAAAUGGCAACUAAAUUGUUCUACUUCAAAAAAUUACCCAUGUAGUGGGUUUCAUUUUGAUUGUGUAAAAGGUUUAUAUGUUGUUGAGUGUUGACCGUUAUUUUGGAUGAAUUUGACUUGAUGCUCAAAGUUACAAUUUUUGUAAUGUAACUAUAACUGUCAACUUAACUAUAGUUAAGUUAUUUGUUAAUGCAAUUCAACAAUUGUUAAGUUCAAGUGAAUAUUCUGAGUGUGAAUUUAACCUCAAUUAAGUUCUUUAUUAAUGCAACUCAACCAUUGUUAAGUUCAGGUGAUAAUUUUAACUGUAAACUUAAUUGUGGUUAAGUUUUUUGUUAAUGCAACUCAACUACUGUUAAGCUUAGGUGAAAAUUCUAACUAUGAACUUAACUGUGGUUAAGUUAUUUAUUAAUGCAACUCAACUACUGUUAAGUUUAGGUGAAAAAAUAAACAAAGAACUUAACCACAAUUAAGUUCUUUAUUAAUGCAACUCAACCAUUAUUAAGUUCAGGUGAAAUUUAUGACUGUGAAUUUUCUUACCAUUAUUUGACCUUGUCAUAUGGAUAAAUCUUUUCAACUUCUUUUGAACGAACUUUUCACUUUUUCAUAACUAACAAUGGAGUCUCUAUUUUUUUACCAAUAAUGUUGAAGUCAGAUUUUGAAUUUUCAAGAAACAGAAAGAAAUAAAAUGAUAAUAUAAAAAAGAAAUUGUUGGUUGUUUACAUUUUUUUUUUUUUCAUAUUUUCGUGAUCAAGAAUGAAGAAUAGAUGAAACAAUGGUAAGAAGUUAAACUUGUUCUCUGCAAGAAAAGAGAGAGAAUAAGCAACCAAUGACCGAAUAAAAAAAUUAGAACCUAAUCUGCUAUAAAACAAAGGGAAAGGGAAAAGAGAAGUUGUAUAUGUUGGAGAGAAAAAAGAAGAAGGACAUUUUUGUCUCAACUGGGUUAACUAUUUUGCUUUUUGACUGAUGGGUUAUAUAUGUAAAUAUGGGGGUUAUUUUGAUCCAUUUAACCAAUUAACCCAUAAAUUAAUGUGGUGGCUCUAAUGGAGAGAUGCUUAGAAUAUGAUAUAAUGGGAGUAUGAGUAUAUAUGCAAAACAUAGAAGAAUAUAGAACGUAUGAAUAAAUGUAACUUUUGAGUAUGAGAUCAUAACAAAUUGGGUGCAGCAUAUAAAAAUAUAUUGCUUUAAGAAUUCUGGUGGGCUGAAUGUUUUGGUAUAGGAAUUAUUGGAGAGAAUAUGGAAUGCAAAAAUCUGGAAUAUUUUGGAUAAAUGAAAACUCACUUGUUGAUACAAACUCACUUGGUGGUUGUAGAAUUCCAAAUUGAAGUGCAGCACGUUAAUAUUUUUGGACAAGAGGUAUAAAUAGGAGUUAUACCUAGAACAUAGUGUAAAUAUACAGUGUCAAGUAGUAAAUAAUCUUAAAUAUAUAUACUAUAUUUGAUUAUAUGUUAAAAAAAAUGAUUUUCUCAUAUUUGGUUUCAUAAUAGAAAAUACGGAAAAAAUAUCAAAUAUAAUUAAAAUUAAUUAAAAAUUUAGACAUUUUAAAAUUAUUUCAUAUUUACAUAAAAGGAGAAAAGGAAUGAAACACGUUUGAAUUAAUAUAUUAAAAUGUAUUAAUGAUUUAAAAUUUUUUUUUUCAUUUUUUUUCUUUUCUUUAACUUUUCCUUUAUUUUCUUUCUCUCGUAUCUUCCCUUCAAUUUUCCAGAAACCAAACAUAGUUAAAAUAAACAUUUAAUUUGAAUUUCCUAAAAUAACCUAAUGGGAAUUUAAUUUAUUUUACUAUUUUGCAUUAAUUUAUGAAAUAUCUAUUUUUCUGUCCAAAUUUAGAAAUUUUUUUUUUGUAUUUUUGUAAAUUUUGUACAUGAAAUUUAUUCAUUCAAUUACACUAACAUUUAUAAGACAGUAUACAUCCUUAUCUGUAGCAUAAACUUUUCUUUCCAUUUUCACUAGUGUUCUUAACAGGCUAUGUUCAGACCCAACAAAUCCACUCAUGGUUCUUCCUUGGCAACUACGGAUCAUUGAAAACCAAAUCUCAAUGCUCCAUGCAUGAACACAAUCCCUCCAUUCGAGUCAGUCUCUGAUGUGUUUGUGCCCAUGGUUGUGGUACCAUAAGCACAAAUUCAUUUNNNNNNNNNNNNNNNNNNNNNNNNNNNNNNNNNNNNNNNNNNNNNNNNNNNNNNNNNNNNNNNNNNNNNNNNNNNNNNNNNNNNNNNNNNNNNNNNNNNNNNNNNNNNNNNNNNNNNNNNNNNNNNNNNNNNNNNNNNNNNNNNNNNNNNNNNNNNNNNNNNNNNNNNNNNNNNNNNNNNNNNNNNNNNNNNNNNNNNNNNNNNNNNNNNNNNNNNNNNNNNNNNNNNNNNNNNNNNNNNNNNNNNNNNNNNNNNNNNNNNNNNNNNNNNNNNNNNNNNNNNNNNNNNNNNNNNNNNNNNNNNNNNNNNNNNNNNNNNNNNNNNNNNNNNNNNNNNNNNNNNNNNNNNNNNNNNNNNNNNNNNNNNNNNNNNNNNNNNNNNNNNNNNNNNNNNNNNNNNNNNNNNNNNNNNNNNNNNNNNNNNNNNNNNNNNNNNNNNNNNNNNNNNNNNNNNNNNNNNNNNNNNNNNNNNNNNNNNNNNNNNNNNNNNNNNNNNNNNNNNNNNNNNNNNNNNNNNNNNNNNNNNNNNNNNNNNNNNNNNNNNNNNNNNNNNNNNNNNNNNNNNNNNNNNNNNNNNNNNNNNNNNNNNNNNNNNNNNNNNNNNNNNNNNNNNNNNNNNNNNNNNNNNNNNNNNNNNNNNNNNNNNNNNNNNNNNNNNNNNNNNNNNNNNNNNNNNNNNNNNNNNNNNNNNNNNNNNNNNNNNNNNNNNNNNNNNNNNNNNNNNNNNNNNNNNNNNNNNNNNNNNNNNNNNNNNNNNNNNNNNNNNNNNNNNNNNNNNNNNNNNNNNNNNNNNNNNNNNNNNNNNNNNNNNNNNNNNNNNNNNNNNNNNNNNNUGUAUAAGUUCCUCCAUACCUCUGGCAUGCUUCUUUCUCUCCCAGUCAUGACAACCAAAUUAAGAAAAUAAUUCCCCUUCUACUGUUUCCCAAAAGUAUACAGGGCUAAGGACUACAAGAUUAGAGUAUAGUACACGAGUAACGAGUUGAUUCCAAUACAUAUAAAAUACGAGAAAAGGGAAAGAGAGAGACCAUAUGGGUCGAGAGAAGAAGCAACGAUGUUGGAAGCAGAAGCAAAAGAGUGAGCCAAACACAGAGAGAAAGAGAAGUCUCCUUCACCAACCAAGAGAAUUUGAUGAAACGAGGAAUAAUGCAUCAACCGUUUCUCUUGUUCUUCCACACCCACUUCAUCUUUCACCAUUUCCUCCCCGACAGCCAUUGACGCUUUCUACAGUUACAGAACCAGAGAGACUCUUUGAGAGAGAAAGGCAGUGAAAGUUUGGCCGUGUUUAAGGGGCUUAUUUGAAAAAUAGAGAUGACUUUCAAAUAGAAAUAUUUUUUAAGAAAAUAGUGAGGAUGUUUUUGUCAAAAAAAAGGAGACCAAAAAUUGAUGGAAGGUUUAGGACCUAUUUAAUAAUUGUUUUUGAAAGUACCGGUUCUAAAAAAUAAGUAUUAAGAAUAGUUUUUAAAAAUUGUUCUUUUAUUUUGUUAAAUAAAAAUUUAUUCAAAGAUUGAAAAUGUUUUUAAUUUAUUUUUAAUAUUUUUAAAUGAAUUUUAAAAAUAACUUUUAUGUUUAGUGCUUUAUUUUUAAUUAUUUUGCAUGUUUGUAUGAUUAUUUUUUAAAAUAAUUAUCAAUAAACAAGUGAAAAUAUAAAAAAAUAAAAAUAAAAAAACAAUUAAAAUAUAUUAUUCAAAAUAUUUUUAAAAAUAGAAAACAUAAAACAAUUUUGGACUCUGUGAUGAUCAGACCCUCAUAACCGGACGAAUCAUAAAAAUUUAGUGAAAUGGGAGUGUAUAAAGCAAGAUAAGAUGUACUAAAAUUAUUUUAAUUGAGGAUUCUAAUUGAACUCAAAAACCUUUCAAAAGAAAAAUAAGCUUUUUUGUCAUAACUUAUAUUCAGUACUGGUGCUUGAAUUGCAGGAGAUCCAUCAGUCUUGGGUGUGAGAGAUGAGAGUUGUGCUGAGAGUGAAGGGAGAGCAAUAUCAGGAGGUAAAGAAGUUUCCCAUGAUUCGUACGUCCAAAGACUUGGGUGGACUUGGCCAUUUUUUUAAUGUGCAAAUAUGCUACGUGGAGGCACUCUAUUCGGAUUAAUAAAGUGAUAAAAGAAAAAAAAGAAAAAAAGAAAAAAGGGAAGUAAAGUCCAUUUCAUCAAAGCAUUUGAUACCCGAAGUGAUGGAAGUAAUUAAAAGAGAUUGAUGAUGAUGAUAGCUACACCGAACAGCAUUUGAUACCCAACACAUGAUCAUUUCAUCACAGCCCUUCGUUUAGUUUGGACUCUGUGAUGAUCAUACCCUCAUAACCUCACGAAUCACAAAAAUUCAGUGAAAUGGGAGUGUAUAACGCAAAAUAAGAUGUACUAAAAUUAAUUUAAUUGAGGAUUCUAAUUGAACUCAAAAACCUUUCAAAAGAAAAAUAAGCUUUUUAUUCAUAACUUAUAUUCAGUAGAAACUGACAGUCCAACAACCCAAGAACCAGUACAUAAAAGGCAAAUGCUUUAUCAUUUGCAAUGAAGCACCUUUUCUUCAAAGAAUACUUAAUGGUUAAGAAGUUGGAAGAUAGAGUCCCAAAAUGAUAGAUGAGUUUGAAUGCACCUUUUCUUUUUGGCUAAGACGAAGUAACCCGACCCAUUGCAACCCUCAGCCCUAAGAAUACUAGUGUCACAAACUCAGGACGACCAAUGGUUACUUUGAGUAAANNNNNNNNNNNNNNNNNNNNNNNNNNNNNNNNNNNNNNNNNNNNNNNNNNNNNNNNNNNNNNNNNNNNNNNNNNNNNNNNNNNNNNNNNNNNNNNNNNNNAUGGACUGAGACCAUGCAAAUAAUUUGCCCAUUCAGUUUAUGGGCUGUGAUUGGAAGAUGAGAGGUUUCCAUCUGAUGAGAGGAUGAAGAUGAUGAGAUGAUGAUAUCAGAAGUAGAGGAUGAUGAAUUGGUAGCCAUUCCAAAGGCUGGACCGUAUUUAGGCAUAAAUUAGAAGAAUAGAAUUGAGUAAAAAAAAAACUGACUAAAGAUGAAGACGAUGAGACAGGAUUAAACCUGCUCUGAUACCAUGAAGAAUUUGAAGAAAAAUAUGAAGAAUUUGAAGAAAAAAUAUGGAGGAACACCUCAAUUCAUUCUGUGAUACCUCGCUUUACAAUGAAUGAAAGCAUAAAUAAAUAGCCUACGGAUAUGAGACAAUUCCGGAAUGGAAUUUCCCUUACAUGGAAAGUGAAUAAACUCUUACAUGGAAAGUGAAUAAACUACCUUGCUAGAAUUACUCCUAAAUAUAUAAACUACUCUUACAUGGAAAGUGAAUAAACUACCUUGCUAGAAUUACUCCUAAAUCAAUUAUAAUAAAGGCUGUACAUUACACUAAUUAGGGAAGUAAACAGAGGAUGCUGGCUUGAUUUCCAACAAUGAUGAUGAUAGCUACACCGAACAGCAUUUGAUACCCAACACAUGAUCAUUUCAUCACAGCCCUUCGUUUAGUUUGGACUCUGUGAUGAUCAUACCCUCAUAACCUCACGAAUCAUAAAAAUUCAGUGAAAUGGGAGUGUAUAACGCAAAAUAAGAUGUACUAAAAUUAAUUUAAUUGAGGAUUCUAAUUGAACUCAAAAACCUUUCAAAAGAAAAAUAAGCUUUUUAUUCGUAACUUAUAUUCAGUAGAAACUGACAGUCCAACAGCAACCCAAGAACCAGUUCAUAAAAGGCAAAUGCUUUAUCAUUUGCAAUGAAGCACCUUUUCUUCAAAGAAUACUUAAUGGUUAAGAAGUUGGAAGAUAGAGUCCCAAAAUGAUAGAUGAGUUUGAAUGCACCUUUUCUUUUUGGCUAAGACGAAGUAACCCGACCCAUUGCAACCCUCAGCCCUAAGAAUACUAGUGUCACAAACUCAGGACGACCAAUGGUUACUUUGAGUAAAGGAGAGCUUUUUUGUGGACCUGACAUGAUAUGACCACCGACAUUAAGUUUUAAUGUAAAUCCAACUAGGAUUCAGCCAUCUAUUAUGCUAAUAACAUCACUCCCACCUCCCAAAAGGGAAAAAGCCUGUAAUAGGAAGAAGAGAGGGUUAAGAAUGCCGAGAGCCAAUUUCUAUCCUAAUGAUUGUUGCCCUGAUCUCAACACGCCACUUUGCAGAGAUCUCUAGUUUUGCCAUCUGGUCACCAUAACAUAAAUUAUGUUAUCUUGAUCCAUAACGUCCAACUUUUUUCAAAUACUUUCUUAGUGGGUAAGCAUCAAUAUACCACAUAAAACAUUGGUAUCACAGACCAAGACCAAUGUGUGGUUAAACAUACAAUAAAUCAUUUCAAUGCAAAGAAGAAACCUUCUGUGAGAUGGGGAGGGGCAGACAAGUGACCUAGAUCAAGAACUUCCUCCUCGCUUAUUGAUAUUACAAGCAAAGAAGAAAGAUGUUUCAUCUUCUGGAUGGAUGCACACAAAUCCUUCCCAUCCUUUCUUUCAAGUUCUGUGAUCGCGAGUUUCCUCAUUGCAGUCAAAUUUCCCAAUUCCUUAGCAAUUCCCUGGCUUGUUUGCCUUGACAAGUGACAACCUCUGUAUUGAUGAUAAAACCCACCAAUUCCUGAAAACAAUUCUGCUCCUACACGGGCUUGAUCUCCAUCUUGCUGAUGAUCAACCAAAAGUAAGACAAGUUUGUGGAGUUUACGGAUAGUUUUGGGCAACUUGGAAACAAAAGUUUGUCUGAGUUCCAAAGUUUCUAGGUUUUGAAUCUUCUCCACUGAGCUUGAAACUGCCUUUAUCUUGGUAUUCCUCAGUUUCAAUUACUUUAGUAGGGUGAGAUUAACAACCACUUCGGGAAAAGUUUCCAAAACUGCAUCUUUCAACUCCAAAACUCUCAAUAAUCUUAAUCUCUAGUGUUUUUCUAAAUAUGGAAGUAGUGAAAUUCUCUCUUCCAAAUUUGAACAAGGUGCGAAGACAAGAGAAAUCCUUGCUUUGCAAUGAAUCUGUGAAAGCAUCAUGGAUUGCUAUACAUCGAUGGCUAAAGUGAUAAUAUCGAUCUACGUUUUGUAUGGUCAAAACUUUGCAGAAGCUUGCAUCUUCAGAUAUUGGAAAUAAGGUAUUCUCGCACAAGAUUCUUAACUUGACACCUUCUUACUACGCCUUGGAAAUCCCUUUUGUUUGCGUCAACCAAGCACCCAUUGAUCAGCUCAUCGAGGUAGGCAUCCGCCACCUCCUUCAGUGUUUUACCUCUUUUCUCCUCAACAAAUCCUUCAGCUAUCCACAAGCUAAUCAGCCUUCCACUAGCAAAAGAAUAAUCCUCGGGAAAUUUGCAGAAGUGAAAGAAACAGCGCUUAAGAUGGAAAUAUCUUUGCUGUAAUACUCUCCGAAUAAUCCCAAGUUUGGAAUUGCUUUAGAUGAAAGGGGUGAUGAAACGAGAGAGAUGAGAGGAAAAGAUGCUAAUAUUAUUUAUCUCAGUGGUCUUCUACAAUAACAGAGCAGACAUUAUAUACAAGCAGAAGAUACACAUCCUAACCAACUGUACAUGUGGAGCUAAAAGACUAGAGAGAAAAUAAUAUCCUAACUAAUUACAGCUUUAGGCUUAAUAUCCCCCCUCAAGCUCAUUGGUCUAGUGAGAACAGUGAGUUUGGAACGUAGAGUGAUGAAACGUUGGGUGGAAAGAGGCUUGGUCAUACAAUCAGCAAGUUGAUCAUCAAAAGGUGUGAACUAGAGAGAGAGAGCAUUGAAGAACAUGUUCCCGAACAAAGUGGUAGUCGAUUUCCACAUGUUUGGUUCGGGCAUACAAAAUAGGAUUGGCAUCUAAGUAUGUUGCACUGAUAUGGUCACAGAGAAUGAGAGGAGGUGAGUGGGAGUAAUGGAAAGUUCACGAAGAAGAGAUUCAGUCCAAGCAAUUUCAGCAACCCCAUUUGCUACCCCUCGGUACUCUGAUUCGGUGUUGGACCGGGAUACCACUUCUUGUUUGGAAGGGCACCAACAAAAAUGCGAUAAUCUGAAUCAUUUUCAAGAGCCACACCAUCAUGAAGAGAGAGAUUUGUGUUGGAGGACAAGGGAGUGGGACAUGGCUUGGCAUCCAACAUAGCAGCUCAGGUAAAGAGAUCAAUGAUAUGCUUUGCUUGGCUGAGGUGAAUACCAGUAGGGGUGUGAUGAACCUCCAAGCCCAAAAAAUAGUGUAGAGGACCAAGAUCCUUUAAAAAAAAACUGAUGAUGCAACUGUUAGAUAAGGUGAGUAACCUGAGUAAAGUGGCUAGCUCCCAAUGACGAUUAUAUCGUCCACAUAUACAAGAACAAGAAGUAAUCCAUGAGAAGAAUGACAAAUAAAUAAGGAAGAGUCAUUCUUAGAAGUAACAAAUCCCAAGUGUAACUGAGAAUUACUGAGCUUAGUAUAUCAAGCAUGGGGUGACUGUUUAAGGUCGUAGAGAGACUUAUCUAACUUGCAACCAUGAGUAGGAUAGAGAGGAUAAAAAAAUCUAGGUGAUUGUUCCAUGAAGAUGUCUUCAACCAAGUUGCCAUGUAAAAAGGCAUUAUGAGCAUCCAGUUGUCUAAUACACCAAUUUUGUGAAAGAGCAAGGUUGAACACAAUACGGAUAGUAAGAGGCUUGACAACAAGGCUAAAUGUUUUGAAGUAGUCAAUACCUUUGGUUUGAUGAUAACCCUUAGCUAUUAAGCGGGCCUUGUAUCUCUCAAUUUGGCCAUCAGGCUGGAGCUUUAGCUUCUAGACCCAUUUACAACUGAUUACUUUUACUGAGAAAGGUGAAGGAAUAAUAUGCCAGGUCUUGUUGUGCUGAAGGGCAGCAAAUUCCAAUUACAUGGCCUACUUCCAUGAAAGAUCUUUAAUAGCUUGGAGAAAGGAAGUUGGCGCAAUGAGAGAACCUGUGGAGACACUCAACAACAGUUUAGGCUUAUAGAUACCAGCCUUAGACCUGGUCACCAUAUGAUGAAUAUUGUGAGUGCGAAAAAAAGUAAGUAAAUUUGUAUCCACAUUAGGUACAAGCAAGUCUACACUAGGAGGAAGAGGAAAAAAAAAGUGGAGCAGAUGAAGACAUAGAGUGUGAAAAAAAGGGAAGGGAUGUAAGGGCAAUGAGAAGGGAACAAGUACUAGAGGUAGAAGAGGAAGAGGAAAAAGAAGGAGGUAUAAAUGGAGAAGUAAGAGGAGAUGAGGAAAUGAGAGGCAAGGGAAUGGACAGGGGAAUUUAUAAAAAAGAGGAAGAAGAAAUAGACGAAAAGGGAGAAGAUGAAAAAUUCUUGAAUGGAAAAGAAUCCUCAUUAAAAAUCACAUGGCAAGAAAUAUACACCCUGCCAUAAUGAAUGUCAAGACACAAAUAACCUUUAUGGUGUGAACUGUAACCAAGAAAAGCACACUCCAAUGACCUGUGUAGGAGCUUAUGGGUAUUAUAAAGGUGCAGAUAUGGAAAACAAGAGAAACCAAAAACCUUAAGAUGGGUAUAAGCUAGGAGUUUAUGAUAGAGUACAAAGUAAGGGGAUUGAUGGUGCAACACAAGGGUGGGAAGACGAUUAAUAAGGUAAGUGGCAAUUUGAAAGGCAUAAAGCCAAUAAGAUAGGGGCAUACCCAAGUAAGCAAGAAAGGAUAAUCCCAUUUCAACCACAUGGCGAUUUUUUUGCUUAACUCGCCCAUUUGAGUUGUUAUGUGUAUAGACAAGAUAAACAAUGGACAAUGCCUUGAGUAGAAAACAGUAUGGAGAGAGAUCAAAACUCAUCUCCGCAAUUAGAUUGGACAACCUUAAUCUUGGUAUUAAAUUGAUUUGCAAUGAGAGCUUGAACUUGAGAAAAGUAGGAUAUGUUUCAUAUUUUGUUUUGAGCAAAUAAAACCAAGCAAAACAAGUAUGAUCAUCAAUAAAAAAGUAAAAAAUAACUAGCACUAGAAAUAAAGCUAAUAGGAGAAGGACCCCAUAGGUUUGUAUGAAUUAACUCGAAAGGUUUUAUUGCAAUGGAUGGAAAUAAAGAAAAAUGAAGCUUGUGGAUUUUUUCUAAUUGACAAGAAUUACAAAAUUUAAGACGAAUUUUCUGUGUUCGAGCAAUAUUACAAGAAUCCAAGAUUUGAUUAACAACAGAUAAAACUGGGUGGCCUAGUCUCUUAAGCCAUAGAUUUGGAUCCUUGAUGUUGGCUAUGAAAACUCGAGGAGGAAAGAACGCAGUAGAAGGAGAGCAUGAUGACUGAACUUUGUAUAAGCCAUUAUCAAGUUGACCCUGAAGGAAAACCCUCUUCGAAACCUGACCCUUGAGAAGAAAAUGAGUGGCAUAAAAUUCAACAAAAACUUUAUUAUCAUAACACAAUUUUGUAACACUAAUAAGAUUAUUUGAAAUUUUUGGAGUGUGAUAGACCUGAUGUAGAACAAAAGGAGAAUACGAGGAUGGUAGUUUUGCAGUACCAAGAUGUGAGAUAUAGAGUUUCUUACCAUUCCCAACUACCACUUGAUUUGAACCACUAAAUGGUGUCACAGUGUCAAGUAUGUUGAUGUUUAGACUAAAGUGAUGUGUAGCACCUGAGUCCAUGUACCAAUUUGUACCAGGAAUAGUGUUAUGCAUAGUAGUAGGAUGAGCCAUUGCAGGGUAAGAAAAUUCUAGAGGAUUAGAGAGCUGGAAUUUUUGGUGAAAUAGUAUUGAAAGAUUUAGGAGAAGGUUAGGAUGGAUAGUUCAAAUUUGUGCGAUGGAAGCAAAUAUGAGUAGUGUGUCUAAAUUUGGCACUGAGGCUUUUGAUUCUGGAUUGAAAAAUGUGGUUUCCAUUGAGGUUAAGGUUGUCGUGGUUGUGGUUUGCCCAAAAUGAUGGGUUGAUAUUGACUAGUGGUUGGCUCAAAAGGUGGAGGAGAGGAUCUAGGUUGAAUGUGAAUGUGAUUGAAUGUAAGUUGAGGAAUUGAUUUAUAAGGUUUCUUGUUCAGAUGAGCCAUAUGGACUUGAGCAUAAUUGAGAGAAACAGAGUUUUGUUGUUCAAGACGGAAGUCAUAGCUAAGUAAUAGGCUAUGGAUUUUCUCAAUAGUCGGUUGGUCAGAUCGAUUUUGAAUUGAGGUAACAAAAGGAUUAUUCUCAUGAUCUAAUCCACUAAACAAAUAGAUGAGAUGGUCUUUCUCAGAAAUUGGUUUUCUUAUUGUUGCAAGACUGUUGCAAAUGAAUUUGAGUUGUUGAAUAUAUUCUCCAACUAAGAGUCUAUCUUUCCCGAGCGUUUGAAGUUUGGUGCGAAACUUUGUAACCCGUGCCAUAGAAAAGGCAAAGUAAAUCUGAUUAAGGUUAUUCCAAAUCUCCAUAGCUAUUGAAUACCCAACAAUCUAAGCCAUUUUAUCUUCGAACAAGGAUGAGUAUAGCCAACUCAUCAAAAGUCGAUUAUAUCUUUGCCAGAUCAAGUACUUUGGAUUGAUGAUCUGUUGUUACAGAUCAAGGAAUUGAGGAGGGCAAGGUUGAGAUUCGUCAAUGAAAUCAUCAAGUCCUUUAGCGAUGAUGACAUUCAGAAACUAAUUCUUCCAGAUGAGGUAGUUCCCAUUAUCUAGCUUUACUAUGAGAGGUUGAUUCAUAAACGGGAGUUGGUGGAGGAAGGUUGUUUGACUGAGAUAAUGGGUUUUGCACAUUCACAAUGCUAACAGAAGGUGAUUUAGAGGUUUCAUUGAAAGAAGCCACGGAAGCUCUGAUACCAAGAUGAAAGAGGUGAUGAAAUAGAGGGAAACAAAAAGAGAUGAGAGGAAAAGAUGCUGAUAUUAUUUAUCUCAAUGGUCUUCUACAACAACAGAGCAGACAUUAUAUACAAGCAGAAGAUACACAUCCUGACCAACUGUACAUGUGGAACUAAAAGACUAGAGAGAAAAUAAUAUCCUAACUAAUUACAGCUUUAGGCUUAAUAGCUUUUCAUAUUAGAUCCUAGACUGGUAUUCACUUUCUGGAACUCUAAUGGUGUUGGUUGUUUAGUUGAUAAUAGACUAACCAAGGUGACUAUUGUAAGUGGCAGCCCUUCAAACCUGCUCAAGAGAUCAUCAGAUAUGUUUUUUUAAGUGCUUAGGACAUUCAGUGCUAUGGAAAGCCUUCUUAAAUAAGAGCUCUAAAGCCUCGUUCCCUACUCAAGGAUGUAGAUUGUAGAUAUCAUCUGAACAUUUAGAAGCUAAAUCACGCCUACAUGUAGAUGAUUACUACUCAAAAAGUGCUAUUUCAUAGCUUGUAAUUAACUCUUUUAAAAACUUUUGAGUAGUAGUUAUUGCCUUUUAACCCAAUUAACAUGUUAAGGACCCUUGCAAUCAAUUCUAAUCAAAUUGUGUUAAGUUUUGGUGUUUUGAUAUCUUUUUUAUCACCAAAGCAAUCCAAGAAUGAGGGAGAGCUGUAUAUAGUUAUGGCAAAGCUUUUGGAAGCUCAAAUUCAUGAAGAACCAAGCUUUGGAGCCUCAUAUUCCUUUGCCUUAGUCGUUCAAAGUAUGCAAGGAAAGAGCACUGGAGAGAGGAAAACAGAGUGAAGAAAACAGAGGACAGCAGCUGCAGUCUUCUUGUGCACUUUUGGAGCACUUCCCGAAGUCCAUUUUCUACAUGCUAUAUACCAUUUCAAAUCUCAGGAAGUCAAGAAUCCAACGCUUCAAACCGUCUACGAUUUGGAGCUGAAAUGAGGAAGUUACAGCCUUUGGAAGAUGACUGCUCCAAGCUGAAGGAAGGAUUCAGCAAAGUGUUGCGAAAUCACCCUUUUGUUGCGGAAUGAUUUCGCAGCCUUUUUGCACAGUGCUUUGGAUUUCCCUUGAAGUUUCACGCCGCGAUGGAAGCCAAACACCACAAGAUGAAAGCCAACUUCGCAGCGGUGCGGAACCAGCCUUUUGCUGCGAAGUAAUUUCGCAGCCCUUUUUGGAUGUCUGCGAAAUCUCGCAGACCUCGUUUUCACCUGCGAAAUGGUCCUUAGUGCUUCCCGAUAUUUGCGACCGACUCUUUUAGAUCUUUUCUUCAGAUAUUUUUGUAUAAAUUUCCAUUUUCUCCUUGUAUUCAGCCACUCAUGUAAUUCCUUAGCUAGGAAGUAUCCAAGGAAGGGUAAAUUACCUUCCUAUAUAAACUCUCUUGUAAACACUAAAAAGACGACGCUCGGAGAAGUAUGUAAUAUAGAAAGAUAUAUAGAUAUAUCAUAUAUAGAAUCAACGAACAGAGCACUUGCUCUGUUUUUCAUAUAUAUUCUUGUUUUCUCUUUAGUUUUCUUUCUAGCUAAUCAAACUCUGAGGAUUUUUCCUCAGAGGAUGAGAGGCUAGGCUCUUUGUCUCUUGGAGUGAGGAAAGCCGGGUAAGUUUCCACAUGCAUAAAUUGGAAGUUUUGUUGUUUUAGUUUUUAAUGAAGAGAAAGUGUGACCCGUUAAUGGUUUUUAUUUUUUUAGUUAACUUAAAAUGCCUUUAAAUCACCUGGGCCAACACUUGGUAAGGCAAGUGAUCUCCGUCCAUGGAGAUGCACUAGUUUACCGCUUGUGAGCCUUUGGGAGGUGACUUGAAGGUAGGAUUUUCUAGAAUAGCCAACACUUGGUAAGCUUUUGGACUCCAAGGAGACAUCCAUUAGUUAUCUCUUGCGAGCUUUUGACGGGUAAUCCAAGGUUAAAGAUCACCUUGAAUGGUAAGUGCUAGUGAGAGGCAUGAACCAUUGCAAAGUGCAUCAGUGAGAGGGAUUUAGUGUUUGAACCCAUUAAUGGGAAGCAUCUGUACAGCACCGGUUGGAGAAGGAACUAUAUGUUAAUUCUCUAAUGCGAGGAAAAGAAACAAGUGACCGGAACUCUCCUUUUUGUAUGACGAACCUGAGCCUAGUGAUCUGAACUCCAAGAAACAUCUUUCUUUGUAAGUAAAAUCAGUUACUAUUUUUGGUUAGUUUAAAACCAAACCUUUUUCAUUCAAACAUCUUUAUGUUUUCUUUUAAAGCUAACCUUGAAAUGAAAAGGCACCAAUUCAGCUUUGGAUUAAUAUCAUUUGUGAAGUGAAAACCCAUCCCAGUGAACGAUCCUAGAGCCACUAUGCUAUAGUAGCUUUGUCUUUGCUACCCUAGUAUAUGGUGUUAUAGGUUAUAAAUUUUGUUGAUUACCCCCUCAAUCAAGGAGCACCAGCUGGACACGAAUCAGCUGAGACACCAAUUGGGCACGAAUCAAAUGGCGCCGUUGCCGAGGAUCGAACCUCGAAUCAAAUGGUGCCGUUGCCACUACCGCUGCUAGGGACGAAUCAAAUGGCGCCGUUGCCGGGGAUGGUGCCAAUUUGCAGUGAUAUCACCUUUUCAGAGUACUUGUGAUCUUCAUCACAAGUUUGGUGACUUUUCUUUUCCUUUUACUAACUCUUUUUAUUUCUUUAUUGUUCAUAUUUUAGUAUACCUUUUCUUUAGUUUUUAGUUUACCUUAAUUUUCUUUCUUUGAAUUGUUUUUCUUUUAUUUUCUUUGUUUUCUCUGUUUUUAAUUCACAAAUUGCUAGUUGUGCAUGCUAUAUUGAUUACGAGAUAGCAGAAGAAGCCAUGAACUUCUUGAGUUAUGUGGCUGAAUUUUCAAGAGAAUGGGGUGAACCAAAUGCUAGAGAUAUGGAAAGAAUGAUGUCUCAACCUAAAGCUAAGGAUGAGAUGUAUAUUUUGAAUGAUGGUAUGAACAUGAAGGCAGAGAUUGCAGCUAUGGAAAGGAGAUUGGAAGAGCUAGAAAUGAACCAGAUGCAAGAAGUGCAAGCCAUCUCUCAAACACCAUUGCAAGCUAUGCCUUGUGCCAUUUGUCUAUCUUAUGAGCACUUAGUGGAUGAGUGUCCUACCAUUCCAUCCGAGAGGGAAAUGUUUGGUGAUUGCAACACCUACAAUUCUAAUUGGAGGGACCAUCCAAAUUUCUCUUGGAAACCACAGUCACCUCAGUAUCAGCAACCUGCUCAAGCACCACAGCAAGCCUCAAUCCUUGAACAAGCUAUGGUGAAUCUUUGCAAGUUCGUGGGAGAUUUUGUUGGAAAGCAAGAAGCCACCAAUGCUCGAGUCGAUCAAAGAAUGGAUAGAAUGGAGAGUAUGUUGAAUAAAAGGAUGGAUGAAAUGCAAAAUGAUCUAUCUCAGAAGUUAGAUAUUCUCCAAGAUUCAAUCUCAAGGCUUGCCAACCUCAACAUAGUGCAAGAGAAAGAAAACUCUCCUUCUCAACCUUGUCAAAAUUCUAUGAGUAUCCAUGAAAUGGAGGCUAAGGAGGGAAAACCUUCAUAAAAGAAGGAAGUCAAAGAAGUGAUCACUUUGAGGAGUGGUAAAGAGGUUGAUCUGCCCACAUGCAAGCUAGAGCAUAAGGUAGAGAGUGAAACAGAGAAAGAAAAGAGGGAGGAAAUCAAAGGAAAGAAAAAGGGGAAAAGCAUAGAGAAAGAUGGCUAUGAUGUUAAUGUACAGAGAGAACCACAGAGGAUAGUCAUCAAGGAAGAAUUGAUGAAGAAACACAUGCCUCCACCUUUUCUCCAAGCUUUGUAUGAGAAAAUCAUACAAAUCAAGUCUCAAGGGAGGGAUGCAAACUUCAUAUGGGAUCCGGGCAAGCUAAAUCAGGAUCAAAUUUUUUGAUGGACUUAGUCUUUCUAAAGACUAGCUAGUCCAUAUCUUUUUGUUUUGUUUUUUUUUACUUGUUUUAAUUUUGAUUUUAAUGUUUUAAUUUUGAUUUCAAUGCUUUAAUUCUAGUUUGUUUUGAUGUAAUAUAGGUUUUUGGAUGAUCAAAAUCAAGAGGAAUUGUAAAGAAAUUGAAGGAAGUCUUUCGGAGCAAAAUCGGAGUCAAACGGAGCGAAAACAGGAGAAAAACAAGGGAAAAACAGGGGUCUGCGAAAUUUCGCAGCCUCUGCGAAAUCGGCACUUUGUUGCGAAACCAUUUCGCAACUCAAUUGACUCCUCUGCGAAAAUUUUCGCAGCUGCGAAACCAACUUUGACACACGAGUGCCACUUCGCAGCACAAGAGCCAUCAUUUGGCAGCUGCGAAACGCAUUGCGAAGUGAAAAAGGCUGAUUUCGCAACAAAAGUCCCAUUCCGUAGAGGAUUUCGCGACUGCGAAGCACAUUUUGGCACACGAGUGCCAUUUCGCAGCACAGUGACCCUCAUUUCGCAGCUGCGAAACGGCUGCGAAGUCCCAAAACGUGAAAAAUCCCAAUUUCGCAGCUAAAGCUCCAUUCCGCAGGGUAUUUCGAAGCUGCGAAACCACUUUUUGGCACACGAGUGCCAUUUGGAAGCCCUGUACACUCAUUUCGCAGCUGCGAAAUGGCUACGAAACCUCAACACCUUAAAAUCCUUUAGCGCACACACCAUGAGCUGUCAUGUCACAGCCGCACCCCCAUUUCGGCAAUUGUUGGACACAUAUCGAUCACUUUCUGAAGUUCAAAUUAUGCAUGCAAUAUCUCGUUUCAAAGCUUGGGAAGUCAGAAGUCCAUAUAUUCAAACGGUACUUGAUUUGGAUUUGAAACGGAAAAGUUAUGGCCAUUUGAAGAUGACUGUGCAAACCAUGAGCGGAAAUGUCGCACCUCCAUUUCGCUACUGUUGGACACAUUUUUGAAGCACUUCCUGGAGCUCAAAUUAUGCAUACCAUAUCUCGUUUCAAAGCUUGGGAAGUCAGGAGUCCAACGCUUCAAACGGUAUGCGAUUUGGAGGUGAAACGAAGAAGUUAUGGUCGUUUGAAGACAAGCGCGCAAAGCUAAGCGGGAAUUUCGCAGCCAAGACACCAUUUGGAAGGGUGUUUCGCAGCUGCGAAACCACUUUUUGGCACACGAGUGCCAUUUGCAGCAUAGUUCCCCUCAUUUCGAAGCUGCGAUACAGCUGCAAAACCACUUUUUGGCACAUGAGAGCCAUUUCGAAGCCCCGUACACUCAUUUUGCAGCUGCAAAAUGAGCUGCGAAAUCAAUUUUGGGCUACGAAAUCACUUUUGAGCUGCAAAAUGGCUAUGAAAUGAUCUCCAAACUUUGAAAUGGCUGCGAAAUCUCCUCCAAGCUUAGAAAUGGCCUUCAAAUUGCAAAAUUGACUUGCAAAAUGGAGGGAGGUUUGCAAAAACACCUUGCAAAGCCAAGAGAAGUUGCUAAAAUACCAACAGAGCCUCACGACCAUGCAUAUGAAGAGGGGAGCCCUGCGUACCCUGGGAUCACACACACCAAGCCUCUCACUCCAUUUCUAACCUCCUAAAACCAUCAAAUCCCAUAGCUACCAACUGAAAGCUCCAGUUGAGAAGACUAUGCCAUCCAAGGAGAUUACCAAAACAGAGGUCAAAGUCCUGAUCCAACCCAUUCAAGAGGCCACCACAGACGCAUCAGCUCCACAGAACCUUACCAUUACUUGAUCAUCUUUUUAUUUUUUGUAUUUACUUAUUAUAUUAGUAUAGAUAAUUCCAUGCUUUGAUGUCUUACAUUUUGGGAUUGGAUGUAUUACUGAUGAUACAUCAUACAUAGACAUCAUUUUUUGUUUAAACUUGGCAUUUUUUUUAUUUUCUCUACUCACUAACUCUUUUGUGUUUUUUUUUAAACAUGUGGUUUCUCCUAUACGACUCAGACUCCAUGUUACUUAAGAGGUACCACUUCCUUCCUAUUUUUCAAUCGUUUUUGUCACAUUGAGGACAAUGUUCAGCUUGGUUGGGGGGAGAGUUGAGGAAGUAAGUAUUGUUAAUAAUGCUAAGUUAUUUUGGUAAUUUAGUUACUUUUUGCUUAAAUUUUAAAAUUUUUGCUUUAAACUCCAUGGAUAUUAAGGAUUAACUCUCAAAAUUAAAUGAGAGAAGUCGAGUUUCAACUUGAUUACAUGAGUCUUAGAGUUUGUAUUAUGCUCUUCUAAAAGUUGAUGAAUUGUUGAAACUCCCAUUGCUGCAAACUUAUCUCUUCCACCUUAAGCUAUUCGCACACAUACAUUAGAUUCCGGUUAUAAGAUGUGAAACUAUCUCACCCUCUAAGCUUGAGAAAUCAUAAUUUGACACCUUUAACCUCUCUUUAAUAGUGUUGGGACACCUCAUAAAGACCAAUGAGUCUUUGUAGAAAAAGAAAAAGAAAAAGAAAAAGAAAAAAAAAAUAAAUAAACUUCUUUACUUGCCUUGAAACCUGAGCAUGGUUCAAAGGGGUGGCGAAAGCCUUUAAAGCCUGGUGCCCUAAGCCUUUAUUGGUUGGGAGUCACCGAUCCUCUGCUUGUUACAUGGGUGAAUUGGUUAAGUUUAGUAAGUGAAAAGAAUUGUGAAUAAGAGGUGCGUUCCUAGCCUAUCAAGAGAUGGUUAAUUUUGCUAAGCUAAUCACAUUAACACUUAGCUUUUAGUGGAAGAAUUUGAUUUGGAUCUUUUGAGAGUGGAAAUUCUUUUGAUGCUUAAACUUGCAUAAUAUCCAUUCUUUGUACUCUAUGAUCAAGUGAAUGCUUUGACAACUCUUAUUAUAGGUUGAUUUUCACAUCUUUAUUGAUCCAUGGAUGUCCGUCAUGCCACUCAAUUAUUUUUUGGAGUGAUUUGCAUGACCUCUUUUAUGUAUAUUAUUAUGUUUGCUUAGUUUUUCUCUCCUUCAUUGCUAAGGGACUAGCAAUAUGUCGGUUGGGGGGAGUGAUUACUACUCAAAAAGUGCUAUUUCAUAGCUUGUAAUUAACUCUUUUAAACACUUUUGAGUAGUAGUUAUUGCCUUUUAACCCAAUUAACAUGUUAAGGACCCUUGCAAUCAAUUCUAAUCAAAUUGUGUUAAGUUUUGGUGUUUUGAUAGCUUUUUUAUCACCAAAGCAAUCCAAGAAUGAGGGAGAGCUGUAUAUAGUUAUGGCAAAGCUUUUGAAAGCUCAAAUUCAUGAAGAACCAAGCUUUGGAGCCUCAUAUUCCUUUGCCUUAGUCGUUCAAAGUAUGCAAGGAAAGAACACUGGAGAGAGGAAAAUAGAGUGAAGAAAAUAGAGGACAGCAGCUACAGUCUUCUUGCGCACUUUUUGAGCACUUCCCGAAGUUCAUUUUCUACAUGCUAUAUACCAUUUCAAAGCUCAGGAAGUCAAGAAUCCAACGCUUCAAACCGUCUACGAUUUGGAGCUGAAAUGAGGAAGUUACAGCCUUUGGAAGAUGACUGCUCCAAGCUGAAGGAAGGAUUCAGCAAAGUGUUGCGAAAUCACCCUUUUGUUGCGGAAUGAUUUCGCAGCCUUUUUGCACAGUGCUUUGGAUUUCCCUUGAAGUUUCACGCCGCGAUGGAAGCCAAACACCACAAGAUGAAAGCCAACUUCGCAGCGGUGCGGAACCAGCCUUUUGCUGCGAAGUAAUUUCGCAGCCCUUUUUGGAUGUCUGCGAAAUCUCGCAGACCUCGUUUUCACCUGCGAAAUGGUCCUUAGUGCUUCCCGAUAUUUGCGACCGACUCUUUUAGAUCUUUUCUUCAGAUAUUUUUGUAUAAAUUUCCAUUUUCUCCUUGUAUUCAGCCACUCAUGUAAUUCCUUAGCUAGGAAGUAUCCAAGGAAGGGUAAAUUACCUUCCUAUAUAAACUCUCUUGUAAACACUAAAAAGACGACGCUCGGAGAAGUAUGUAAUAUAGAAAGAUAUAUAGAUAUAUCAUAUAUAGAAUCAACGAACAGAGCACUUGCUCUGUUUUUCAUAUAUAUUCUUGUUUUCUCUUUAGUUUUCUUUCUAGCUAAUCAAACUCUGAGGAUUUUUCCUCAGAGGAUGAGAGGCUAGGCUCUUUGUCUCUUGGAGUGAGGAAAGCCGGGUAAGUUUCCACAUGCAUAAAUUGGAAGUUUUGUUGUUUUAGUUUUUAAUGAAGAGAAAGUGUGACCCGUUAAUGGUUUUUAUCUUUUUAGUUAACUUAAAAUGCCUUUAAAUCACCUGGGCCAACACUUGGUAAGGCAAGUGAUCUCCGUCCAUGGAGAUGCACUAGUUUACCCCUUGUGAGCCUUUGGGAGGUGACUUGAAGGUAGGAUUUUCUAGAAUAGCCAACACUUGGUAAGCUUUUGGACUCCAAGGAGACAUCCAUUAGUUAUCUCUUGCGAGCUUUUGACGGGUAAUCCAAGGUUAAAGAUCACCUUGAAUGGUAAGUGCUAGUGAGAGGCAUGAACCAUUGCAAAGUGCAUCAGUGAGAGGGAUUUAGUGUUUGAACCCAUUAAUGGGAAGCAUCUGUAUAGCAUCGGUUAGAGAAGGAACUAUAGUUAAUUCUCUAAUGCGAGGAAAAGAAAUAAGUGAUCGGAACUCUCCUUUUUGUAUGACGAACCUGAGCCUAGUGAUCUGAACUCCAAGAAACAUAUUUCUUUGUACGUAAAAUCAGUUACUAUUUUUGGUUAGUUUAAAACCAAACCUUUUUCAUUCAAACAUCUUUAUGUUUUCUUUUAAAGCUAACCUUGAAGUGAAAAGGCACCAAUUCAGCUUUGGAUUAAUAUCAUUUGUGAAGUGAAAACCCAUCCCAGUGAACGAUCCUAGAGCCACUAUGCUAUAGUAGCUUUGUCUUUGCUACCCUAGUAUAUGGUGUUAUAGGUUAUAAAUUUUUUUGAUUACCCCCUCAAUCAAGGAGCACCAGCUGGACACGAAUCAGCUGAGACACCAAUUGGGCACGAAUCAAAAGGCACCGUUGCCGGGGACCGAACCUCGAAUCAAAUGGUGCCGUUGCCACUGCCGCUGCUAGGGACGAAUCAGUAGAGAAGAUUAUUCUACUGUUAUUGCCAUUGUCGGGUAAUUUUUUAAUGUUGUUGCACCAACCAUGGUUCCAAACUCCCUUUAAAACCAUUAGGUACCUUCUUUGUUGCAAGUAACUGACCAAAUUUUGUUCAAAAUUUCCUCCUGGGGAAAUUGGUACUCCCAUUUCUUUUCAAUUUUUUUCCCAGGAAUCUUUACAAGAGGUUAAGUGAGGAACCCAAGCAUGACAUUCAAAAUGGCCCUUCACCCUUUCAUUCUCGCAAACUUUUUUUUAUCAGAAUGGUCUUACCAGAGCUAGUGGAUCCAACUACUGAAAUCACCAGAUGCCUUAAUUCUUUCUUGAUAAGAGAUCAAUUGUAUGUCUCUCCAUUCCUAUGAGCUCAUCAUUGCUAAGGACGGGAUAAGCCAUGUCAGGGACCUCUCCUGCAAUGGAACUUGAGGCUACUCCAAAGGAAGAUUUUCGAAAUGGAUCUAACUCUUUGAAAAUUUUGAUCUUGGCUUGAAUAACAUAUGUAUAGGAGGAUAAUAUAUGGAAUGCUCUCUAGUCCAUGACCUUGUGGGAAAUGUUAUGAAGAGCUAUGGAGAUUUUAUGUUCAUGGAAGUGUUCGAGCACAUCAACCAUGAACUAUUCAAGAGCAUCCUCAAUCUCAUAUGCAAUCUCCCAUACUUUGUUUUGCGUCGAUCUUUAGCACCUUCAGUGCCUUGUUCUCGUUGCAUGGUGUCUUUGAGGUAGGCUUGCAUGGUUUCCAAAUCUUCUUCAAUAAUGACGAUUUUUAGCUUCGACUUUGGGUUUCUUUAACUAAAGAAGGUCUGUACAACACCAAGUGUUGUUGCAACUGCUAUUUCUGCCAUGAUCUAGUCCUCUCUGUCAAGUCCCUACCUUCUUAAUCCCAAUUUUAUCUCUUUAACCAACAACGACCUUGCUUAUUUUUGUGAAAAGACCUCCACCCCAAUUUAUUAAAGCAAUUGGGAUUAAAAACUUCCUACUUACUUGUUGAUAACUGACUGCUGAAUUUUCAAUUGUUCCUGUCAAUUAAGCUUUUGUCUUGAAUUUUCCUACGUUCAUUUAGAAGAUUGUUGAUAUAUGUAUUGUAACUUGCAACACUAUGUAUAACGACCCAUACCCAACCGUAUAACAUGGAUCAAAAUCUAGUUCGGAUAUCAUUUGUAACAACUUAUACCCAACCAUAUAGAUAUUUGUUAGCCUGAGGGUUCUCCUAAUCGGGUUUUGAUGAUAACACACCAUGGUUAAAUGACUAAUUGGUUUAAAUGUUUAAGAAUCUCAGGUAUAAACUCGAAAAUUCAUCAAAGGACCAAAUGGAUACAAGAUCGAGAUGCUUGGAAGACUUGUGAUCAUAGGAAACUAAUGUAAGAUGAAUGCUUGAGUGCACUUAAGAUUUUCAUACAUUUCAUGCAUCUUAAGAAACUCGGUUUAUUCUUUAAAACUUUGAUUUCAUUAAAACCCGAGUUUCUAACUAAUGUACCUUAGGCAAAAUGUUUUAUAAUUGGCUUAAUAAUUUACCUAAAGACCUUGCCUAAGUGUUAGAAAAGAAAGGAAUAAAAAAAUAGGUUUUCAGGGCCAAAAAGGCUCAACCAGUCGAGACUAUGGCCAACCGGUUGAGGAACCGGUCGACCAGUUAUGCUCAUUCAGGUCGAGGACCGAUCGAGGGAGGUAAAAAAUCUUCUCUUUCUCCCAGUAGCUUUCUCUUCCCAGUCGAGGGAUUUCUCUUACUGGUUGAGGUCCGGUUGAGGCAACGGUAACUUGUCAUGCCCUAAAUGCUCCAAUGGCUAGUGAACCGAUCGACCCUUAGCUCGACUGAACGAGGUUACCUUUUGCUGUUUUUGACUCCCAAGCUUAGAAACCUAUAAAUUGAGAGCUCCACUUAAUUUAUUAACAAAAGAACACUUGCAUUCAAUAGCCUACUUACCUGUUCUUGAUAAAAAAGCUUUCAUUUCUUUCAUAGUGCAUUAAAUCACCACUUGCAUAUCCUUUAGUGCACUCUUGUGUGUCAUCCUAGCUUUGUCUUGUAUUUGAGCUAUCCUUAAGCUAAGUUGAGGGAUUAUAUCUUGUAAAAUCUGAGUGUUAAAGCCUUCAAGAGGGUUGAAUCUUGAAGAGGUUGUGUAAGAGCCAAUUGGAGUCGGAAUCCAAGUGUAAGAAGAUUGGAAGCUUGGUUGAAGCUUUAAGUUAGUGGAACCCUCACUCGGUUAGGAGGUUGAAGAGAGUGGAUGUAGGCAAGGAAGUGUCGAACCACUAUAAACCCGAGUUUGAAUUCUCUAAACUCUAUCUCUUUACUUUACUUAUAUUGUGUUUGAAUUUGUUGUGAUUGAAAAGAUUUUAAAAACCCAAUUCACCCCCCUCUCCUCCUCCCCCCCCCCCUCCUUUUGGGUGUUUUUAUUAACUAAGCAUAGUCUUUGCUUUCUCAAUUGGUAUUAGAGCUAGACUUCUUUUUAAGACUUAAUUGUUUAAGAGGUAAUGACUAUUCCAUCAAGCUUAUCCCAAGCUGAAAAUUUUUCAAAACAUAGAGCUCCAUUCUUUACGGGAACCGACUAUCCCUAUUGGAAAAUUAGAAUGACUUGGUAUUUACAAUCUAUUGAUUUAGAUGUAUGGGAUGUCAUUAAAGAUGACCCAACUUUUCCCAAUAAACUAGUUGAUGGAGUUUUGGUUCCAAAACCCAAGCAAGAAUGGAAUGAGCUUGAUAGAAGAAACUUUCAAUUAAAUGCUAAAGCCGUUUUUACUUUGCAAUGUGCUAUGGAUAGAAAUGAAUAUAAUAGAAUAUGUCAAUGCAAAUCGGCUAAAUAAAUUUGGAGGUUGCUUGAAAUAACUCAUAAAGGAACUAAUAAAGUGAAAGAGUCAAAAAUCAAUUUACUUGUUCAUAACUAUGAAUUGUUUUCAAUGAAAGAAACUGAGACUAUUGUUGAGAUGAUUACUAGGUUCACCGACAUUGUCAAUGGUCUUGAAGCUUUGGGAAAAACCUACAAGGAAUCCGAGAAGGUGAUGAAGAUAUUGAGGUCUCUCCCAUCAAAGUGGCAUACCAAGGUCACCGCAAUUCAAGAAGCAAAAGACUUGACUAAGCUACCUAUGGAAGAGCUCAUAGGGUCAUUAAUGACAUAUGAGAUCAAUUUGACAAAGAAGUUACAAGAGAGUGAAGACAAAAAGAAGAAGAGCAUAGCCCUCAAAGCUACAACUAAGGAAGAAGAAGAUGUUGAAGAAGAAAAGCCAAGUGAUGAAGAUGAUGAUCUAGCCCUCAUCAUAAGAAAGCUCAACAAAUACAUGAGAUGUGAAAGGUUUAGAGGAAGGAAAUUUACCUCUAGAAGGGAUCUUUCUAAAAAGGAAUCUUCAUCCCAUGGUGACAAGAAGAAAUGGGAAGAGAAAAGAGAUUUGACAUGCUUCAAGUGCAAAAAACUGGGACACAUCAAAUAUGAUUGUCCUCUUUACAAGAGUGAAGCCAAGAGAAGAAUGAAGAAGGCAAUGAUGGCCACUUGGAGUGAAAGUGAAGAAUCCUCCAAAGAAGAAAAUGAGAAAGAAGUGGCAAACAUGUGCUUCAUGGCAAUAGAUGAUCUAAAUGAGGUAAACUCUAACUUUAGUGAUGAAGAUAUGCAUGAUGUUUUUGAAGAAUUAUAUGAGGAUUUUGAAAAACUUAGUUUGAAAAAUAAUUCUCUUCAAAAGAAAAUUCAAGAACUUGAAAAUGAACUUGAAGAAGUGAAAGAAAAAUUUUCAAUUGUUGAAAUAUCUAAAACUCAUCUUGAAAAAGAAAAUGAGAUUUUGAAAAAGAAAAAUGAACAGUUAACCUCCUCUCUUUCAAUUUUCUCUUGUGGACAAAAAUCUUUUGAAAUGAUCUUAGCUAGCCAAAAAAUGUGUUUUUGACAAACAAGGGCUAGGAUUCAAAUCAUCAAAAAAUCAAAAGUAUUUUAAAAACUACUUUGUAAAAGAAUCCGCAAGUGCAAGUCCUUCCACCACUUGCAACUUUUGUGGAAAAGGAGGGCACAUUAAUAGUACAUGUCCCUUAAGAAAUGGUUCUCAAAAGACUUCAAAUUCUAAAACUAAAAAGGUUUGGGUUGAGAAAUCCAAGGUUAUUAACCUUCAAGGACCCAAAAAUAUAUGGGUACCUAAAUCAACUUAAAUUUUAUUUUGUAGGGAUCAAAGAAUGAUAAGUGGUUCUUGGAUAGUGGAUGCUCAAGACACAUGACCAGGGAUGAAUCCAAGUUUGCUUUCCUUACAAAGAGAAAAGGAGGAUACGUUACCUUUAGAGACAAUUCAAAAGGAAGGAUCAUUGGUCAAGACAACAUUGGUAAUGGCACAUCUUCUCUUAUUGAAAGUGUUUUAUUAGUGGAUGGUUUAAAACAUAAUCUUUUAAGCAUAAGUCAACUUUGUGACAAAGGUUUUAAAGUGAUUUUUGAAGCAUCUCAUUGCAUCAUCAAAGAUAUUCAAAAUGAUAAAACCAUCUUCAUGGGCCAUAGAUGUGAUAAUGUUUAUGCAAUAAAUAUUUCAAAAUAUGAUGGCCAUGAUAGAUGCUUUUCAAGCAUGCAUGAUCAAAGUUGGUUGUGGCAUAGGAGGUUGAGACAUGCUAACAUGGACCUCAUUUCCCAACUCAACAAAGAUGAACUUGUUAGACGCCUUCCCAAAAUAAAUUUUCAAAAAGACAAAGUUUGUGAAGCUUGUCAAAUGGGAAAGCAAAUAAAAAACUCUUUUAAAAACAAAAAUUUCAUUUCAACAACUAGACCUCUUGAAUUGUUGCAUAUGGAUUUAUUUGGUCACUCUAGGAUACCAAGCCUUGGAGGAAAAUCUUAUGCUUUUGUUAUUGUGGAUGACUUCUCUAGAUACACUUGGGUCUUAUUUUUAAGUCAAAAGAAUGAAGCCUUUUAUAAGUUUUCAAAGUUUUGCAACAAGGUUCAAAAUGAAAAAGGUUUUACAAUUACUUGUAUAAGAAGUGAUCAUAGGAGAGAAUUUGAAAAUAUUGAAUUUGAAGACUAUUGCAAUGAGCAUGGUAUUAACCACAACUUUUUGGCUCCUCGAACUCCUCAACAAAAUGGGGUAGUUGAAAGGAAAAAUAGAACUCUUCAAGAAAUGGCUAAAACCAUGCUAAAUGAAAACAAUUUACCAAAAUACUUUUAGGUCGAAGCGGUUAACACUUCUUGUUAUGUUUUAAAUAGAAUUUUAUUAAGGCCUAUUCUUAAGAAAACUCCCUAUGAGCUUUGGAAAAACAAGAAACCUAACAUUAACUAUUUCAAAGUAUUUUGGUGCAAAUGCUUUAUAUUAAACACCAAAGACAAUCUUGGAAAAUUUGAUGCAAAAUCGGAUGUUGGAAUUUUUCUUGGCUACUCAACUUCAAGUAAAGCCUUUAGAGUUUUUAACAAAAGAACCAUGGUUGUUGUGGAGUCCAUCCAUGUUAUUUUUUAUGAAUCUAACAAUUCUCUCCAAGAAAGAGAGAGCUUUGAUGAUGAUUUAGGCUUGGAGACCUCCAUGGAAAAAUUACAAAUUGAAAAUAAAAGGCAACAAGAAUAAGUUGUAAAGGAUCCCAAGAAAGAAGAAUCACCUUUGGCACUACCUCCUCCUCAACAAGUGCAAGGUGAAUCAAGCCAAGACCCCCCUAAAGAUUGGAAGUUUGUCAUCAACCAGCCACAAGAUCAAAUUAUAGGUAAUCCAUUUUGUGGGGUAAGAACUAGAUCAUCUCUUAGAAAUAUUUGCAAUAAUGUUGCUUUUAUCUCUCAAAUUGAACUUAAAAAUAUAAAAGAUGCUCUAGUUGAUGAAAAUUGGAUGAUUGCCAUGCAAAAAGAGUUAAACCAAUUUGAAAGAAGUGAAGUAUGGGAAUUAGUGCCAAGACCUCAAAAUCAAAGUGUUAUUGGAACUAGAUGGGUCUUUAGAAAUAAAAUGGAUGAAAAUGGCAUAAUUAUACGGAAUAAAGCAAGAUUGGUAGCCCAAGGUUUUAAUCAAGAAGAAUGGAUAGAUUAUGAAGAAACCUUUGUUCCCGUAGCUAGAUUGGAAGCCAUUAGAAUGCUACUUGCCUUUGCAUGUUUUAAAGACUUUGUUUUAUAUCAAAUGGAUGUGAAAAGUGCUUUCUUAAAUGACUUUAUAAAUGAAGAGGUAUAUGUUGAACAACCACCUGAUUUUCAAAGUUUUAACUUUCCUAAUCAUGUUUUUAGACUUAAAAAGGCACUUUAUGGUUUGAAACAAGCACCUAGAGCAUGGUAUGAAAGAUUGAGUAAAUUCCUUUUGAAAAAGGGUUUUAAAAUCGGAAAAAUUGAUACAACUCUUUUCAUAAAAACCAAAGAAAAUGACAUGCUCUUAGUACAAAUUUACGUUGAUGAUAUCAUUUUUGGAGCUACUAAUGUCUCUCUUUGUGAAGAAUUCUCUAAAUGCAUGCAUAGUGAGUUCGAAAUGAGCAUGAUGGGAGAACUUAUCUUCUUCCUUGGACUUCAAAUCAAGCAACUAAAGGAAGGAACCUUCAUCAAUCAAGCAAAGUAUAUAAGAGAUCUCCUUAAAAGGUUCAAUAUGGAGGAAACCAAAACAAUGAAGACUCCAAUGAGUUCAUCCAUCAAGCUUGACAUGGAUGAGAAAGGUAAGCCCAUCAACUCAACUAUGUAUAGAGGCAUGAUAGGUUCUUUGCUAUAUUUGACCGCUAGUAGACUCGACAUCAUGUAUAGUGUAUGCUUGUGUGCUAGAUUUCAAUCUUGUCCUAAGGAAUCUCAUUUAAGUGUUGUAAAACGAAUUCUUAGAUAUUUAAAAGAGACUAUGGACAUAGGUCUAUGGUAUCCUAAGGGUGAUAACUUUGAAUUAAUUGGAUACUCGGAUGCCGACUUUGCCGGUUGUAAAGUUGAGAGAAAAAGCACUAGUGGCACUUGUCAUUUCCUAGGACACUCACUUGUUUCAUGGCAUAGUAAUAACCAAAAUUCAGUAGCUUUGUCUACAGCGGAAGCCGAAUACAUAGCAGUCGGUUUAUGUUGUGCACAAAUCCUUUGGAUGAAACAAACACUAGUGAUUUCAAUUUGAUUUUUGAGCAUGUUCCUAUAAAAUGUGAUAACACUAGUGCAAUAAACAUUUCAAAAAAUCCGGUACAACAUUCUAGGACUAAGCAUAUAGAGAUAAGACACCAUUUUCUUAGAGACCAUGCAUAAAAGGGUAACAUUACACUUGAAUUUGUAAGCACAAAAGAUCAACUAGCCGAUAUUUUUACAAAACCCCUAAGUGAAGAGCAAUUAGUUGAUAUUAGAAGACAACUAGGGGUGAUUUCUUUAUGAUCAAAUGAUUGCUUGAUGAAUUCUUGAUUGAAUAUACCCUAUGAUUGCGUGAAAUUCAUAUCAUAUGCAUCAUAUAGAAAUAAUCCUAGGAAAGAGGUCAAAUUUUGACCAAAAAUCAAAAUUCCCAUGGCAUUGGACAUAAAAAAAUUGGGGAUUUCAACUGAAAAGGGCAGGGGGAGGAUCACGAGACAAGAAAAUGCAACAAAAUUUUGAAAAAUUGACCAUUGACCGUUGACCAAGUGGUCGACAGGUUGAGGAACCGGUCGACCAGUUCGUCGAGGCUGGGAAUUUAAAAAGCCCCCCUUCCCACUUCAUUUCUCACCUGUUCUCCUCCAUAGCUUGAAGCCUCUUCACAUCCCUGCUUCCAGAAGACUGUUUUGGCCAGAUUUCGGACCGAUUGAAGGCUAUGAACUUGAUUUUGGGACGCCUUAAGGUUAGGGUUUUGAUUUGAAACCCAGGGUUUCAGCUUUUGGGAGUGUUUCUUCUCUACACCACACGCCUCAGGGUUGGUUCAACUUCAUUUCUGUGCGCCUAGGGCUUCGGGUUUGUGAUUGCUCCUUCUCGUUUCAUUUCAUUCUCUCUUUUUGGACUCUUCCUUCUCAUUUUCAUUCAUUGGAUGGCACCAAGGUGAGAAACGGGCACCUCCAGGGCUCAGGGCAAGCGCCCUAUUGAGCCAUAUCAGCCUGAGUAGACGGAGGCUCGCCGAAAGGUGAGGUAUGACACGACCUUUUUCAGUUCGAUUGAAGAUUAUCAGCACUACAAGCAAAAGUUCGCCUAGAGGAAAGUCGUCCUGGGGAGAAGUGUCAAUUUCUCCCAACUUCAGCACUUCGGGUUUGAGGGACCAUUCGGUUGGAUGGGAUGGCUGUCAGUUAUGACAAUUUCUGAGCCAAUCUUCCCAACUUUGGUGCGGGCUUUUUAUUCCCGGGUGACUUAUGGGCUUAGAGAACCGGUAUUGUCCACUAUGAAGGGAGUUGAGAUCAAAUUGAGUCCCGAGAGUAUCUGCCGCAUUCUCAACAUCCCUUCAGUUGGACUCCGAGUGUAUGAGGCCAAGGCGUGGGCCAUUGUGCCGAGAUUUGAGCCUAGAGAGGCUGUUCAGAGGUUGUGCGGACUCGCAGAUGCCUAGGAGAUGGGCAAACCAUCAGCACACAGCCUGACUAUGCCCAGUCGAGUCCUUCACCACAUGAAAUGCUCCAUUUUAUUGCCACGUGGAGGACAUCGAGACGAGGUCUCCUACCUUGAGGCAUUUAUUGUGGACUCGAUCAUCACCAGGAGACGGAUUCACGUGGGAUAUCUGAUUAUGAUGCAUAUGAUCUCCUGCGUUGAGAGCACGACACGAGUACUCCCUUACGACUGCUUUCUUACCCGAGUAUUCAAGGAUGCUGGGGUCGACUUGAGUAGAGAGAUGGAUUUCAAGGCCCCCAUCAGCUAUGACACGUAUGAUGAGCAGUUUUUGGGGCGCAUGAAGUUCGAAAAGGCACCCGAUGGCUCCUAGGUUAGGAAAGCUGAGCGACAGGCCCGAGGACAGGAUCAGAUGCAUCCCGGAGCAAAGGAGGAGACCGAUAUCAGAGAGAUGGAGGAUGGGUUAGACCCUCACAGGGACUUUGAGCAAAGAGGGCCCGAGCUUGACAUUCUGCCUCCACCUCAAUCAGAAGGCAUUCAUGUUGAGGCUACCUACUCAGAGCCUAUGAUGACUGAGUCGUCUUUCACAGUAGGACCAUCAUCUCAACCAUCAUUUACCGAGCUACCAUCUCAGGCACCUCACACUCCUGAUUAUGCGCCUUGGAUGGAUGUCUCCGCUCAGAUCAGCUCACUUGGGACUCGUAUGGAGGAACUUGCCUUAGUCCAUGACUCUCGCUUCUACUCUAUGGAGGAGCACAUGGAUUAGUAUCAGACUAGAGUCACUUCUCGAUUUGAUCACUUCCAACAGCGAUUUGAGCGCAUAGAGGAGCGUAUGGAUCAACAGCAGGCUACAUUCGAGCAUCUCCAACAAAGCAUUGAUCGUAUUAAGAGUCGUCAAGCGAGUUAGCAUGAAGAGAUGAUGACCUACUUUCGCUUUGUGUUUCCUCCUUCACCCCCUUAGCCUUGAGACUAUCUAGACAUCCCCCUCUGUUUAUUUUUUAUGUUGCCAAAGGGGGAGAAAUUUAUAGGAUCUAGGAGACUCUCAUGCAUGUCAUUGUCAUCAUAGUCAUAUCUAUUUUGUUUGUACAUGUGAGGUUUCGUUUCCAUAUAUAUAUGAUAUGAUAUUUUUAUGAUCUAGUGUUCAUUUUCGUGUUUCACAUUGCUUCCUAUUAAAAAUCGUUUGAAUUGAUCCAUGAUUGGUUUGAGGAGGAGAUUUUUUUUCUCUCCUAGAUAACCAAGGUUUGUCAUCAUCAAAAAGUGGGAGAUUGUUAGCUCAAGGGUUCUCCUAAUCGGGUUUUGAUGAUAACAAACCAUGGUUAAGUGACUAAUUAGUUUAAAUGUUUAAGAAUAUGAGGUAUAAACUCGAAUAUUCAUUAAAGGACCAAAUGGAUACAAGAUCGAGACGCUUAAAAGACUUGUGAUCAUAGGAAACUAAUGUAAGAUGAAUGCAUGAGUGCACUUAGGAAUUUCAUACAUUUCAUGCAUCUUAGGAAACUCGGUUUAUUCUUUAAAACUUCGAUUUCAUUAAAACCUGAGUUUCUAACUAAUGUACCUUAGGCAAAAUUUUUUAUAAUUGGCUUAAUAAUUUACCUAAAGACCUUGCCUAAGUGUUAGAAAAGAAAGGAAUAAAAAAAAAAGGUUUUAGGGGCCAAAAAGGCUCAACCGGUCGAGAAUAUGGCCAACCGGCUCAACCGAUUAUGCUCGUCCGGUCGAGGACCUGUCGAGGGAGGUCAAAAACCUUCUCUCUCUCCCAGUAGCCUUCUCUUCCCGGUCGAGGUAUUUCUCUUACCGGUCAAGGUCCGGUCGAGGUCCGAUUGAGGCAACGGUAGUUGUCAUGCAUUAAAUGCUCCAACAGUUAGUGAACCGGUCGACCCCUAACUCGACCGGACGAGGUUACCUUUUACUGUUUUUGACUCCCGAGCUUAGAAACCUAUAAAUUGAGAGCUCCACUUCAUUUAUUGACAAGAGAACACUUGCAUUCAAUAGCUUACCUACCUGUUCUUGAUAAAAAAAAACUCUCAUUUCUUUCAUAGUGCAUUAAAUCACCACUUGCAUAUCCUUUAGUGCACUUUUGUGUGUCAUUUGUAUUGUAUUUGAGCUAUCCUUAAGCUAGGUUGAGGGAUUAUAUCUUGUAAAAAUCUGAGUGUUAAAGCCUUCAAGAGGGUUGAAUCUUGAAGAGGUUGUGUAAGAGCCCAUUGGAGCCGGAAUCCAAGUGUAAGAAGAUUGGAAGCUUGGUUGAAGCUUUAAGUUAGUGGAACUCUCACUCGGUUAGGAGGUUGAGGAGAGUGGACGUAGGCAAGGAAGUGCCGAACCACUAUAAACCCAAGUUUGAAUUCUCUAAACUCUAUCUCUUUACUUUACUUAUAUUGUGUUUGAAUUCGUUGUGAUUGAAAAGAUUUUAAAAACCCAAUUCACCCCCCCUCCCCCCUUUUGGGUGUUUUUCUUAACUAAGCAUAGCCUUUGUUUUCUCAAUUAGUAUCAGAGCUAGACCUCUUUGUAAGACUUAAUCGUCUAAGAGGAAAUGGCUAUUCCAUUUUGCAUGUCCAUAGAAAAAUUUUGAGCUUGUUUGCCCACGAUAUGGACCUGCUUUAUUUAUUUCAAACUUGCUUUAUAUAUGUGUGUGAUAUGAUGUAUAGUUUUUAAGGUUAUGAUUUUUUUUUUCUUUCCCUGUGAAUUUUCCCGUUUAGAGUUUUUCACAUAAAUUUGUGUGUUCUUAUUUUGUUUUUUCUUAUUGUCUAUUCUCGUUAUUUUAUAACACAAACAAUCUUCAACUUUUUCAAGCCACAUAAAAUAUCACUUGAAUUGUAAUAUUUUGGGUGGUUGGGAAAUAUUUUUUUUAUAUGCUUAUUUGAUUAGUAAUUUGAAAUUAAGCAUAUGGUAAGAUCCAAAAUGUAUCAUAACUCAAUUAAUUAGGCAUAAAAAAUUGAGGUAUUAAAAAAAUUAUUUAAAAUUUUAUGAACCUAAUCUAUGAUUUUCCAUUUAAAAAAAAAAAUUCGACACUAAACUGAAUUGAACUAAAAAUUAUAUACUUAUGUAUAAUACUUAAUAUCUGUUUGUUGUAUUACUAAAUUUUUGCUAUAUGAUAGCAUACCACAUCUAUAUACUUUAUAAUUGAACUACUUAGUAAUGCUAUGAGAAGGUUAUAUCAAUAGGUAUAUGUAAUAUCCCUAAUUUAGUUUUCACAAAAUAAUAAUAAUAAUAAUAAUGGUGGAUAGGGAAGUUACAAUUUUAAAUCACAACCAAUGAGUUACAAAUUUUAUACCACUUUGGAGAAGUUUUAGUUUUAAAAGAAAAAAAAAUAUUUAACAAUUUUGAAAAAUCAAGAAAAGUGAGAAAAACCCUAGAGAGAUAGGAUAAGAGGUAAAAGAGAGAAAAACCCAAAGAUAAACGUCAAGAUUGAUUUCACAUCGUUGAUUAUUUUUAUUCUCUACUAAGUAAAAUUUAUGGUAAGUCUUUAAAAUAUAUUCUUUUUUUUUUUAAAGAUAUAUGUUCAUGAUAAGAUUCUUAUAUUAAUCAAAGGUAGUACUAUGAAUGUGGCCUCUAAUUUAAUCCUAGACAAAAACAAAGUCUUCGUGAAUAUAAGAGUUUUUAUUAUUAUUUGGAAGAAAUUUUUAUACAAUACAAUUCUAAAAUAAAGAUAUGUAUUUAGUCUAAAGGACAAUUCUAAAAAUUUAAGAAGGUUUUGAAGAAAAAUAUAAACAUAAAUAAAUAAAUAAUUCAUUGUAGUUGUUCAAUAAAAGAAUGCAAUGUAGAAUAUAUAUUCAAUGAGAAAAAAAUGUGAAUAAUAAAGGAAAAUAAGAAAAAUAAAAUAUUCAUUGUACAAUAAAAAAUAUUAAUUAGGAUAUACAUAAGGUUUUGAAGAAAAAUAUAAAGAUAAAUAAAUAAAUUCAUUUUAGUUGUUCAAUAAAAGAAUGCAGUGUAGAAUAUAUAUUCAAUGUGAAAAAAAUAUGAAUAAUAAAGGAAAAAAGAAAAAUAAAAUAUGUAUUGUAAAGCGAGGAUAAAUGUGACUCAAAUAAAAGUAGAGACAACUAUAUAUUACUUUAAUAAUAAAUAUAAUGGGGGAAGGAAUCAUAGAAGAGAAAUGAAAUAGUUGAAAAAAUGAAAGCAAGAGAGAAUAUGAGAGAAUGAGAAUUUCUUUCUUUUCUUGGGAUACUUUUGUACAAAGGAUGGAAGGUCUUUUAUAGGCCUCACAAAAAUGUUCCAUUAAUGCUCUCCAUUAAUAUCAAUAAAUGAAGCCAUUAAUGGAAGACUUUAUAUAAUGUUUUAAUAUAAGUUUUAAUGCAAAUGGGACUUUAACUGGUGACAUCCACCCUUGGAUGUCCAUCACACUAAAGAAUAUACCUCACUAAAACCUUGCUAGUAAAAGAACUCUAUGGCAAAAACCUAGCGAAGGAAAAAAAAAGUACAAUUUAAGUUGUUUUUUGUAUGUUAGAAUUGCCUCGUUAAAAAACUUGCCUGUAAAACCCAAUGAGACAAAACCUAGAUGAAGGGAAAAAAGAGUACAAUACACUAACACCCUUUUAAAAACAUUCUCCUCCUCAUGUUGAUAUCCUUGAGUUGACACAUUCCAAUUUGAUAUACUAAGAUAUCAUCAGUAAAGAUAACCACAAACUGAUCCAAAUAGGAUUUGAACACCCUAUUCAUCAAAUCCAUAAAAGUUGUAGGGGCAUUAGUUAAACCAAAAGGCAUCACUAAGAACUCAUAAGGCCCAUAUCAAGUUUGAAAAACGAUGUUGGGUACAUCCUCCCCCUUCAUCUUAAGUUGAUGGUAACCAAAAUGAAUGUCAAUCUUUAAGAAUAUAGAAGCACCUUGCAAUUGAUCAAAUAGAUAAUCAAUUUGAGGUAGUGGGUAUUUAUUUCUAAUAGUCACCUUGUUGAGUUCUCUAUAGUAGAUACAAAGCCUCAUUGACCCAUGUAUUUUUAACUAAUAACACUAGAAUACCUCAAGGUGACACAUUGGGCCUAACAAUGCUCUUUUCCAACAUUUCCUCAAGUUGCAUCUUCAACUCAUUAAAUUCCAUGGGUGUCAUACAAUAAGGUGCCCUAGAUAUAGGAGUUGUCUCAAGCAUUAACUCAAUGAUGAACUUCGCCUCUCUUUCUAGUGGAACUUUUCAAGAAAGACAUUUGGAAAGUGUCUCACAACCAGAAUGUUUUCUAUCCUUAAAUACUUUGUCUCUAACAAUAUUUCUUUUAUGGCCAAAAGGCUUUCUUGACAAAAAAUUUCAUCUCGACAAUUGUCUCCAAAAUUGUGUCACCCUAUAGUUUUGGAGACGAAUAAUUACAUUUUGUUAGGAAAACGUAUCUAUGACGAAAUGAAAUCUCAUGGCCAAAACUAUUUGGCAACGAGAGUUUUUUAUGGCGUAAAAUAAAAUGUUUUGUUGGGAAUUAGAUUUUCAAAUAUCUAGUAAACCAUUUGGUGACACAAGAUUUCAUUGGACAACGAAAUUAUUUCAUCUCUAAAUGUUAAUUUAUACAUUAGGAGAUGAAAUAUUUUAAUCUCCAUCAUGUUAACAUAGAGUUUCUACAACGAAAUAAUUUUAUGUCAAAAUAUUGACAUAUAGUUUCAGUAACAAAUAAAUCUUGUCUCUAAAUGUUUUCAUUACAAUUGGAGACAACAUUAUUUCAUCUUUAAAACUAAUCAUGUUUAGGUAAUGAGAUAGUUUUAUCUCUAAAUGUCUUUAUUCAUAUUAGAAGAUAAAAUAAUGAAACAAAUUUCGUAUUUAUACUAAUUUGAGGAUGAAAUAAUUUCCUCCCUAAAUAUAAUAUUAUUAUUAAUUUUUAAAAUUUUAAAUAAUCCUAUUGAAACAUUUAUAAACCUGUAUGAUAUUCAACACUUUCAAAUAUAAGAUGAUAUUAUACAAAAUGAAUAAUUUAAUAAUGCAAAAAUACAAUAACCUAUAGAAAAUAAGUAAGAACAAAACAUUUGUUUUAUCAAUGCAAACCAUACUUGCAAAUAAAAUUAUCUAUGCUAUUUGAAUAUUAUCUAAAAUAAAAAUGACUAACAUAUAAUAGUAAACCACAUAAUAAUGUCAACUUGAUAGUGAAGGUGGUGGUUAGGAAGCUAAGCCAAAAUGAGGUGGUAGUGAGUUAGAAGUAUUGGUUUGUUGUGGCACGAAACUCUAUAUCAUUGCCUUCAACUAGUCCAAUUAAGUGGUAGUUGUAGUCUUAAACUCUUGUAACUCUAUGAUCUAUUGUCACAACUUCUUUGUCUCUUUAUUAGGAAAUUUAGUUGCACUUGAAUGGUUAAGUUGUGAUCCAUAUCCCAAACCUUGAACAUAACUUGAUUGCUUCUUAAGCACUCAAUGAGUUAUCACUAAGUCAGACAAGAGUACCAACCUUCUGGGUACUUUGCUCUUGAAUCUCAUGCAUCUCUUCGUGAAAAAUAUAGUAUAAUUUUAAUUAGUAAAAAUAUUACCAUAACAUAUUUACCUUUUACUACUACAAGUAACAUGACUCUUACGUAUCGAGAUUUAAGAGUAUCAUUUAUCCAUCCUUUACUCGCAUUGUAGUAGGUGGCACAAAAUAACUCCACUUCCUUUUCAACCCUUCAAUGGUAAGACUCUUUUACAUGCACAAAAAAAAAUAAUUAAGUUACUUUUAAAGAUAAUGAAUAAACUCCCCUUUACAACUUUUUAGGUAAAACAUGUCUUUUACAUAAAUAGAAUAAAAUAAAAAUAUUAUUUUAAAGAUAUAAUUAAGAAGUAUAUAUUAUAUCAUUGAGUUAUGGUGAUGAUAAAACGCUAAUCAUUUAGAUCCAUCACAAUGAUUGAAUGGAAGCUUUUCAUGAUUUUCAUUAUUUAUAGCGGCCAUUUUCUACACAAUAAUAUUACUAAAAGAGUAAGUAAAACGAAAAUGAAAAAAUUAUAGUAACCUAAGAAUUAGAUAAAUAUGUUAGACAAAUAACCAAACAUAUAAUAAAGUAAAGUUUUUCUACCAUGUUUUAAGUAGUCUCCUCCAUUAAUCAGACUAUAUAUACACCUAUGUACAAUAUUUUAAUUUUUCAUAAUAAAUCAACAUUCCAACAUAGCAUUUCAAUUAUUCAUAAUAAACAAACAUUCUAAUAGAAUACUUCAAUUUUUCAUAAUGAAUCAACAUUAUGACAUAAAUUUUGAUUUUCAACUUGGUUUAAAUGACAAAUUCCUACUUUAUACUUCAAAAUAUACCAAUUAAUGAAAAAUUCACUUUUUCUUUUUUAUCUUUCCAACUUUUAACAUCUACGAUACUUAAACUUGAUUUUUCAAUCACAGUAAAACCAAAUUCUUAAUUUAAAAAUAAAUUAAAUUUUUGAGCUUUCAUUCAAUACUGUGACAAAUUAAUUUAUUAUCAAUUAGUAAUAAUUAUUAAUAGAAAUAAAAUAUAAUUUAUAUAUUUUCUUUUCUUUUUUUUAAAGAAUUUCUUCCUUACUUCUUAAGUAAAUUUAGAUAUAUCAUUUUCUCAAGAAUAUUUACUGAAUAUAAAUACAAAAAAUAUAAGAACAAAUUAAUUUUAAUAUGAAAUAAAUUUAAACUCAUAUAUUUUGACUUGACAAUAUGAAAACGUUUACUGUUUUCCAAACAAACAUAAUUAAAUACAUCAAUAUGAUAAUGAAUUACCCACACUAAGACCUGCAAAUAUAUCUAAUAAUUAUAAUUUUUAUUUUAAAAUAAAUAUUUGAACAUCACUAUUUAAUAAUUUCAGACACAUAAAGAUAUAUCUUUAGCCUUAUAAAAUAAACAAUAAUGCAUAAAUUCUCAAACCAAAUUCCACAUAAUAACAAACAAAUUGGAUGAAAAAAAUGGGGAAAAUACACAAUUUCUCAAACAAAAUUCUACUUAAUAGCAAACUACUCAAAAAAAUGAAAAACAAAAUAAAUAAUUUUAGAAACAAAAAAAAAAAUUAUGUAUAAUAACAAACAAACACAUAGGAAUCUUAAAAAUAACAAACAAACCAAAAUUAUGUAUAAUAACAAAAAAGAAACAAGAAAAUAUAAAAUAAAAAUAAAUAAUGUAUUACAUGAUGUGAAAAAUACGUCAAAUACCCAUGUAAACCCCUUAAAAGACCAAUGUUUUUUUUUUUUUUUUAUUUAGCUGGGGACCACCCGAGGAGGUUUGUUUGGCAUUCAUUUUUCAAGAUGUGGGGGACCCCUCUCCAUGCAUGGGACGUGCAGCAGCAGGGGGGUGAUGGCUGGCCAUGCUUGCUGAUGGGUGAACAGCAGGGCAAGUAGUGGCUUGCCAAGGAAGAAAAGAAGACGAAGAUUUUAAGGAGAAGGAUAAGAGAGAAAAAAAGAAAAGAAAAAAACGAGGGGGGAGGAGAUCUGAAACGGGGAAGAGAUUUUCAGGUAUGAGCACUGCGGAUUUCCUUCUUCAUCUUCUUUAUUACAUCAUUCUUCAUGCAUUUAUCUGGUGUUUCUCUUGCUUUCAUUUGUUAUUGGGGUAUUUUAUCGCUCUGUUUUCUUUGCCAUCUUCUCCGAGCAUUCAGUUCAAAGGUAAACCCGGAUUCUAUUUGAGUUAUGCCACUGACCACGGAGCCCGUUUAUGUCGGCAUGAAAUGGGUUCCUAUGAUUGUUUGUUUGUUUUAUUAUUUUGGGAAGUGCUCAGUUUGAGGUUGUUCAUCUCUGUUUCUUUUCUUUUUUUUCUUUUUUUCUUUCCUGGUACCUCAAUCUUUGUCCUCCAACACGCGUGUGGAGAUCACGUGUCACUCAGCCGGCGACCAUGCCUACGUCCGCAUUGACUCACCGGCCGGAGGACCUGCUCACACGGCUGCGCUGCGCCAACGCCGAAGCCUGCCCUCCCCCCCUCUGUGAAAUCCAAUUACAGAAACCUAAAAAAAUCUAACCCUGAAAGUCUUCUCUUUGUCUUCACCAUGGACGACCUUGGGCCACCUACAGAGACGAAGACGAAGAAGACGACGAUUGCGCUGACACUGCCGGAGGAGAACCAAGCGACGGAGCAAGCCAUCGAGAUGGCCACAGCAGCGGUGGAAGCGACGGAGAUGCCGAAAGUCACACAGAAGGCGAAGAAAGUGGAGCUGGCCUAUGAUAGAAUGCGUGCCGCGAGUGGGAAAGGGUACAGAGUGGUUAAGGCUACUAGAGGGGUUGUGUAAGGAGCUUGGUAUUUUGAAAUCAGGUUUUGAAGUUGAGGGAGACAAGGCAUACGAGGCUUGGAUGGUCAACGGAGAAGGGGGCUUGCAGGCGCCAGUGGGGUACGAUGCAAAUGGUUUCAGGUAUAGGGAUAUAGGUGGGAUUAAGGUGCACAAGGCCAUGGAGGAGAAUGUGGAGAGGAAAGAUUAUUUAAUUUGUUUAAAAGAGUUAAUGGCCACGUGCAAGCCAAAGGAAUGUUUAUUUAAUUUUUUUAAAAGAGUUAAUGGCCACGUGCAAGCCAAAGGAAUGUUCUUGGGGUAGCAAUAAAAAAAAAAUACCCAGGCCACUUUAUGGUCCCGGUGUUAGCAUAUGAGACAUGAGUUUUAUUUAUUUAUUUAUUUAUUAUUAUGUGUGUUUCUAGUUUAUCAUACCUAUUUAAAUAAUUCCUCCAAGUCCCGGAUUCCAAAUUCUAAUCCUCAAUUCCCACAAUUCCAAUUUUUCACACUUGUUUAUUUAGUCGUUAUUAUUAUUAUUAUUAUUAUUAUUAUUAUUAUUAUUAUUAUUCCAUAUUUAUUUAAUUAUUUCAUUUAAAAAUUCAAAUCAUUCAAGUUCAGUAAUUAAAAAAUCUGACUUCCUAAUUUAAUAUUCAAUUGCAAAAAUUCCAUUAUUCAUUUUUACUCGUUUAAAUAUUGUUUUCGUUAAUUAGUAUUACUACCCCAUAUUUAUUUAUUAUUUUGAUCAUUAAAGUCCAAUUCUUCAAAAAUCUAGAGUCCUAAUUUAACUUUUAAUCCCAAAAUUCCACUAUUCAUUUUUACUCGUUUAAAUAUUAUUUUCGUUAAUUAGUAUUAUUACCCCAUAUUUACUUAUUAUUUCGAUCAUUAAAGUCCAAUUCUUCAAAAAUCUGACUUCCUAGUUUAAUAUUCAAUCGCAAAAAUUUCACUAUUCAUUUUUACUCGUUUAAAUAUUGUUUUCGUUAAUUAGUAUUAUUACCCCAUAUUUAUUUAUUAUUUCGAUCAUUAAAGUCCAAUUUUUAAAAAAAUCUAAUGUCCUAAUUUAAUUUUCAAUCCCAAAAAUUCCACUAUUCAUUUUUACUCGUUUAAAUAUUGUUUUCGUUAAUUAGUAUUAUUGUCCCAUAUUUAUUUAUUAUUUCGAUCAUUAAAGUCCAAUUCCUAAAAAAAUCUAACGUCCUAAUUUUUAUUUUCAAUCCCAAAAAUUCCACUAUUCAUUUUUACUCGUUUAAAUAUUGUUUUCGUUAAUUAGUAUUACUACCCCAUAUUUAUUUAUUAUUUUGAUCAUUAAACUCCAAUUCAUAAAAAAUCUAGUGUCCUAAUUUAACUUUUAAUCCCAAAAUUCCACUAUUCAUUUUUACUCGUUUAAAUAUUAUUUUCGUUAAUUAGUAUUAUUACCCCAUAUUUACUUAUUAUUUUGAUCAUUAAAGUCCAAUUCUUCAAAAAUCUGACUUCCUAAUUUAAUAUUCAAUCGCAAAAAUUCCACUAUUCAUUUUUACUAGUUUAAAUAUUGUUUUCGUUAAUUAAUAUUAUUACCCCAUAUUUAUUUAUUAUUUCGAUCAUUAAAGUCCAAUUCUUAAAAAAAUCUAAUGUCCUAAUUUAAUUUUCAAUCCCAAAAAUUCCACUAUUCAUUUUUACUCGUUUAAAUAUUGUUUUUGUUAAUUAGUAUUAUUGCCCCAUAUUUAUUUAUUACUUCGAUCAUUAAAGUCCAAUUCCUAAAAAAAUCUAACGUCCUAAUUUAAUUUUCAAUCCUAAAAAUUCAACUAUUCAUUUUUAUUCGUUUAAAUAUUGUUUUCGUUAAUUGGUAUUAUUACCCCAUAUUUAUUUAUUAUUUUGAUCAUUAAAGUCCAAUUCUUCAAAAAUCUAGCGUCCUAAUUUAACUUUUAAUCCCAAAAUUCCACUAUUCAUUUUUACUCGUUUAAAUAUUGUUUUCGUCAAUUAGUAUUAUUACCCCAUAUUUACUUAUUAUUUCGAUCAUUAAAGUCCAAUUCUUCAAAAAUCUGACUUCCUAAUUUGAUAUUCAAUCCCAAAAAUUGCACUAUUCAUUUUUGCUUGUUUAAAUAUUGUUUUCCUCAAUUAGUAUUAUUGCCCCAUAUUUACUUAUUAUUUCAAUCAUUAAAGUCCAAAUUCUUCAAAAAUCUAACGUCCUAAUUUAAUUUUCAAUCCAAAAAAUUUUCACUAUUCAUUUUUACUUGUUUAAAUAUUGUUUUCGUUAAUUAGUAUUAUUACCCCAUAUUUACUUAUUAUUUCGGUCAUUAAAGUCCAAUUCUUCAAAAAUCUAAUGUCCUAAUUUAAUUUUCAAUCCAAAAAAUUUUCACUAUUCAUUUUUACUUGUUUAAAUAUUGUUUUCGUUAAUUAGUAUUAUUACCCCAUAUUUAUUUAUUAUUUCGGUCAUUAAAGUCCAAUUCUUCAAAAAUCUAAUGUCCUAAUUUAAUUUUCAAUCCCAAAAAUUUCACUAUUCAUUUUUUUGUCCGUUUAAAUAUUAUUUCCGUUAAUUAGCAUUAUUAUUCCAUAUUUGUUUAUUUAUUCCAAUCAUUAAAGUUCAAUUCUUCAUAACCCGACUUCCAAAUUUAAUUUCCAAUAUCAAAAACCACACUAUUCACAUUCAAUUGUUUAAUGAUUAUUUUCGUUAUUAAUGUUAUCCCAUCCAUUUAUUUAUCCACUCAUUUCUAUGUUAAAGAUCUCAUCUCUAAAUAAUUUCUUAAAUUUUCAACCUCUAAGUUUAAUCACCAAUUUCUAAAAAUCUCAUCUUUCGCAGUUAUUUACCUGACCUCUAUUAUUUCGUCAUCGUUAUUAUUCCAUUCAUUCACUUAUUCACUCAUCUGCUUAUCCACUUAUUUAAAAUUCCAUCCCUAAGUAAUUCAACAAAUUUCCAAUCCCAAAGUCCAAUUUCCAAUUUCCGAAGCCCCUAACUUCCGCAAUUAUUUAUCCAAUCAUUAUUACUUCGUCAUCAUUAUUCCAUUCAUUUAUUUAUUCACUUAUUCAUUUAUUUAAAAUCCUGUCUUUAAAUAGUUCCUCAGAAUUCCGAUUUCCAAAUUAGUUCUCUGAAAUUCCAAUUCUCUAAUUUCCGAACUUAAUUUUCGGUUUCCCAUGCUCUAGUUCUCGUAUUUAUCCCAUUACUUAUUAUUAUCAUUACCACUAUUAUCUUAUCCAUUAUUUCUAAAAAUUCUGCCUUUGAAUGAUUUUCAAGAUUUCCAAUUUUUAUAAUCCAAUUUUCAUAAUCUCUACUUCUCAAAUAAUUUUCAAUUAUGAUUUCUUUCAAAAUUUAAUUCCCAAAGUCCCAAUUUUCAUAAUUUAAUUUUUUUUUAAAUCCCGAGCUCUCAAAUAAUUUUCAAAAUUCCAAUUUCUUUCAAAUUUAAUUUCUAAAAUUCUCAUUCUCACAUUUAAUCUCUAAAAGUCUGAUCUUCAAAUAAACUGUAAAAAAAAUUCCAAUUUUCUAGUAAUCUUCGAGAUUCCAAUUCUUCAAAUAAAUUUCAAAAAUCCAGUUUUCUCUCAAAUAGUUUUAAUUCCGCUCUGGUUUUCAAACGAUCUUCUGUUCCUUUUGAUUUCAAUAAGCAUGAAUGAUUACUACUCAAAAAGUGCUAUUUUAUAGCUUGUAAUUAACUCUUUUAAACACUUUUGAGUAGUAGUUAUUACCUUUUAACCCAAUUAACAUAUUAAGGACCUUUGCAAGCAUUUCUAAUCAAAGUGUGUAAGUUUUGGUGUUUUUGUUAGUAAAUUGACCACCAAAGCAAUCCGAGAUUGAGGAGAGUUCUUUAGAAUCCAUGGCAAAGCAAUGGAAAGCUCAGAAACAUGAAGAACCGAAGCUUUGAAGUCCUUUGCCAUAAGCAAAUCCGGAAUGCAAGGAAGGGAAGCAAAGAGAAAUCUAACAUGAAGCAUUCUAGAUGACAGUCAUGUCAGCCACUUUUGGAGCACUUCCUGGAGUUCAAUUUAUGCAUACUAUAUGUCGUUUUGAAGCUCGGGAAGUCAACAAUCCAAUGCUUUAAACGGUGCGUGAUUCGGAGUUGAAAUGAAGGAGUUACAGCCAUUGGAAGCCGAUCACUCCAAGAUGAAGGAAAAUUUCACACGACUGCGAAAUCAGCCUUAGGCUGUGAAAAGGGUGUCCUUUUGCUGCGAAAUUUUGCAGCCCUUUUGCUGUGAAAUUUCUCCUAAAGCUUCUCGAUAUUUGCGACCGACAUUUUGAGAUUUUUUGCUUUAGAUGUUUGAUGUCUAAAUCCUCAAACUCUCCUUGUAACCCACCUAUCAUAGGAUUCCUUAGUCUUUAAGUAAGAACAAAGGGUGAAUAACUUGUUAUAUAUAGUUGUAAUUUUCUUUACAAAUAAAAAAUCUCAGGAGCUUGUUCUCAGAGACAACCUUUUUUAAUAGUUAGAAAUAUAUUUUACAGAGCACUUGCUCUUUUUUUUCCUUCAUAUUUUUAUUUUCUCGUUCUUUUUAUUUCUAGCCAAUCAAACUUUGAGGAUUUUUCCUCAGAGGAUGAGUGGCUAGGCUCUUCGUCUCUUGGAGUGAAGAAAGCCGGGUAAGUUUCCUCAUGCAUAAAUUGGAAGUUUUGUUGUUUUAGUUUUUAAUGAAGAGAAAGUGUGACCCGUUAAUGGUUUUUAUCUUUUUAGUUAACUUAAAACGCCUUUAAAUCACCUGGGCUAACACUUGGUAAGACAAGUGAUCUUGGUCCAUUGAGAUGCACUAGUUUACCUCUUGCAAGCCUUUAGGAGGUGGUUUGAAGGUAGGAUUUUCUAAAAUAGCCAACACUUGGUAAGUUUUUGGACUCUAAGGAGACAUCCAUUAGUUAUCUCUUGCGAGCUUUUGACGGGUAAUCCAAGGUUAAAGAUCACCUUGAAUGGCAAAUGCUAGGUGAGAGGCACAAGUCAUUGCAAGAUGCAUCAGUGAGAAGGAUUUGGUGUUUGAACCCAUUAAUGGGAAGCAUCUGUACCACACCGAUUAGAGAAUUAACUAUAUGUUAAUUCUUUAAUGCGAGAAAAAGAAACAAGUGACCGGAACUCUCCUUUUUGUAUGAGGAACCUGAGCCUAGUGAUCUGAAACUCCAAGAAACACUUUUCUUUGUAAUUAAAAUCAGUUACUAUUUUUGGUUAGCUUAAAACCAAACCUUUUCCACCAAAGAUUAUGUUUUCUUUUAAAGCUAACCUUGAAAUGAAAAGGCACCAAUUCAUCUUUGAAUUAAUAUCAAUUGUGAAGUGAAAACUCAUCCCAGUGAACGACCCUAGAGCCACUAUGCUAUGCUAGCUAAGGCUAUCCUAGUACAUGGUGUAAUAGGUUAUAAAUUUUGUUGAUUACUCCCUUCUGAGGACCACAAUCAAGGAGCACCAGCUGGACACGAAUCAAAUGGUACCACUUUCAGGGACCAUUGAGAGGACAUGAAUCAGUUGAGACACCAAUUGGGAACGUAUCAAUGAAUAAUUUUUUUUUAUAUAUAAUUCCAGAAUAAUGGAAUUUGUGACAUUAAGUCAUGCUGAAUAAACGGGUAUUGGUGGAGGCCCAACAUGGGUGACUUUAUGAUUGAUUGAUUGAUUGUUUGAUUGGAUUAUCAUACAUGAUUGAUUUAUCCUACUCUCUGACAUGCAUGAGAUUAUUUCUUAAUUGUGCACUAACCCGCUCUCUUGAUAGCGCAUUGACGUUUGAUGCCAAGGUAUGCCCCGCUCCCACUUUGAUCGUUUUUUAUUGAGUGUUUUAAUUCUCAUAUGCGCAUGAUCAAUUUGAGUAUACAUUGAUUUUCCUACUAAUUGCCAUGUCAGUUUCGUUUUAUUAGUAGAAGCCCGACUUUAGGGACUUAGAGGGGUGCUAUGGUCUUUACCUACCUUCCCGAUAAGUAACCUGACCCCCGAGCCCGACCCGAUUUUUCGUAGAUCACCUUUUCCAAAAUGAGGAGUCACACUUAGGGUUUUCUUUCUUAUUUUGUUUACCCUUUUAAAAAAGUAAAACAAAAAUAAGUGGCGACUCCAAGUCAUUUUUCAAACAAUAAAAUCAUUUUCAAAGUAAAAUCAAGCUCGCCAUCGAGUGGAAAACGCAUGAGUCAAAAUGCAGGGUCCACAACCCAUAAAAAAAAUAUUUAAUCAAAUAUCUUCUCCAAUAAAAUUAUGUAUAAUAACAAAAAAUUUCAGAAUAAAAGUGACCAACAACAGUCAGUAGAACAAACCGAAAUAAAAUUAUGGGUCAUAACAAUCCUAAAAUUAAAUAAAAUAAAAACAUAAAGUUAUAAUAACCCCACACCUGUGUUAUGUGUGGCGUUGUGCAUUGAUAGCAGCAUCAGCGAAACAAGAUUGACCAACAACAGUUGGCAACAUCACUUAAUGGCGAAGAAAGCAGCAACUUGCGACAACAAGUAUGGUGAUGAGUUUGGAAUAAUUGAGGAGAACUAAGAGCAAGGGUUUUUGUAGGGAGUUUAGGAAAGCUUUUAAUUUUAGUUAUUUUUUUUUUUGUUUUUUUAUGUUUCCAUUUAACAUCCCAGAAUAUUACUUUAUAAUUCCUUAUAUAAAUAUUUGCCAAUUAUAAAAUGGUUUUUAGGAUUGUUUUUUAUUUUGGUUUUUUUUUUAAAUUUUUAUUCUUUUAAAAAAUUAUCAAGAUUACUUUAAAAAUAUUUGAUUAAAUAGUUUUAAAAUUUUAAAUAAGAUAAAUGUAAAGUAACUAGUUUCUUUUAGUCCUACAAAAUUGUAAUAUUCUAAGAAUUAAAACUAUUAAAAGAGAUUAUAUUUAAAAUUUUAAUAAUUAUUAAUAUAACUUAAAGUUUCAAAUUAAUUUGGAUAAUUAUUUAAGAUAGUUUAGAAUAUUGAUAUUAAAAUUAAAUACUUAUAGAUAAAGGCAUGAGGUAGUUUUAUGGCAAGUACAAGAUUAAGUAAAUUGCCAAAAGUUUUAGAAAUUUUUUAUACAGGAUUAAUUUAAAAAAAAACAAUAUUAAUUUAUUGUUUUAUAUAGUUAAAAUUAGAAUUUUUUUUUAUAAAGAAUAUCAAUAAAAAAUACCUAUAAAAAAUUUAAGAAGAUAGAGAUAAUUUUAUAGAAAGGUAAAACAUUAUGUGGUUAAAUUAUUGAAAAACAAAAGAAUUUUUUGUAUCAAUUUCAAGGGAUUUAUAACUUUUUAUAUAUGUCUAAAAAUAAUCAAGGAGAUAAAUUAUAAAAAGAUAUAAAUAAAUUAUCAUUAAAAUGUUAUUAUUUUAUAAAUUCAUAUAUAAAAUUAUAAUAAAAUAUAAUAUUAUAAAAAUUAAAAUAAAUUACUUUUUUUUUUGUCCUAUACAUUCACAAUUUAGAUUUAUUUUUAUGUUUUCAUAUGAAAAAGACUAACAAUGUUAGGUUCUCACAUGAUAAACUAAUUUUUAUAUUUUGUAUAAUCAAUAUAAUCCAAAUUAGACUAUAUAUAUAGAAUAAAAGUUAUAAACAAAAUAAAUGAUUUUAACUUAAUAUAUUUUUUUUAUAAUUUAAUUUUUAUUUUAUUAUAAGUUAUUAAGGAUAGUGUAAAAUAUUGGCAUUAAAAUCAAAUACCUAGAUAACGACAUAAGGUGGUUUUGUGGAAUGUAUAAAAUUAGGAAAUAUAGAAUUUACUAAAAGUUUUAUAAAAAUCUUUAUAAAGGAUUUAUUUUUAAAAUUUUAAAUUUAUUGUCUUAUAUAGUUAAUAUUAGGAUUUUUUUUUCUAAAAAAUAUCCAUAAGAAAUACCUAUAAAAAAAAUUAAGGAGAUAGAUGAUUUUAUAGAAAACAUGAGAUUGGUAAAACGUUAUAUGAUCAAAGUAUUAAAAAACAAAUGAAUUUUUUUUUUAAUCAACUUUAAGUGAUCUAUAAAUUUUCCUAUGUCUUUAAAAAAUCAAUUAGAAAAAAUAUGAAAAAAAUAGAAGAAUUGAAAUAAAUAUAUUUAUAAAUUUCAUUAUCUUAUAAAUUUAUAUAUGAAUCAUAAUAAGAUAUAAUACUGUUAUCCUAAGGGUUCUCCUAAUUAGAUUUUGAUGAUAACAAACCAUGGUAAAGUUACUAAUUGGUUUAAAUUGUAAAGAAUCUCAAGUAUUAAUUUGGAAAUUCAUCAAAGGACCUAAUGGAUACAAGAUCAAGACGUCUGGAAGAUCUUUAAUCAUAGGAAACAAUUGUAAGAUGAAUGCAUGGGUGCACUUAGGUUUUACAUAUCAUUUCAUGCAUCUUUGGAAAACUCGGUUUAUUAUUUAAAGUUACAAUUGCAUUAAAACCCGAGUUUUAUCAAAUGUACCUUAGGCAAAACGUUUCAAAAUUGGCAUAUUAAUUUACCUAAAGAGCUUGUCUAAAUGUUAGAAAAGAAAAGAAUAGAAAAGAUAGGUUUUCGGGGUUCAAAGGUUGAAUCAGUCGAGGCACUAGGCCAACCGGCUAGGGUAUCGGUUGCCGGUUCCUCUUGCCCGGUCGAGGAGUGCUAAAAACACUCUCUUUAAUCCAGUAGCCUUCCAUUCCUGAUCGAGGUAUCCUCCUUCCUGGUCGACCUCCAGUCGAGGUCCAGUUGAAGUAACGGUAACCUACCAAAGCAUUAAAUGCUCCAACAGCUAGUGAAUUGGUCGACCCCCAGCUCGAUCAGUUGAGGUUGCUUUUUGUUUUUCUUGGCUCCCAAGGUUAGAAACCUAUAAAUUGAGAGCUCCACUUCAUUUAUGACAUAGAGAACACUUGCAUUUAAUUGUCUACCCACUUGUUUUUUACUUAAAAGCUCUUACUUCUUUCUUAGUGCAUUAAAUCUUCAUUUGCAUAUCUUUUAGUGCGCCCUUGUGAGUCAUCCUAGCUUUGAUUUGUAUUUAAGCCAUUAUUGAGCUAGGUUGACAAAAGAUCAUCCUUGUAAAUUGAGUGUUAGAGCCUUCAAGUGAGUUGAAUAUUGAAGAGAUUGUGUAAGAGCUCAUUGGAGCCAGAAUCCAAGUGUAAAAUAGAUUAGAAGCUUGGUUGAAGCUUCAAGUUAGUGGAACCCUCACUCGGUUAGGAAAUUGAGGAGAGUAGACGUAGGCAAGGAAGUGUCGAACCACUAUAAAAUCUGAGUUUGAAUUUUCUAACUCUAUCUCUUUAUAUUUGCUUCUAUUGUGUUUGAAUUUGUUGUGUUGAAAAAGUUUUAAAAAAAACCCAAUUCACUAUUUCUUAGGUGUUUUUCUCAUUUAAGGUUAGCCUUUAUUUUCUCAAUUGGUAUCAAAGGUAGGCCUCUUGUUUAAACUUAAUCGUCUAAGAGGAAAUCGUUAUUCCAUCAAACUCAUCUUACACUGAAAGUUUUGCAAAAAAUAGAGCUUCAUUUUUUACGAGAACCGACUAUCCCUAUUAAAAAACUAAAAUGACUUGGUAUUUACAAUCAACCGAUUUAAAUGUAUGGGACGUCAUUGAAGAUGGCCCAACUUUUUCCUACAAAACUAGUUAAUGGAAUCAUGGUUCCAAAACCCAAACAAGAAUGGAAUGAGCUUGAUAGAAGAAUUUUUCAAUUAAAUGCUAAGGCCAUUUUCACUUUGCAAUGUGCCAUGGAUAGAAAUGAAUAUAAUAUCAUAUGUCAAUGCAAAUUGGCUAAAGAAAUUUGGAGAUUGCUUGAAAUAACUCAUGAAGGAAUAAAUCAAGUGAAAGAGUCAAAAAUCAAUUUACUUGUUCAUAGCUAUGAAUUGUUUUUUAUGAAAGAAAAUGAGACUAUUGUUGAGAUGAUCACUAGGUUCACCGACAUUGUCAAUGGUCUUAAAGCAUUGGGAAAGACCUACAAGGAAUCCGAAAAGGUGAUGAAGAUCUUGAGGUCUCUCCCAUCAAAGUGGCAUGCAAAGGUCACCGUAAUUCAAGCAGUAAAAAACUUGACCAAGAUACCAAUGGAGGAGCUCAUAGGGUCAUUAAUGACAUAUGAGAUCAAUUUAGCAAAGAAGCUACAAGAAAGUGAAGACAAAAAGAAGAAGAGCAUAACUCUCAAAGCUACAACUAAGGAAGAAGAAGAUGUUGAAGAAAAAAAACAAAGUGAAGAAGAUGAUGAUUUAACCCUCAUCACAAGAAAGCUCAACAAAUACAUGAGGGGCGAAAGGUUUAGAGGAAGAAGGUUCACCUCUAGAAGAAACCUUUCUAAAAAGGAAUCUUCAUCUCAUGGUGACAAGGAAAAAUGGGAAGAGAAAAGAGAUUUGGCGUGUUUCAAAUGAAAGAAACUGGGACACAUUAAAUAUGAUUGUCCUCUCUACAAAAGUGAAGCCAAGAGGAGAAUGAAGAAGGCAAUGAUGACCACUUGGAGUGAAAGUGAAGAAUCCUUCGAAGAAGAAAAUGAGAAAGAAGUAGCAAACAUGUGCUUCAUGGCAAUAGAUGAACUUAAUGAGGUAAACUCUAACUUUAGUGAUGAAGAUAUGCAUGAUGUUUUUGAAGAAUUGUAUGAGGAUUUUAAAAAACUUAGUUUGAAAAAUAUUUCUCUUAAGAAGAAAAUUCAACAACUUGAAAAAGUAAAAUAAAAAUUUUCAAUUGUUGAAAUUUCUAAAACUCAUCUUGAAAAAGAAAAUGAGAUUUUGAGAAAGAAAAAUGAAUGGUUGACCUCCUCUCUUUCAAUAUUUUCUUGUGGACAAUUUUUUUUUGAAAUGAUUCUAGCUAGCCAAAAAUUUGUUUUUGACAAAUAAGGACUAGGAUUCAAAUAUUCAAAAAAUCAAAAGUAUUUUAAAAACUAUUUUAUAAAAGAAUCCACAAGUGCAAGUCCUUCCACUACUUGCAACUUUUGUAGAAGAGGAGGGCACAAUAGUAGUACAUGUCCUUUAAGAAAUGUUUCUCAAAAGAUUUCAAAUGUAAAAGUUAAAAAGGUUUGGAUUGAAAAAUCCAAGGUCAUUGACCCUCAAGGACCCAAAAUGAUAUGGGUACCUAAGUCAACUUGAGUUUUAUAUUAUAGGGUUCAAAGAAGGAUAAGUGGUUCUUAGAUAGUGGAUGCUCAAGACACAUGACCGAAGAUGAAUCCAAGUUUACUUUCCUUAAAAAGAAAAAUGGAGGAUAUGUUACCUUUGGAGACAAUGCAAAAUGAAGAAUCAUUGGUCAAGGCAACAUUAGUAAUGGCACAUCCUCUCUUAUUGAAAGUGUUUUAUUAGUAGAUGGUUUAAAACAUAACCUUUUAAGCAUUAGUCAACUUUGUGACAAAGGUUUUAAAGUGAUUUUUGAAGCAUCUCAUUGCAUCAUCAAAGAUAUUCAAAAUGAUAAAACCAUCUUCAUGAGUCAUAGAUGUGAUAAUUUUUAUGCUAUAAAUAUUUCAAAAUAUGAUAGUUAUGAUAGAUGUUUUUCAAGCAUGUAUGAUCAAAUUUGGUUGUGGCAUAGAAGGUUGGGACAUGCUAACAUGGACCUCAUUUCCCAACUCAACAAAGAUGAACUUGUUAGAGGCCUUCCCAAAAUAAAUUUUUAAAAAAUCAAAGUUUGUAAAGCUUGUCAAGUGGGAAAACAAAUCAAAAACUCUUUCAAAAACAAAAAUUUUAUUUUCAUAUCUAGGCCUCUUGAGUUGUUGCAUAUGGAUUUAUUUGGUCCCUCUAGGACUCCAAGUCUUGGAAAAAAAAUCUUAUGCAUAUGUUAUUGUGGAUGACUUCUCUAGAUACACAUAGGUCUUGUUUUUAAGUUAAAAGAAUGAAACCUUUUCUGAGUUUUCAAAGUUUUGCAAUAAGGUUCAAAAUGAAAAAGGUUUUACAAUUACUUGUAUAAGAAGUGAUCAUGGAAGAAAAUUUGAAAAUAUUGAUUUUGAAGAAUAUUUCAAUGAGCAUGGAAUUAACCACAAUUUUUCGGCUCCUAGAACUCCCCAACAAAAUGGGAUAGUUGAAAGGAAAAAUAAAACUCUUCAAGAAAUGGCUAGAACCAUGCUAAAUGAAAACAAUUUACCAAAAUAUUUUUGGGCCGAAGCGGUUAACACUUCUUGUUAUGUUUUAAAUAGAAUAUUAUUGAGGCUCAAUCUUAAGAAAACUCCUUAUGAGCUUUGGAAAAACGAGAAACUCAACAUUAGCUAUUUCAAAGUCUUUGGGUGCAAAUGUUUUAUAUUAAACACCAAAGACAAUCUUGGAAAAUUUGAUGCAAAAUCGGAUGUUGGAAUUUUCCUUGGUUACUCAACUUCAAGUAAAGCUUUUAGAGUUUUUAACAAAAUAACCAUGAUUGUAGAGGAGUUCAUCCAUGUUAUUUUUUAUGAAUCUAACCAUUCUCCCCAAGAAACAAAGAGUUUUGAUGAUGAUUUAGGUUUAGAGACCUUCAUGGAAAAAUUACAAAUUGAAGAUAGAAGGCAACAAGAAGAAAUUAGAGAGGAUCCCAAGAAAGAAGAAUCACCAUUAGCACUACCCCCUCCUCACCAAGUGCAAAGUGAAUCAAGUCAAGACCUUCCUAAAGAUUGGAAGUUUGUCAUCAACCACCCACAAGAUCAAAUUAUAGGUAAUUCAUCUAGUGGGGUAAUAACUAGAUCAUCUCUUAGAAAUAUUUGCAAUAAUCUUGCUUUUAUUUCUCAAAUUGAGCCUAAAAAUAUAAAUGAUGCUUUAGUUGAUGAAAAUUGAAUAAUUGCUACGCAAGAUGAGUUAAAUCAAUUUGAAAGAAGUGAAGUAUGGGAAUUAGUACCAAGACCUUCAAAUCAAAGUGUUAUUGGAACUAGAUGGGUCUUUAGAAAUAAAAUGGAUGAAAAUGGCAUAAUUGUUAGAAAUAAAGCAAGAUUGAUAGCCCAAGGUUUUAAUCAAGAAGAAAAGAUAGAUUAUGAAGAAACCUUUACCCCGAUAGCUAGGUUGGAAGCCAUUAGGAUGCUACUUGUCUUUGCAUGUUUUAAAGACUUUUCUUUAUGUCAAAUGGAUGUGAAAAGUGCUUUUUUAAAUGGCUUUAUAAAUGAAGAAGUAUAUGUUGAACAACCACCCGGUUUUCAAAGUUUUAACUUUCCUAACCAUGUUUUUAAACUUAAAAAGGCAUUCUAUGGUUUGAAACAAGCACCUAGAGCAUGGUAUGAAAGAUUGAGUAAAUUUCUUUUGAAAAAGGGUUUUAAAAUGGGAAAAAUUAACACAACUCUUUUCAUAAAGACCAAAAAAAAAAAAAAUGGUCUUAGUUCAAAUAUAUGUUGAUGAUAUUAUUUUUGGAGCUACUGAUGUCUCUUUUUGUGAAGAAUUUUCUAAGUGCAUGCAUAGUGAGUUUGAAAUGAGCAUGAUGGGAGAACUCAACUUCUUCCUUGGACUGUAAAUCAAGCAACUAAAGGAAGGAACCUUCAUCAAUCAAGCAAAGUAUAUAAGAGAUCUUCUCAAAAGGUUCAACAUGGAAGAAGCCAAAACUCCAAUGAGCUCAACGAUCAAGCUUGAUAAGGAUGAGAAAGGUAAAUCCAUUGACUCAACUAUGUAUAGAGGCAUGAUAGGUUCUUUGUUGUAUUUGACCGCUAGUAGACCCAACAUAUGUAUAGUGUAUGCUUGUGUGCUAGAUUUCAAUCUUGUCCUAAAGAAUCUCAUUUAAGUGUCGUAAAACAAAUUCUUAGAUAUUUGAAAGGGACAAUGGACAUAGGCUUAUGGUAUCCUAAGAGUGAUAACCUUGAAUUAAUUGGAUUUUCGGAUGCCGAUUUUACCGGUUGUAGGGCUAAAAGAAAAAAGCACUAGUGGCACUUGUCAUUUCCUAGGACACUCACUUGUUUCAUGGCAUAGUAAGAACCAAAAUUUGGUAGCUUUGUCAAUGGCUGAAGCUAAAUACAUAGCAGCCGGUUUAUGUUGUGCACAAAUUCUUUGGAUGAAACAAACACUUGGUGAUUUUGAUUUAUCUUUUGAGCAUGUUCCUAUUAAAUGUGAUAAUACUAGUGCCAUACAUAUAUCAAAAAAUCUUGUGCAAUACUUUAGGAAUAAGCAUAUAGAGAUUAGACAUCAAUUUCUUAGAGACCAUGCACAAAAGGGUGACAUAACACUUGAAUUUGUAAGCACAAAAAAUUAACUUGUUGAUAUCUUUACAAAACCUCUAAGUAAAGAACAAUUUGUUGACAUUAGAAGACAACUAGGGGUGAUUUCUUUAUGAUCUAAUGAUUGCUUCUUGAUGAAUAUAUCUUCUGAUUGCAUGAAUUUCAUGUCAUAUGCAUCAUAUAGACACAUACUUAGAUAAAUGGUCAAAUUUUGACCAAAAAUCAAAAUUCUCUUGGCAUUGGGCAUAAAAAAUUGGGGAUUUCAACUAAAAAUGGCAGAGUGAGGAUGAGAAAAUGAGAAAAUGCACAAAAUGUGAAAAGUCAAACCCGUUGACCAUGUUGACCAGACUGUCGACCGAACCAAGACCAAUCGACCGAUUCGUCAGGACUAGGUAUUUAAAGAGACUCCCGUGUAUUGUUUUCUCCACUGUUCUCCUCCAUUUCUUCAGGGUUUUUCACAUUUCGGCUUCCAGAGAUCAGUUUAAGCAAGGUUUAGACCGAUUGAAGGCUUUGGAUUGGAUUUUUGGGAGGAUUAGGGGCUAAGGUUUUGGUUUUGGACUACACUUUCUUCCUCUCGCGCACCACAACCAGGGUUUUCUUCCUUUCUGCACACCUAGGGUUUCGGUUAUGAGUGUUUCUCUCUCUACCAACCUCGUCUCCUUUGUUUCUUUCAUUCUCAUGGCUCCUAGGAGAGAGUUGAUUGCCUUUAGGGCACAGGGCAAACGCCCAGCUGAGCCGACUCAGCCCCCUCUAUCGAAGGCUCGCCAAUAGGCGAGGUUUGACACCUCUCUAUUCAGCUCCGUGGAAGACUACCAAUGGUACAAGCAAAAGUUUGCUUAGAGGAAAGUAGUUCUAGGGAAAAGUAUCAAUUUCUCCCAACUCCAGCAUUUCAGAUUUGAGGGAUUGUUUGGCAGGAUGGGUUGGCUACCCAUGGUGACAGUUUCGGAGCUGAUUUUUUCGACAUUGGUGCGAGCGUUCUAUUUAAGGACGACAUAUGGCAUUGGUGGCCCGAUUAUUUCCACUAUUAGAGGACUCGAGAUUCAGCUGGACUUGGAAAGCAUCUGCCGCAUUUUCAAUAUUGCUCCAAUUGGACUCAGGGUGUACGAGUCCAAGAUUUGGCCCAUUAUGCCGGGUUUUGAGCUUAGAGAGGCCAUUCAUAGAAUGUGCGGACUUGCAGACGCCUAGAGGAUGGGCAAACAAUUGGCCCACAGCUUGACCGUGAUCAAUAGAGUACUAUACCACAUGAUUUGCUCUAUCUUGCUACCACGAGGCGGACACAAAGACAAGGUCUCCUAUUAUGAGGAAUUCCUCGUGAACUCUAUUCUAACAGGGAGACGAAUUCACUUGGGGUAUUUGAUGAUGAUGCACAUGAUCUCAUGUUGCGAGAGCAUGACCCGUGUACUCCCCUAUGGUAGAGUGUUCAAGGAUGUCGGAGUUGAUUGGAGCAGAGAGACAUAUUUUGAGGCUCCCAACAUAUAUGAUACAUAUGAUGAGCAGUCUUUGGGGCGAAUGAAAUUUGAGAAGGCCCCCAAUGGUUCUUGGAUUAGGAGAGCAAAGAGACCACCAGCACAAGCCCGAGGACAGUGACAGGUACAUCCUGGCGUAAAAAAGGAGGCCAAGAUACGAGAGAUAAAUGGUGGAGUAGACCCUUAGAGAGGCUUUCAACAGAUAGAUCUCGAGCUUGACAUUCUUCCACUCCAGUCAGAGGGUGUUUAGUUUGAGGCCAUAUUUUCUGAGCCGAUGAUGUCUGAUCUGACUUACAUAGUGGGACCAUCUUCUCAGCUAUCAUUCACUUAGCCUCCUCACAUAGAGAUACCACCUCAUCAGGCACCUCAUGUUUCUAAUCAUGCACCUUGGAUGGAUCUAUCUGCUCAAAUUAGCUCUCUUGGCACUCGCAUGAAGGAGCUUGCAGUAGUCAAUGAUACUCGAUUCUUCUCCAUGGAGGAUCGCAUGAAUCGAUAUCAGACUGGUUUCACUUCUCAAUUUGAGUAUUUGCAAUAGAGAUUUGAGUGUAUGGAUGAUCACAUGGAUCAACAGUGGGCUGGGUUUGAGCAUCUCCAGCGAAGAAUUGAGUGCAUUGAGAGUCGUCAGAAGAGUCAGCAUAAGGAGAUGAUGGCUUACCUACGCUCCGUGUUUCCACCUCCACUUCCUUAGCCUUGAUUUAAUAGAGACCUCCUUUGUUUCUUUUUUAUAUUGCCAAAAAAUGGAGAGAUAUUUAGGAUCUAGGAGACUUACAUGCAUAUCAUUGUCAUAUCUUUUGUUUGGAUCAUAUAUAUAAUAGGCUUAUAUGUUUCGUGUACAUUUGACUUAUAUAUGAUAUGCUAUAUGUUUCAUGACUUACACUGUUUCAUAUUGAAAAUUUGCAUGUCUUGAUUAUCUUGGUUUUAACUUCAUAAAUUUUGAUUGAUUGAUCCAUGAUUGGUUUGAGAGGGAGAUUUUUCUUCUCCUAGAUAACCAAGGUUUGUCAUCAUUAAAAAAAAGGGAGAUUGUUAGCGCAAGGGUUCUCCUAAUUAGGUUUUGAUGAUAACAAACCAUGGUAAAGUUACUAAUUGGAUUGAAUUGUAAAGAAUCUCAAGUAUUAAUUUGGAAAUUCAUCAAAGGACCAAAUGGAUACAAGAUCAAGACGUCUAGAAGACCUUUAAUCAUAGAAAAAAAUUGUAAGAUGAAUGCAUGGGUGCACUUAGGUUUUACAUAUCAUUUCAUGCAUCUUUGGAAAACUCAAUUUAUUCUCUAAAGUUACAAUUUCAUUAAAACCCGAGUUUUAUCAAAUGUACCUUAAGCAAAACAUUUCAAAAUUGGCAUAUUAAUUUACCUAAAGACCUUACCUAAGUGUUAGAAAAGAAAAGAACAUAAAAAGAUAGGUUUUCGGGGCCCAAAGGUUGAACCGAUCGAAGCACUAGGCCAACAGACUAAGGUAUUGGUCGAUUGGUUACCCUUGCCUAGUCGAGGUCCGAUCAAGGAGUGCUAAAAACAUUCUCUCUCAUCCAAUAGUCUUCCCUUCCUGGUCGAGGUAUCCUCAUUCCCGGUUGACCUCCGAUCGAGGUUCGGUUAAAGCAACAGUAACCUACCAAAGCAUUAAAUGCUCCAACGGUUAGUGAACCGGUCGACCCCCAGCUCAACCGAUUGAGGCAACUUUUUGUUUUUCUUGGCUCCUGAGGUUAGACACCUAUAAAUUGAGAGCUUCACUUCAUUUAUGACAUAGAGAACACUUGCAUUUAAUUAUCUACCCACUUGUUCUUGCCUUAAAAGCUCUCAUUUCUUUCUUGGUGCAUUAAAUCUUCACUUGCAUAUCUUUUAGUGCACCCUUGUGAGUCAUCCUAGCUUUGACUUGUAUUUGAGCCAUUAUUGAGCUAGGUUGAUAGAAGAACAUCCUUGUAAAUUGAGUGUUAGAGCCUUCAAGUGAGUUGAAUCUUGAAGAGAUUGUGUAAGAGCCUAUUAGAGCAGAGAUCCAAGUGUAAAAGAGAUUAGAAGCUUGGUUGAAGCUUCAAGUUAGUGGAACUCUUGCUCGGUUAGGAGAUUGAGGAGAGUGGAUGUAGGCAAGGAAGUGUCAAACCACUAUAAAAUCUGAGUUUGAAUUCUCUAACUUUAUCUCUUUAUAUUUGCUUCUAUUGUGCUUGAAUUUGUUGUGUUGAAAAAGUUUUUGAAAAACCCAAUUCACCCUCCUCUUGGGUAUUUUUCUCAUUUAAGAUUAGCCUUUAUUUUCUCAAAUAUUAUAAAAAAUUAAAGUAAAUUACUUUUGAAAUUUUGUUAUUUUUUACAUUUACAAUUUAGAUUUUAAUACAAAGAAGACUAAUAGUACAUUUUAUUGAGGAUGAAAUAUUUUCGUCUCCAAUAUUGAGUUUUUACAACAAAAACAUUUCUUCUCUAAUAAAUUUCUUUAUUCCUCCAUCUAAUGGUAUUAGGACAAUAAUUUUGUCCCUCAUUGUGAGGUUUUUCCUCUCCAAAACUAUUUAACAACAAAAUAAUUUUUAUUGCCCAUUAUUUACCUUUUGGGACGACAUUAAGUUUUCAUCUCCUAAUAUAUUUUCUACCAUGAAAUAUUUUGUUAUUAAAAUUUAUGAUGUCGUCACAAAUAAUUUGGCCUCAUUUCACACUCAAUUAAAAUUUUAGACACAAAUUUUUGUAACAAAAUCAAAUUUUGUUUCCCAAAAUCAUAUUUGGAGACAAAAUUAUAUUCAUGUCCAAAAAAAUUGUGCCAAAAGGUAGAAUUUCUUGUAGUGCCUUUACUUAUUAGAUGAACGAUAAAAAAAUUUCCUUUAUCAUUCUCUCUCUCUCUCUUUAACAUGUAAGCUAAAUAAAUAAAUAAAUAAACAAGAAUACAUUUCUUCAAAGACUUUUACCAUAAAUUUUACUCUAUAGAGAAUAAAAAUUGUCAAUGGUAAAAUCAAUCUCAAUAUUUAUCUCUUUGUUCUUCUCUUUUUUAUUUCUCCAUCUAUCUUUCUAGGGAUUUUCUAUCAUCUCCAGAUUCUUCAGACUUAUAUAUAUUUAAAACUAAAACUCCCCAAACUUGGUUUAAAAUUUGUAACUCCCCAAUCAUGGUUUAAAAUUGUAACUUUUUUUUUUUAUUAUUUUGUUUUUAAUAAUGUAUCCUUAUCUUUAUCCUUAUUAUUAUUAUUCUAUGAACUAAAUUAGGAAUUUUAGACUAUCCACUCUUUAAAUUAGGAAUAUUAUUUAAACCUAUUUUAACCUAACAAAAAUUUUAUAUCAAUUGGUACUAAUUUAUUCCUACAAUAAUUAAAUUUAAAUGUAAGAAUUUAUUCUUUUUUUCGUCAUACAUUAUUGAGUACUAAAAUAAUUUUUUUUAUAUAUAUAAUUUAUUCUUAAAAUAAUUUUUUCGUCAUAUAUAUAUAUAUAUAUAUAUAUAUAUAUAUAUAUAAUUUUUUUUAUAUUGUACAUUGCAUUUUUUUUUCCUAUUUUCCUUUAUUAUUCAUGUUUUAUUCACAUCAAAUAUCCAUUUUGCACUACAUUUUUUUAUUGAACAACUAAAAUAAUUUUUUUUUAUGUAUUUAUCUUUAUAUUUUUCUUGGAAACCUUACUUCUUAAAUCUAUAGAAUUUUUCAUCAAACUAAAUACAGUUUUUUAUUUUAGAAUUAUAUUGUCUAUAAAUUUCUUUCAAAUAAUAAUAAAAACUCUCAAACUCACGAAGACCUUGUUUUUGUCUAGGGUUAUAUUAGAGAAAACAUUCAUCGUACUACUAUUAAUUUUUUUUUUUCUUUUCUUACUUCCUAAACCUUUACUUAUUAGAUGAACGAUAAAAAUUUCUCCUUCUCGUUCUCUCUUCAACAUGUAAGUUAAAUAUAUAUAUAUAUAUAUAUAUAUAUAAGAAUACAUUUCUUCAAAGACUUACCUUAAAUUUUACUCUAUAGAAAAUAAAAAUAAUCAAUGGUAAAAUCAAUCUCAACAUUUAUCUUUUUGUUCUUCUCUUUUUUAUUUCUUCACCUAUCCCUCUAGGGGUUUUCUAUCAUCUCUAGAUUCUUUAGAUUUGUUAUAUAUAUAUUUAAAACCGAAAUUCUCCAAACUUGGUUUAAAAUUUGUAACUCCCCAGUUGUGGUUUAAAAUUGUAGCUUUUUUUAUUUUUUAUUUUGUUUUUAAUAAUGUAUCCUUAUCUUUAUCCUUAUUAUUAUUAUUAUUAUUAUUAUUAUUAUUAUUAUUAUUAUUCUAUGAACUAAAUUAGGAAUAUUAAACUAUCCCCUCUUUAAAAAAAAGUUUAGUCUUCUAAACUUAGCAUACUUGAAAUUAGAAAAAAAAAAAUGUGAAAACUUUUCCCUCAUCUCAUCUUCAAGUCCCCAAAUCACCUCUCAGUUAGAGUUAUUACUCCAUUGAACUUUGACUAAUUUGAUUGUUACAAGAAGAAACAUCUUAUCCAUCAUGUCAACAAUCUGAAUUGGAACUUCCUCAUAAGAUAGAUUUUAUGCUAAAUGAAUCGGUUAAAGUUCCACAACAUGUGAAGGAUCAUAAACAUACUUUUUUAAAGCUGAUACGUGAAACACAUUAGGAACCUUUUCCAAACUUGGGGGUAAAGCCACCCUUUAUGCUAAGGUGCUAACUUUAUCCAAAAUUUCAAAUGAUCCCACAAACCUAGGACUAAGUUUUCUUUUCAAACAAAAUCUCAUAACCAACUUAAGAGGUGAUACUAUGAGAAACACAUGAUCACCAACCUAGAACUCUAAAUUUCACCUUCUAUUAUCAAUAUAGCAAUGUUGUAUACUCUGAGCUAUUUUUAAUCUUUCUCUUAUUAAAGCAAUUUUUUUAUAAGUUUCUUGAACUAAUUCUGGUUCCAAAAAUUUUAUCUCAACAACCUCAUCCCAAUAAACAAAGGACCUACACUUUCGACCAAACAAAGCUUCAAAAGGUGGCUUCCUACUUUGAAAACUAUUGUUGUAGGCAAACCCCACUAAGAGUAGAUGGUUGUCCCAAUUACCUUCAAAAUCUAAAAUACAUGCCCAAAUCAUAUCUUCCAAAAUUUGAAUUACCCUUUCUGAUUGUCCAUUGGAUUGAGGAUGAAAGGUUGUACUAAAAUUUAGCUGAGUUACCAUAGAUUUUUGCAACCUCUUCUAAAAUUGGGAAGUAAAACGGGCGUCUCAAUUUGAUACUAUAGAUAUUGGAAAUCCAUACAUCCUCACAAUCUCCUUAACAUACAACAAGGCUAAUUUGUCCAAGGACCAAGUAGUUUGAAUAGGUAAAAAGUGGGUUAAUUUAGUUAGUUUAUAAACAAUCACCCACACAACAUUACUUCCCACCACAAAUUUGGGAAAGCUAAAAACAAAAUCCAUUGUAAUGUGUUCCCACUUCUAAUUAGGAAUGAGAAGUGGUUGCAACAUACCUAAUAGACGUUGAUACUCAGUUUUGACCUACUAACAAGUCAAGAAUUGGGUAAUAUAUUAAGCGACACCACGCUUCAAACUAGGUCACUAGUAAAGUUAUCUCAAAUCCUGUUACAUUUUGGUCUCAUUGGAGUAGACUACAAACUUAAAGGAGUGAGCUUCCUUUAAAAGUUCUUUCAUGAGAUUUCCAACUUAGGUCACAUACAUACAAACAAAUUCUAAAUCUCAAUAUUCCAUCAUUUAGAAGUACAAAGUAAAACUUAGUUCCCCUUCCUAUAUAUAAUUUGAACAACCUGUAGAUCAUCUAUUUGUAAGGACUUGAUCCUCUCAAACAAAUUUGGUUGAACCUUAAGAUGAGCAAAUAAUACUCCAAACUAUAAAACUUCAAAUUAAACUAGUAGUCUAUUCAAUUCAAAUAACAUAUAUGGUUUUCUAACCCUCAAGGCUACUAAAGAACCAAAAGACUUCUUACUUAAAGCAUUUACUACUAUAUUCGCAUCACCAGAAUGAUAUAGAAUAAAGUGGUUAUAGUUCUUGAGGAGUUCAAGCCACUUUCUCUAUCUCAUAUUCAAUUCUUUUUUAGAAAACAAAUACUUUAAUCUUUUAUAAUUAGUGUAGAUCUCACAUGUCUCACCAUACAAAUAGUGUCUCCAUAUCUUAAGAGCAAAAAUCACUAUUGCUAAUUCCAAAUUAUGAGUAGGAUAGUUUCACCCAUAAGGUUUCAAUUGCCUAGAAGGAUAACUGAUGACUUUCCCAUCCUGCAUGAGAACACAACCAAGCCCUUAAUGUGAAACAUCACUAUAAAUAACAUAACCCAUAGAACUUGAGGGGACUAUUAACAUUAGAGUAGUUACCAAUCUAUUCUUCAACUCUUGGAAGCUUUUCUCACAACCAUUAGACCACAAAAAUUUGACCCUCUUUUGAGUAAGCUUUGUUAAAGGUUCUUAGAGAUUCCCUUUGAAAUGUUUGUAAUAACCAUCUAAACCUAGGGGACUCCUAACCUUAGUUACCAAGUUAGGCUUGCUCCAACUAAGUCUACCGAUAUUCCAUCCUUGGAGAUUACAUGGCUAAGAAAUAAAACUCUAUCCAACCAAAAUUCACAUUUCUUAAGCUUAAAAAAAAAAAAAAAAAGUUGAUCUAGGUUUAGGAAGUAAGAAAAAUAAUAAUAAUAAUAAUAAAUAGAAGUAUGAUGAAUGUUUUCUCUAAUUUAACCCUAGACAAAAACAAAGUCUUCAUGAGUGUGAGAGUUUUUAUUAUUAUUUGAAAGAAAUUUAUAUAUAAUACAAUUCUAAAAUAAAAAAUCAGUAUUUAGUUUGAAGAAAAAUUCUAUAGAUUUAAGAAGUAAGGUUUCCAAGAAAAAUAUAAAGAUAAAUACAUUUAAAAAAAAUCAUUUUAGUUGUUCAAUAAAAGAAUGUAGUGCAGAAUGGAUAUUCGAUGUGAAUAAAACAUGAAUAAUAAAGGAAAAUAGGAAAAAUAAAAUAUGUAAUGUACAAUAGAAAAAAAAAACAUUAAUUAGGAUAAUUAAAUAUAUAUAUAUAUAUAUAUAUAUUAAUUUAGUACUCAAUAAUGUAUGAAGAAAUAAAGAAUAAAUUUUUACAUUUAAAUUUAAUUAUUAUAAGAAUAAAUUGGUACCAAGUGAUAUAAAAUUUCUAUUAGGUUAAAAUAGGUUUAUAUUAAUAAGAUUUAUUUUAUUUUUUUAGGUAAAUCCUAAGUUUAAUCAACUUCCUUGCUGAGUUCAACUUUUACUAGGUAAGGAAUUAUGACCCUUAAAUAUUUUCUAAAGUAUUAUUUUUCUAAAAGGGUAGGAAAAUAUUUUACUAUAUGAAGAAUAUUUCAUAUUGUGAAAAAUAUUACUAUUAUUAUAUAUUUUGAUAUCUGGCCCUAGUCAAUAGGGGUUGUGUUGUUGACCCUCAUUACUUAAUUGUAUAAGGAUUGGAAAACCUAGUCAAUGGGGUAGUCACUAACCCUCAUUACUUAAGUUUAUGAGGAUUGAAAAACCUAGUUAGUGGGAUAAUCACUAGUCUGAUGGUACCAUAUGAUUGGUUAGUCCCUUCUGAAUUGAAGGAUCAUCUGUUUCUAAAGAUCCCAUUAGUUUGGGAAAAUAAUUUUUUUUUAUACCUAUAUGUUUGAAGAUUAUAUUAUGUUAUGUCACUUUCUUUUUUUAUAUAUAAAAUAAAUUGUUAGUAUAUUCCUUAUUGAGCUAAAGCUUACUACUUUUGCUUUUCAAAACCCCUUUUAGGUUCCCCAAAUGUAGAUGGAAAUGAGUGACAUUGAAUAUAGGAGGGGUUCUUGUUAGUUAAGUUUAUGGUAGGCCUUAAAGCCUUUGUUUAGACAUGAUGAUUUGGACCAUGUGUUAUGUUUUAAUUAUCAAGUUAAUUUGAACAAAAUUAGUAUUUCAUAAUUAUGUGAAUCAUGAAACUUCUAUCUUAGAAAAAUAAUUUUAACUCUAUGAACUCACUCUUAAGGGGAAUGUAUGAAUUUUGUUCUUUUUUAUUAUUUAAUCAUUUUUGCAUAUUUUGCCUUUAUGUUGGACAUCCAAAAUUUACAAGGUUAGCCCUAGCCUCAGGACAUAAGGUGUUACACUAUAUAUAUAUAAUAUGAUUUGAAAUAAUGUAAUUUAAAUAUGAUUUGAAAUAGAUUGCAAUAAUGUAAUUCUAAUAGGUCUAUUAUAAUAGUAAUUUAAUUUUUUUUCCUUUUUUUAAUCUUUGGAUCAUAACAUUUGAUAAACCUUUUGGUUUUGACCAAAAUUUAACAUUUUAAAAAAUAAUUAUUGGUUUUUGUUAUUAAAUAGAAUUGAAACAAAAUGGACAUCAUUGUUAUAAACUAAAUUGAAUGAUUUCUUUCAAUUAAUUCAACUUUUAAUAGAUGAGAAUUCAUUACAUGGAUUCAAUCGUAUACACCCUAAAGUUGACAGCAAAUUUAUGGGAAGGAUAAAAGGAAUGAAGGCUUAUAAUUUUAUAUUUUGAUAUAGCAUUCGACACAAGAAAAGUAUUCAAGAACAAAAGUGUUUGUUUUUUCAACUUGCUUUCAAACCUUAAGUAGUUUGUUUUUUUACUUUUUCUUGAUUUAUUACUUAUUUUUUUAAAAUUUGAUUAAAUAGAAAAAAAUAAAAUAUUUGAUUUUUUUUAAUACUAAAAAUAGUUAAACGUAAUAUCAUAAUUACAGGGAACCUGUUGAAUUUUAUUUUAUUUUUUUGUUACUUUUUAACACUUAAUAGAAAUACAAUAUUAAAAAAUAAACUAGCUUAAUACUUAACGCUAUCAAGCAAUAUUUAGUUUUAAAUUCCAUUUAGUUUUAAAGUCUUUGUUUAGUUAACCUAAGAAGACAUUCCUACUUUUCUUUGUGUUGAGAGUCACCUAAAUGGAAUAAAAUAUUCAAUAUCAUAGGAGAGUAAAAAGUAUUGUAGAAAUGAUUUUGUUGAGAGAGUUAUCUAAAUGGAAUGAGAUAUUGGUAGGUGAAUAAAAUAUUAUGGUGAUUGUAAUAGUUGACUUAGUGAGUGGAGGAGAAGUGUAUGCUUCUUUGUUUAUUCUAUAAAAACAAUAAUUUUAGUAGUUGAAAACGUGUAUGAAAUGACUGAAAAUAUUUUUUGAAAAAUAAGAAAAUAAUAAAUGGAUAAUAGUUCAUUUCCUAAAAAUCUUUUGAUAAAUUAAAAUAACUUGUAGUUAAAAUAUAUUCUUGUGAAAGUAUUUAAAAAUGAACCAAUAUAUUAAUAAUUGUUAUUUUGUUUAAAAAUAAUUUAAGAAUAAAAAAAUAAUGCUGAGUUCAAAUAUGACUACUUUGUUAUGAGAUUCAUUAAAGAAAUAAUUGUUGAUUUUACAGUUAUUGCAUCAAAGGUUGUACUCAUUUAAUGAAUUGUAUAUAAUUUCAUACUUUCAAUUAUUGUGAUAUUAAUGUUAUUCUCAUUUGAUUUCAGUUUGAUGACAAAUAAAACAUAUUCUCAAGUAGAAUUUGAUGAAAUUAGAGAAGAAUGGAUUACUUUUGUGUUAUAACUAAUCAUGAAUCAUAUUGAUGUAUCGUGAUCAUUCAUGAUAAGUCCUUUAGUUGUUAUAUGAUUGAAUUUUCCAUUGAUAUUGUCUAACAUUACUUAUUCUUUACGAACUAUUUUUAUACCAAAAUGAGAAAAAGGAAAAAGAAAAAGAAAACAUUAGUACUUAGAUUUGUUUAUUGUUUAUAACAUCACAUUUUCAUUUUCAAUAAGAACUCUAAAACUCAUUAAACUAUGAAAUGCAGGUAUACACUCUUGGGAGGACAAUAUGAAGAAUAAAAAGAAAGGAGAAAGAGGCAACAAGAUUUAGGUUUUUAGAUAUGACUCUUAUGUCAUACAUUAUAGGACAUAAACGUUACUUUAUUUGGAAUUGAGAAUUUUGGAUUUUUGGAUGCAACUCUUGUGUCAUUUUAUGGUUAGCCGGUUUUAUGCAUAUGAAAUGCAAGUAUACAUGAAUGUUGGGAAGCUUAACAUUUCUAAAUCAUGUUUUAAUGUACAUUCACUUUUCUUUUUUAGUUUUGGUGGGUUUGAUGUGUUUGAUGUACUAUCAUUUUGUGAACAUUUGAUAUACAAAUAUUAUUGGAUGAUGUAAUAUGUUACAAAUUAAUUCAUAAGUAUUAUGAAAAUAUAAGUUAAAUGUAAUAUGAUUAUUAUAUUUAUGGACAAUUUACACAGGUUAGUCUUAUUUAUUAAUAAGCAUUACAAAAAUCUACAAAUUAAUCAACAAAAAACAACCAUAUCUUCCAUAAUCAUUUACAAUGAUGUGACACCAUAAAUUAAAGGUGAUACAUUUAACGUGACACCAUAACUCAAAGAUGAUGCAUUUAAUAUGACACCUUAUAUAUCUCAUACAACUCUAUGUCAAAUUAAGCAUCACUAAAAAUAUAUGGUGUCUCUUCUAAAUGUGUCACCAUUUAUCUGCUUUGGUGUCGCUUCCAAAUACGUCACCAAUUGAUACCCUCUAUGGUGUCAGUGGAUAAGGUGACGCUAUGUUGUAGUGACACCCUAUGUUUAUAGUGACUUAUUAUAAAUGUCACCAUAUAUCUUUUUCCUUGUAGUGAAGAAAACAAAUACUGCCUAUGUUUUAAGUAUAGCAUGUGUUUUAAAAAAAUUUCAAACUCAUCCCUAACCUAUUUAUUUAAAUUCCAAUCCCGCCUUCAUCUCUACAAGUACAUAUUAAAAUGUGGGUUCCACACAAAUAAAUUAACGUGGUGGCUGUGUUGGAGACAUGCUUAGAAUAUGAUAUAAUGGGAGUAUGAGAAUAUAUACAAAACAUAGAAGCAUAUAAAGCAUAUAAAUAAAUGUAACUUUGAAAUCACAAGAAAUUGGGUGCAGCAUAUAAAAACAUAUUGCUUUAAGAAUUCUGGUGUGCUGAAAAUAAAGUUUGGUGGGCUAUGACUGCAAUCCUUAGGAUCGUAAGAUAUCAUGCUUAUGCUUUUGUGUGUGUUAAUAUAAUGGCUAGUGACAUCUAAAAACCAAAGCACAAUGUUUCAUGUGCUGAGCAUGCAUUGUGCCUUUGUGAUAACAGGUACUUUGAUUACAAGAUUAUAGGAUUUCUAAUCUCAGUGCUUGCAACUUGGGGUGCAAUAUGUGCCUACUAGAAGGGAAGAAGAAGAAUCACUUUUGCUAGAAGGCAUAGAAAAGCAAGGACCUUAUUUAACUUUGUACGGUACAAUGCCUAUCAUAGAGUUGCCCUGCAAUAUCAUCAGAAUUCACCCUUUUUUUCCUUUUCUAUGUACAAACCUUUCCAUCUUCAAAGAUUUCCUCUAUAGAUCACAUCCACACAUUCUCAUUCAGUUUUUUAUGCCCAAAUUUGUAUGUUCUGCUGGGAUUGCAGUUGAAGUUAUUGUCACCCCCAAAGCCAUACUUGGUGCGGUACCCUGGGUAGUCCAUAAAAUUAAAGGGCUCUUCUUCUAUAAGUCGAAGCCCAACUCUUGAGGCUAGAAAUUCCAAAUUCCACUCAUAAAAGAAGCCAUUGCUUUUGUGAGUAAUGUGGAUUUCUCCAUCUAUGUGAAUCAUCUUCUUAGCAUUUUCUAAAAACAGCUGUACCAGCAUUUGAUUUCGCCUGCAAGAAUUAACAAUGAUAUAGAAGGAAAAUUUUCAUGUAAGAAUUAGGAAUACAGGCUAUACAUAAAUUCGAUUGAAGAAGCUUUUCAAAGAAGGAAUCUACCAACCGGAUCUUAUCUUCCCUAGAUGCAUUGGGAAAAAAUCCAGCCAGCGGGAAGUUGUAGACAACUCGAUCAAAACGCAUGCAAUUGAAUGGGAAAACGUGUGCCAUUUUGGUGGCAUCAACAUCAUGCAUGACCUUAGCUCCCAAGCUCCGUAGUGAAUCGAUGUUGGACAAGGCAUGCCUAUAGUUUGUGCUCAAAAACUCUGAAAAUUGCAGUCAAUUAAGGCCAUAAGACAAACCCCAAAUGGGUGCUGGGGCACAUGCUAAUCAAGGUUUACUCGGGACUAGAAUGAGAAAAAUACCCAAAUCAACCAAAAUCAUGACAUUCAUGAGAAACACUCAAAGAAGAUUACCAACUUAUGAUUCAGGAUUUCUUAUUUGUUACCUAUAGAAUCAAGAGAAGUAGCGGUUAUGUUUGUAGCAGAAGCAAAAGCCACAGCCAAAGACGCAGAGAAUGAGAAGUCCCCUUCACCCACCAGCAAUAUUUUGUAUUUACUGCUGUAGUGCUUUAUCCAUCUUACUCCAAGCUUUCCUUCCUCUAGGUCUUCUUCACAGCUGCUGUAGUCCCACCAAUUUUUUCCUACCGCUCCUCUGGUUCGUUCUUCGUUUUCUUCAAUUAUGUCGUAAUGGUGGAGCCGUGCAGAAACUUGCUUCUCAUCACCUACAACUUCGACUUUAAAUUUUGCAGGAAUUAACAGAUCCAAUGCAUCAUCAGACCUGGAAUUGCUGCGUGAUUCCAAGCUCAGUGGAAAACCCAGAGAGUUUCGCUGCGAUGCACCAUUGAUGCCUGAGUUGCUGCUUGGGACAGAGCUCAGUGGAAGAGUCACUGGAUUUGGCUGGAAAUGGGAUGCACCACUCACGCUAGAGUGGCUGGAGGAGCUAGAGAGUAGUGAAGGAUGAGUCUGUAUCUUUGGCUGAGCAUGAGAAGUACCACUUGGCCUGGAUAGGCCACACGAGUUGGAGCUGAGUGGCUGAGGAGUCUGCACUGGUUUUGGGUAAAAAGAGGUUGUGCUGGAUUGGCUGCAUGAGCUAGAACCUAGCUGUUGGUGAGUCUCUAGUUUUGGUUGGACAGGGGAUGAUACAGUCGUGCUGGAGAGGCCACAUGAGCUCAAGUUGAGUGGCUGAUGAGUCUGCACUAGUUUUGGGUAAAAUUGGGUUGUGCUGGAUUGGCUGCAUGAGCUAGAACUUAGUUGUUGGGGAGUCUCUAGUUUUGGCUGGACAGGGGAUGAUACAGUCGCGAUAGAGAAGCCACAUGAGCUCGAGUUUAGUUGAUGAUGAGUCUGUAGUGUUGGCUGAAGACGUGAUGCACUACUUGUUUUGGAGUGCCUGAAUGGGCUAGAGCUAGAGUUAGAGCUAGAGCUCACUGGAGGCGGAGGAUGAGUCCGUAGAUUUGUCUGCAAUGCGUAGUCCCUACAUGAUUCUAAGCUCGGUGGAGAAGUAAAUGGAUUCGGUGGCAACGCAGGCCUUGAGCUUGAAGAAUUGGUGUCUGAGGCAAAUCUCGGCGGAGAAAUCAGGGGUAGUUUUUCACUUGGCUUCUUUUUAUCAUCUUUUUCACCCCACAACCAGCGAAUAAUAACGGAGAGAAUUUGACCCAUUGAAUCACCCGUCCCCCCCUUCUUUUUCUUCUUACUUCAUCAAGGAGCCUGUAAACAUAGAAAUGUCCCUUGUCAUGAAAACCAUGCGGGCGUGCACUGCAAUGUCAAUGGACUUGACACAGGUCCCACCAACAUUGCAUUAAAUUUUCCUUCUCGGACAAGUAAGAUAAGGAAUGCCUCUGCCACAUACUGUUGAGAAAUAUAAGAAGAUAUUACCCACAAUUACAAAGCCUAUCAUGUUAACAUUCAAGUCAUCCCACAUCGGAAUAAGAGAGAGGCUUUUCGGUCUCACCCCAUAGUGGUUCCCUCGUAAAAAGGGCUUUACCACAUAUUUUUCUUUUUAUUAUUAUAUUUUAAAAUUUUCGCUGCAGUAUCCUUUCAUAACAUAUUAAAUCAGGUAUCAUUUCAUAUCAAAUCAUUGUAGCCUGCUUGACUACUCCAAUUCCCAAGCCUUUCUCCUCCUUUUUGAAAGUUGAUUCCAUAAAUGUCUAGUUUCCAGUGAUGUAGGGUUGUGUGAGUCUUUCUCUGCCAUAUCAGACCGAGACAUUAAUAUGACUCAAAUGCAACAUUCAUGUUAGAAUACAAAGGGAUUCAAAUUGUCAACAAAUAAACCAAAAAUCAUCUUCACAGCCAAAUCUACAACUACUAAACAUCUUUUCCCUCUAAAACUAGUAAAGUUUUCAUCCAGACAUGUUGAUUAACUAUAGAAGAACAUGCUUCUGCAUCAUCCCCAUCUAAGUUCAGCAUUUUAGCAGAAACUCAAUAUGAAAAAACAGAAUGACAGAAAGGGUAAAAGGGCGCCAAUAUCAAUACCAUGCAUGCAGAUGAGCUUGUGGGUGAUGAGAGCUUUGUUGAGACCAGAGAUCAAAGCUCCCAAAUCAGAGUUUUCCCACCAAAGAUCGGACGAGAUCAAACACUAGUGAUGCUUGGCUUGCAGGAGAUCCAUCAGUGUUGGGUGUGAGAAAUGAGAGUUGUGCUGAGAGUGAAGGGGGAGCAAUAUCAGAAGGUAAAGAAGCUUCCGAUGAUUCGUACGUCCAAAGACUUGGUUGGACUUGGCCAUUUUUAUGCUACGUGGAGGCACUCUAUUCGGAUUAAUAAAGUGAUAAAAGAAAAAAAUUAGGAAAGAUUCGAAAGAAGUCCAUUUCAUCAAAGAAUUUGAUACCCAAAGUGAUCGAAGUAAUUAAAAUAGAUUGAUGAUGAUGAUGAUGGCUCCACCAAACAGCAUUCCAUACCCAACCCACCAAUCAUAAAAUUCAGUGACAUGGGAGUGCAUAAAGCAAAAUAAGAUAUACUAAAAUUAUUUUAAAAUACUUUGUAUUUCCAGAUAAUUUUUUAUUUGGGGAUCGGCAAAGGAAACAAAGUUGAAGAAUUAUUUUAAAACAAUUUAUUCAUUUUAAUUUUUUUUUUAAAUUUUCUUUCACUUGGUAAAUAUUUCAUAAUUUUAAAAAUUAUUAUAUUAUUUAAUUCAUAUUAUUUUAAUACUUAUCAUUAUAAAAAUAAAUAUGCACUUAAAUAUUUAUAAAAAUAAACAUUAUAUAUUUUUUGAAAAAUUUUCGUAAAGCUUAGUUGGUCUAGUGGUAGCAAUCUCUUUUUUUAUUGCUGCCUUUUAGGUUUGAUUUCUCAUACUCCUCUUUUCUACAUAUACCCAUCCCACAUUGAAAGCUCAUACAAGCAUUUCCUCCCAUAAAUUACAUAUGAGCUUGGCAUAGAAAUUAGUUACUUAUAAUGUGGCCCAUCAAAAUAAAUAUAUUUGGGAUGUACAACUUUUAGGGCUAGGUUGAGAUCGUACAACAUGUUUUUAAUUUAACUCGACUUGGAGGCAUUGGCAUCUUCCUCCAGGUUCACACUAUUUAUGAAGAACUCUAUGUAUUUUUAAUAAAGUUGAGAUCGUACAACAUAUUCUUAAUUUAACUCGACUUUGAGACAUUGGCAUCUUCCUUGGGGUUUACAUUGAAUCAAUAAAGAGGGGUUCACAUUAUCAUAUGAAGAACUUUAUGUGUUUUCAAUGAAGUUGAGAUCGUACAACAUAUUCUUAAUUUAAGUCGACUUGGAGGCAUUGGCAUCUUCCUCGGGGUUCACAUUGAAUCAAUAAAGAAGGGUUCAUAUUAUCAUAUGAAGAACUCUAUGUAUUUUCAAUGAAGUUGAGAUCGUACAACAUAUUCUUAAUUUAACUCGACUUGGAGGCAUUGGUUUCUUCCUCCCAAAUUCAUUGUAUGUGUAAAUGACAUCUUCCUCUCAAAUUCAUUGUAUGUAUGUAUAAAUGAAAGAAAGUUGAUUCAAAGAUCCAAACAAUCUUCUACUUUUAAAAUUUUAUGAACCCAAUCUAUGAUUUUCCAUUUAAAGAAAUUGACAAUGAACUAAAUUCAAUCAAAAAUUACAUACAUAUCUAUAAUAUAUAAUAUCUAUUAGCUAUAUUACCAACUUAAUUUUAUUAUAGAGUAGCAUACCACAUCUAUAUAGUUUAUAAUUGAGCUACUUAGUAAUGCUAUGAGAAGGUUAUACCAAUAGCUAUAUACAUUCAUCUCCUUGAGUUAGAAUAAUAUGACUUGACAUAGAUUGCAAUAAUGUAAUUUAAAUAGGUUUAUUAUAAUAGUAUUUUUAAGCUUUUCUGAUCAUAAUGUUUGAUAGGCUUUUUGGUUUGAGCCAAAGUUUAACAUAAUAAAAAAUAAUUAUUGGUUUUUAUUAUUAAAUCGAACUGAAACCAAAUGGACUUUAUUGUUAUUAAACUGAAUUAAAUGUUUUUUAAUAUUAAAAAAAAUAAAUUUAUUGAUUUUUUCUAUUCAAUAAAAAAAUUUAAAAAUAAGUAGCAGAUUAAUAAAAUAAAAUUUAAAAAAUGAGCAAUUUAAAAUCUUAGCAAAAAAGUUAAAAAAAUAAACAAGACUGAAGUUAAUUUUCUUUGAGUGUCGCAUGACUCCCCUGGGCUUAUUAAUAAUUCCCUGAUUGGGCUUUUAAUUCAUGACUAACAAAUUUGGGCCAAAACUUCCAAAAGUUAGCCUCCUAACGUUUCAAAUUGGGAUGGCAAUAUGGGUCAACUUCAUCCAAAUCUUGUCCAGUUUAUUUAUACCCAUUCUCGUCCGAUCCAUACCUAAAAAUAAAAAUAAAAAUAAAAAUUUUGAUUUUUUUUUAUUUUGAAAAUUUUAAAUUAUAUUAAAAAUAAAUAUAAUUUAUAAAAAAUAAAUAUUAAAACUUUUUAUUAUUUAUUUGUAUGAAAAGUAUAAGAAUUUACUUUUAUAUGCUAAAAAGAGGUGAAAAUGAAAAAAAAUAUAUUAAAUUAACUUUUUAUUUAAUAUUAUGUAUAAUAAUUGGGACAAGACAAAACUUAGGUUUUAAAAAAUUUUUAUCAAACUCAUUUCAAAUUUAUCUUUAUCUCAAAUUCAUCACUUUAAAGAAGGGGUAUCCCAAAAACCGUCUUAUUGUCAUCCCUAGAUCCAAAUCCUAUAUAUCAUGCCAGUUUCCUAAUUAUACUAUAGUGGACAACCGAAAAAAAAAAAAAGAGAGAAGGAAUGAGAAGUUGCACAACUUAUGUGGUUGAGAAAGUUAGACAAAGUAGAUAAGAUGGUGAUCGAUUCAACUCACAUAGUAGGUCUCUCAUCUACUACUAUAGAUUUUUUAAUCAUUUUUCUUUUCUUUUAAGUGAAAGAUUGGUAAUUGGACGGUUGGAGUUCACUUAUUCUUUCUAAAUUUUAUGGUUUUGGUUCAAAGACUAAUGAAAAGAGUUGAAGGUUCUAGGGAUUUCCAUGAAUAUCAAGUAGAAUACGUGUCAAAUUGAUCAUGAUAAGAAUAGCAUUAUGAAUCUAAAAUUAUUUGACUAAUUUAAAAAGAAAAAACAGAGAGAAAAUAAUUUGAAGCAAAAAAGUAAGAAAGGACUCUAAAUUAGUAUUAUGUUUGAAUAUCGAGUGGUUAGCAAAUAAGUUACAAAUUAUGGUAACAAGAAACCAUUGGUGUCACAAAAAUAUGCAACUUAUGAAUCUGGGUAUUGUUCAAAUGAUAGUUGAAAAAUAUAGUUUUGAGUGUUAGAGAAAAAAAAAUAAAGACGAAAUAAAUUUGUUCAAUAUUAUAUCUACAUAUGGUUGUAGGGUUGGCAUUACUAGUUUUAUAUAUGCUUUCCAAUUUGUUUUCUAUAUUUUUAGUCACUUGUCCACACCUCUCGUCUCACAAAUCUUCUUUUGAAUAACUAAGUUACAUUACCAAAUUACUCUGCUAUUUGUAUCUUUGGUUCUAAACCUUAUGCAACACCUAUUGCCUCUAGAAUCGUGCUCUUUAUUAAUUAAAGACAGUACUCCUCUCUCGGACCCUACUCUGUAUAUAAAUCUUGUUGGGUUUUAUAGUAUUGCACCAUUACUUGCCUUCACAUUUCUUUUAAUAUUGAUAAUUUAUGUCAAUUCAUUCAUGCUCUAACUCACAUUCACUUUUAGAUAGUUAAAUGACUUCUUUGGUAUCAAAAGGGGGUUGUUCAUUUCAUGGUCUUACUCUUCAUGGAGCCUAUUUUUUUGGAUCUUUUGUUUAUUUUGAUACAUGCUGGGAUAGUUGCCCAAAGAAUAGGUGAAGUACAAUGGCUAUUAUGCUUUCUUUGGAAAUAGUUUUGCCUCUUGAUAUGCUAGUAAACAAAAGGUGGUCUCUCAAUCUAGUAUUGCUUUUGAAUAACAUGGGUGCAUUUGAAUACUAUGUUAUUUACAAAUACUACCUCAAAAUUGGUUUGAAUUCAAUUCAUGUUUUAUAAGGGAAGGUUCCCUUAUUCCAUACACCUUUUAUAUUGUGUGACAAUUUAAGUUCAACCUAUUUGGCUAUGAAUCCUAUUUCACAUUCUCAUAUCAAAUAUGUGGAUACUGACUUCCCCUUAUGCAUAAUCUGAGUAUUUCAACAAAUCAUUAGAUGUCAAGUUCGUGUCUUUUGCUUAUCCAUUGGUAGAUGCUAUAACUAAGCACCCACUCAGAUCAUUCAAAACCGAAUCUCAAUGCUCCAUGCAUGAGCACAAUCCCUCCAUUCGAGUCAGGUCUCAAAACAUUCCCUAGAUUACUCAGCCUCCAUUAACACUCAUUUCUCAAUGAAAGCAAAACGCUGAAGUUUACCAACCCAGGUUCAAACUUGGUACACUUGUCAUAUGAUGCAGGACUGAGCUAAUUCAAAACUGUUCCAUCUCAUGUGGCAAUCCUAAAGUCAUAUUGCUUCCUUCCAGCAUUACAGAACAAAACUCAGAAGGUAAAAGCUAAGCAAAACUCAUUCUGUGUCGUAUCAUGCUGAACUUAGGAACUAAAAUAAUUCCAUGGUUCCCUAGGAUGGGAUCAGUCCAAGUCUCAGGAAUUUGAAAAAGAUUUUAUGUGCCAGCAUGAAAAUAAAAUUUAGGCCCAAAGAUCCCUGACCAAGUUAUCUUGGCCUUCACAACCCUCUCCCAGCACAUUAUCAAGGGUAUCUACUUUGUUUCCUGAUGGAUAUUUAGACCAGCUUUCGCUAAAUUGGUUUUGGGGAUCAAGCAGAAAGUACAAAAUAGAUUGUAUGCCAUUCUAAAUAGAAUGCAUGUCACACCAGGACUGCAAUUUGAUCAUGAAAAUUGACAGAGAUCAUCUCACCUGGAAGUAUGAAUUUCUAUAAAAUUUACAAUAAUUCCUGCUCUCCUACACACAAGUGUACUGAGACAAAAACCAAAAACAAAAAGAGGAGUAUAGUUUUCACCUAUAGAACAACACCGGUGCUUAACUUGUAUUCACUAGCAAACAAGGCAAAAGGUGCUCACUUCUCAGAAACAUGUUCUAUUUCUCCUUCUUUACAAGUAGUGAUCAGGACCCAAUAACAUCCUUUGUAGGAAUGCUGAUCUCAACCUGCUCAAAUGUUGAAGCUCUUGCAGAAGGUUUGUGUAACCAGUCAAGGUUCUUCCUGGACCUUCAGCCAUAUAUCUUUCAAAGCCAAGCCUAAGUGCUUCAUGAACAGUAUAGCCCACAUCGUAACCAGUUCUUCCGAAUGUUUCCACAGCAUGAUUGAAGUAUCCAUCAAAGAUCCGAGAACAUUCAUUGCUGACAGAGAUUGUUGAAGGUAACCCCAUAUGCCUUGGGAUGCCAUUCAUAUUUGCUUAAAUAUUUCUUCUAGGACCUCUGUAAUCAGAUGAACCUGGCCACUGCUGCAUUUGCAUUAGAUUAAUUUGCCGAGAUCCUCGGUGAUUUAAAUCAGAGUGGCUGUAAAGUGUGAUUGAAGGGUCAAAGCUUAACCCUAAUUGAUAUUCAUCCACGUAAAUAUAUAGUACAUCAAGCAAACCUAAUUAAGGGAAAACCGUGAGUUUAGGAAACAAUCCUAAACAAUAGCAACUACUUUCCUAGAAUAUAUCAUAAUAAUAUAUCAUAAUAUCUCAACAGUGGCACACGAUUCUGGACAUUUUCAUAGCAGUGGGGGAGAAUCUGAAUUUGAAAGUACUGCAAGCUCCCAAACGGAAGGGCUCAUCACAUCUUGAACCAGCUCCUCUCUUAUUGUUAUAGCCUGGGUAGUCCUCUUUCUUAAAAUCAACACACUCAAACAACACCAGAGAGUUUUGAGAAGCAAGUUCCUCAAGAUUCCAGUGGGAAAAUGGAGCUGUGGUUUUGUGAUUUACAUGAAUUUCACCAUUGGCUCUUAGCAUGCCACUUGCAUUCCUGAAGAAACCAUGCACAAGAUCCCUAUGCAUACUGUAGCAUAAGAUGGGAUGACAACAUAAGUACAAUCCACACAGAAUUAAUAAAGAAAUCAGCCAUUCUAUAAAAGCCUUAGGUACAACUAGAUUGAACCAUUUGAAAUCAGCAGAAAACAAUGCAUCAAAGAUACUCGUAUUCCUUUUGAUUUUUUUUUUUUUUUUUUUGGUUGUCAGACACACUGGUAGAAAAUAUUAUCAGAUGAUGAUGUCUAUAAUUAAUUUACCUGUGAUAAUGAAAAUUUUCUUCUACAUAUUUGUAUCUUUGAUAUAUAAUCUACCACUUCAAAAGAGAAACCCAGCACUCCCAUCAUUUGGAAGCAAAGGCAUGAUAUUUCUGGUGCAUCGGUAUAGCAGUUAAUCUUGUUUUAAGAUUGUAAGUUAGAUGCCUAGCAUCUGAGCUGAAGACCAACACAUGAGCCAAUGCCCAUGGUACAUGAUAGUAACAACUAGAAUUCUUAAAAAUACUAUGAAGACAAUAACUGAUUCAGUUACAUGUAGGGUUCCAAAUACCCCCCAGUCCAGUUCUAUCCUUUGCUGCCCUGGCUUUUGUGAUGGAGACUUUGUCCAUCAACAUGUAGAAGCUGAAAUUAUAACAUAGUCUCAUUAUGGAGGCAUUGGAAACCUACACAUGACCAUGUAGAUGUGAUUCAUUUGCCAAUACGAUGAAUCAUACUGCACUUGUGCAGACUCAUGACCACAGAAUGUGUGUUAUGCAUUAAAGAGGUUUAGACAAAAUGAUUCACACAAUUCUUAUUAGAAGAAGAGGUAUAAAUACAGAUUUGAGAAACUUAAGUUACUCCUAAACUUGUGCUAACGUAUAACAACAUAUGUGAAAAUAAAGGAAAGAAUGAGCUGUACAGAUUUCCUAAACUAGCUGAUCAAAUGCAGUUACAAAUUCUGAUGCUGAUUUUCUGCAUGAAUACUAGUAGUCCUUAUAUGCCCCCUCAAGAUGGAGGUGCCAUCUGCAACACCAAUCUUGGAUCUUAAUAGUUGAAAGCGUUGACGUGAGAGUGAUUUUGUAAGGAGAUCAGCGAGUUGAUCAAUGGUAUGGAUGUGCUGAACACGAAUAGUUCCCUUUUUGACAAGAUCUCGUACAAAGAGGAGAUCAAUUUCAAUGUGUUUCAUCCGUGUGUGUUGGACUGGAUUUAAACUGAAAUGGUUGGCGCCAAUAUUAUCACAAAACAUUUGAGGGGCUUCUCUGAGAGUGAGACCAAGUUCCUUGAUAAGAGAAUGAAGCCAAACUGUUUCUGAUGUGGCAGUAGCUAGUGCCCGAAACUCUGCUUCUGUAGAUGAUCUUGAGACUGCCCUUUGCUUGCGUGCAGACCAUGAGAUUGGAUUAGGACCAAUGAAUGUGAUGAAAGCAGUGGUUGAAACACGAGUGUCCGUAUUUGAUGCCCAGUCCGCAUCACUAUAGGUCUUGAGUUGGAAUUGAUCAUGCUUUUGGAAAAGGAUACCAUGAAACAUGGUCUGUUUAAGAUAUCUGAGUAGUCUUUUUGCUGCGACCUAAUGGUUUGUUGUCGGCUUCUACAUGAACUGAGAUAAUCUGUUGACUGCAAAGGCAAUAUCGGGACGAGUGAGUCCCAAAUACUGAAGUGCACCAAUGAUCUUGCGAUACUCAGUGUUGUCAACACAUUCAGAAUUAUCUUGAACCGUAAGCUUGGCUGUAGUGGACAUUGGAGUGAGUGUUUCUUUAGCAUUUUCCAUGGAGGUUCGUGAAAGGAGAUCCCGUAUAUACUGAUGUUGAGAUAGAAAGAACCUCUGUGGUGUUGGAAUCACUUCUAUUCCCAAGAAAUAAUGCAAGGAGCCCAUAUCUUUGACUGAGAAUGUAGAGCCAAGCUUGUUUAUAAUGUUAUUCACAAAGCUGAGUGUGUUGCUUGUGACAAUUAUGUCAUCAACAUAAACAAGGCAGUAGCACAAGAUAUCAUGAGACUUAUAGAUGAACAAAGAGUUGUCAGUGGCCGAGUGAAUAAAACCAAAGCUGAGGAGUGCAUCCCGAAGGGCCUUGUACCACUGUCGUGGGGCUUGUUUAAGACCAUAGAUACUCUUUUUUAGCUUGCAAACAUGCUGAGGUUGAGAUGGAUCUUCAAAUCCUGGAGGUUGAUGCAUGAAGACUUUCAAGAUUACCAUGCAAGAAUGCAUUAUUGAUGUCUAACUGACGAAGGAGCCAGCCAUGCAUGACAGCAAUGGUUAAAAGAAGCCUAAUUGUUGCUGGCUUUACGAUGGGGCUGAAGGUUUGAGAGUAGUCAAUACCUGGUCGUUGAUGAAAUCCUUUAGCGACAAGUCGAGCUUUAUAUCGACUGAUUGUUCCAUCUGGAUUUUGUUUCUUCCGAAACACAAAUUUACACCCAACAAGAUUCUGGCCAGGAGUGGGAGGAACCAGUUCCCACGUCCCAUGUUGAAGGAGGGUUGUCACUUCUUCUGACAUAGCCUUGCGCCAGUGAGGAUCUUUAAAAGCUUGACUUACACAACUUGGUUCGGGUGGUUUAGGUAAGGGGUGCUUGGUGGUGGUGUGGAGUUGUUUUGGCCGAAAGAUAUUGUUCAAGAAGCGAGUGAUGAUGGUUCGUGGACAUGGUGGUGGAGAGGAUGGUAUUGAAUUUUCUAGUUGAGAAAUAGAAGUAGAAGGUCUAAGAGUUACUUGAUCUGAAGUGGAGAGUGGUGCCUCUUGAGGUUGCACAAGAGCUGGAUCUUCACUUGGAGUCGAAGAAGCAGAGGGGAUAUCUCCUUGAGCCUGUGUGAUUGUUGGAAGCUCCUUGGAAGCAAGCUGCAAAAUUGGUCCUGAAAAAGAAGAGAUUUCUGGUGGGGAUGAGUCAGUGGGUGAUUGCAUGGAAACCUGUUUGAAGGGGUGAACAGAUUCAUCAAAGGUUACGUGUUUGGAAGUGUAUAUGCGCUGACUUUGUAGAUGAAGACAUAGAUAUGCACUUUGGCUAGUAGAGUAGCCAACAAAGAUACAAGGAACAAAUUUCUUUUGAAAUUUGUUUGUGUUAUACGGCUUCAUCAAGGGAAAGCAGAGACAUCCAAAGGAACGUAAUUUUUCAUACCGAGGUUGUUGCUUGAAAAGAGCUUGAAGAGGUGAUUUAUGAUGAAGAACAGGUGAUGGAAGUCGAUUGAUUAGAUAUGUGGCUGUUGCAAAAGCAUAAGCCCAAUAUUCUGAUGGAAGAGAGGCAUGACUUAGAAGGGUUUGACCUGUCUCCACAAUAUGGCGAUGACGACGCUCAGACACUCCAUUUUGUUGGGGUGUAUAAGGGGCUGUCGUAUAAUGACUAAUGCCAUGGGUUGUGAAAAAAGGUCGAAGAACAGUGAACUCUCCUCCAUUAUCGGAAUAAACUCCUUUAAUUUUUAUGUUAAAAUGAGUUUCAAUCAUUUUGUAGAAAUGAGGAAAUAUGGUUUUAACAUCUGAUUUUUGAUGCAAUGGAAAGAACCACACAUAUUUGGUAAAGUGAUCAACAAAAAUAACAUAAUAUCUGUGGCCAUUGAGACUAGGAGUGGGAGAAGGUCCCCAUACAUCAGUGUAAAGUAAAUCAAAUGGUGUUGUGCUAGUUAGACUGUGUUUAUGAAUGGGUAACUGAUGAGCUUUAUUGGUCAAACACGAAUGACAAUUAUUAGAACCAGAAAGACAUGAAGUGGUGGGAAGGGAGAAAGAACUAAUGAGGCGAGUGACAACUUUGAAUGAUGGAUGACUAAGGCGCUGAUGCCAACCAGCUACUGAUGUGCGUUCAUGGACAAAAGCAAUUGGAGUAGCAGCAGGCGAUGAGGGCAGAGGGUAGACUCCAUUUUCACACGGUCCUUGAAGAAGAAUCUCCCCCGUUCUCCGAUCCUUCACAAGAAAAUAAGUUGGGUGAAAUUCCAGGAUAACAUUGUUUUGCUUUGUGAAGUGGUGAACAGAUAUCAAGUUUUUGUUAAUGGUAGGAACACAUAGAGUAUCUUCAACUUGAAAUUUUCUGUUUGGAAAUGAAAGAGUAAGAGAACCAGAAUGAGUAAUGGGCAAACCUGAUCCAUCUCCAAUAAUAACUUCAUCAGUACCAUCAUAUUCAGAGUGAAAUUGUAAAUUUGAAACCUGAGAAGUGAUAUUAUGGGAAGCCGCAGAAUCAAUGAGCCAACGUUUGUCUAGACUGGAAGUAGUAGUUGUGCAGUUCACAGUGGCUUCAGAGGGUUUCAAUUUCGGACAGUAUUUUGCAAUGUGGCCUUGUUGAUCAUAAUAUUGACACCUUGGAGGGUACUUGUAUUGUUUCGACUGUCGAGACUUUGAUCUGGAGUCAUUCUUGGAUUGUUGAUAAGUUGAUGAAGACUGAUUCUUUAAGGAGCGUGAGUCCCUGCGUUGAGUGGUAUUGGCAGUAACUACCAAGGAUUGAGCAGUGGAAUCAAGCCUUCGAAGAUAUGCCUCAUGACCAAGUAGCAAAUCAUGUAAUUCUUCAAAUGAGAGUGAAGACUCUCGAGCUCGAAUCGAGGCAACAAUGUCACAAAAAUCUGAUCCUAAGCCAUGAAGAACAUAUAGGGUGAUGUCAUCUUGAGAUAAUGGGGCAUCGAUGAGAGCAAGCUCAUCGGCAAUGGUUUUUACAGAGUGUAGGUACUCUGUAAUGCUGCGAUUGCCACGUUGCAUGAGGGUGAGAUCCUCUUUGAGCUGCAUGACACGAGUCCUGGAUCGACUAGCAUACAGUUUUGUUAGUUUAGUCCAGGCUUGAUAUGACGUCUGGGAUGUUGCUAUGAGUGGUAUCAUAGUUGGGGACACUGAAGUCAGAAUUGCACUUAGAACAAGUUUAUCCUGACGGAACCAAAGGUGAUGAGAUGUAGUGGCAGCUGCAUCAGUUGACGUCGGUAGGGGUGGGCAGGUAUGAGUGCCAUCGACAUAGCCAAAGAGGUUAUAGCCGAGGAGGAGAGACUCAAAUUGGGCAUGCCAUGAAGGGAAGUUGGUUGGUGUGAGACGUGCAGUAAUUUGUUGGGUGGCAUUGAUGGCUAUUGGAAAACUAUCAGAGGAAGAAGUGGCCAUAGCAGAAGCAAGAAAGACAAGAAAUACUCGUUGGAGUUUUGAGGUGUGCUCUGAUACCAUAAAGAGGUUUAGACAAAAUGAUUCACACAAUUCUUAUUAGAAGAAGAGGUAUAAAUACAGAUUUGAGAAACUAAAAUUACUCCUAAACUUGUGCUAACGUAUAACAACAUAUGUGAAAAUAAAGGAAAGAAUGUGCUGUACAGAUUUUCUAAACUAGAUGAUCAAAUGCAGUUACGAAUUGUGAUGCUGAUUUUCUGCAUGAAUACUAGCUGUCCUUAUAUGCAUCUUCACCACUUUGAUAAAGUGGUCAAAAUUUCCCCUUUUGAGGACUUGAAUGGGAUCAUCAAAUGUGUGCUCCAAACCUACAGCUAGCUACCUUGAUGAGCAUCACCAUCUGAACCAAUUGAACAAACGCAGUUCUGUGCAUAGACAAAAAGGGCAUGAAAUGUAAAUGAACUCACAAACACAAAUAAAACAUAGGAGAAAAGUAACAUUGACCAUGACGAGCAACUACAAUGUAUGGAAGAUUGUACUAUGAAAUUCAAGCUACAUAUCAUAUCCAUAACAACAAUACGUUUUCUUCAUACAGAGAGAAGGUAGUUUUGAGGAAUUAUGAAAUUUCCAUCACAUAGAUAAGAAAUAAAAGAUGAAGCCUUACUUAAUCAUAAGCCUAUUGUCUUCCUUUCCAUGGAAGCUUGCAUGAGGAAAGUUAUAUAUAAUGCGGUCGAAUUUCCGCAUCUUGAGACCAAUAUGAAGCUUCAUCUUGGUUGCAUCCACUCCAAAUAAAAGAGAUGCUCCCAGCUUCUCUAAAGCUUCCAAAUUUGAUUUUGCUUUCUUGUACAUCUUUAUCAGAACAACUAGUUUGAGAUUGUGUCAGAAAACAAGUUGUCCAAGAAAUGUAAACUAAAAGGAAGAAACAAAAAUAAAAAAUAGCAUUCCUCAUAAAACAGAGAGACUACAACUUAAUUUAAAAUUUUGUAUAUUGAACUCAACAAAGACUAAACCUCAACUAAACAAUUGAAACAUUCACAAAUGUGAUAACUCCCCAAAUAUUGAAUAUAACAACCUUCAAAUUCUUAAUUUGCAUAUCCUUUUACCCAAAAUGAAAAUGACAUUUCAAUUUUAGAGCAUCAUAGAAGUCAGAACCCUUGUCAAUUUUGAUAUUUGGAAAGUACAAUAACAAUGGGGAAUUCUUGUCCAACAGGAGGAUUUGGAAAAACAUAAACCCAUAAAAAACUCACACAAUGUUAAAAAAUAUUUUGUUGAUAAUAAAAUAAAAGCUCUCCAAAUUCCACCUCUUGACUCUCCCCGGUUGCUUUCAUUUCAAAAUAGUCCUUCAUCUCCAAACCCAGAUGUUUGGUUCUCAGAAACUAAGAAAGAAAAAUAAUACAAAAGCAAGUUUCACUUAUAUUUCAAGGUUGACCAUUUCUUCAACCCAUAAAAUGAGUGUCAAAAUGUAUAAGUUCCUCCAUAUUUCUGGCAUGCUUCUUUCUCUUCCAGUCAUGACAGCCAAAUAAAGAAAAUAAUUCCCCUUCUACUAUUGCCCAAAAGUAUACAGGGCUAAGGACUACAAGAUUAGAGUAUAGUACACAAGUAACGAAUUGAUUCCAAUACAUAUAAAAUACAAGAAAAGGGAAAGAGAGAGACCAUAUGGGUCGAGAGAAGAAGCAACGAUAUUGGAAGCAGAAGCAAAAGAGUGACCCAAACACAGAGAAAAAGAGAAGUCCCCUUCACCAACCAAGAGAAUUUGAUGAAACGAGGAAUAAUGCAUCAACCGUUUCUCUUGUUCUUCCACACCCACUUCAUCUUUCACCAUUUCCUCCCCGACAGCCAUUGACGCUUUCUACAGUUACAGAACCAGAGAGACUCUUUGAGAGAGAAAGGCAGUGAAAGUUUGGUCGUGUUUAAGGGGCUUAUUUGAAAAAUAGAGAUGAUUUUCAAAUAGAAAUAUUUAGGCUGAAUUUUCCGAGAUGCCACUGUUACCUGGAUGGUGCAAGCAAUGGGAUUGUUUCGUUUGUGAGCGAUGGAGCUUGGGAGGGGCAUUUUGGGAAUGGAAGAUGCAUGGAAUGGUCGCCCAUUAAUGGUGGUUUGCCCUAACAUUGGGGAGUUCAAGCAUCCCUUACACUCGGCUCACAUGGCUUCUGACGAUGCAGAUUUAAAAGGGCUGGGGGAAUUACUUUCCUUUUUGGGUUUUAUUUUAUUUUUUAUUUUUGAGAAAGUAUGGUAUGUAAUUAUAUAAAAUUAAUUAGUAUAAAAUAAUCUUUAGAAUUGUGAAUCUAACUCAACUUAAUAAUCGUACGCUAAGAGACGCCAAGGAGAAAUUCAUGCAAAAUGUGACAUUAUUGAGCUCUGCUAUGAACCCAAUUGAAAGGACUGCUAAAUGCCCCACUGAGCUUGGAACUGCCUUUAUCUUGGUAUUGUGUACAUAAAAUCUAUGGCAGUGGCUUGAAUGUGAACUUUGAUGGAAGAAGGGCAAUUACUGAAGCGCCAGCCAGUGUGACAUCCAUUCAGGUUAGAGAUGCAGGUCGGAUCAUUCAAACUGAUAUGGUAGAUAUCCACUGUUCUAAUUGUGAAGGUCAUGUUGGAUGGAAAAUAGUAAGGAUUCGAUGAUGGUCCCCUUGUCCCCCUUAUGGUGGAUUUUGUGUUUUACUUUUAUUAUAUAUGUACAUUAAUUAGCAUUGGAUGGUGAUAUUGUCACGACCCAAAUUUCGGGCGACCCAAAAUUUGGCCCGUGACCUAGGUCAAAGGUUUGACCCUAAGGGUUUCUCCUAUUCCACGUUGGCAGUCAACUAAAACACUCAAAAUUAUUUUUUUUUCACAUAUAAGUCCCACUAGGGUUCUCACCAACUAACAAUAUUUUAAAACCUUACUCAAACACAUCAAGAUUUAAUAAACAUCAUUGCAUCCCAAAAUAAAGUUUCAUAAAAAUCCUCUUAAUCAAACUAGGGUCUUAUUACAUUAUCCAUAAUUCACUUAUUACAAGGUCUCAAUGCCACAAACACAAUAAAAAAAAAUAAAACCUUUCCACUAAACCGCUCCAGGGGCAUCCUGAAGUCCUCCCUGUCCCAUCUGUGGAUCCUCAGGAGUGAUAUAUGCAUCUAAAAAGAUAUAAAAAUGAAGGGGUGAACAUUUCCACAUUGCUCAGUAGGGUGCCUAACACUCACAGGGUUAAUGGGGGAUUACUAUAUUUUGAGAACCCAAACGCAAUAGUUCACCAAUAUAAAUCAAGUCACACAAUUUAACAUAUAAUAUUAAACUCAAUUCCACAACAUCCAAUCAUUAAAUGAAUGCAUAUAACCGUAUGACACACAAUCAUACAAUGCACUAUCGUUCUCGGGCUUUCACCGAAGGAUACGCGUCCGCGCCCAAAUAUACUCCCCAUUCGGAGUCUUCCCGGGGUAAACUUUUGGGUCUUUCACCCUAGGGAUCUCUCUCCCUUCUUAGUUCGCCUCACACGGGCUUUCACUUUUCAUUACUAUUUUUUUUUUUUCCAUUUCAUACACUUUUCACAAUUUUUUUUUUCUUCAUACAACCAUGAUGCAAAUGAAUGCCACAAACUCCAAAAUUCCUUAAUAAUUUCAACAAUUCCAACAUUUUCAAUAACCCAAUAAAAUAAAAUUUUCACAUUAAAAUUCCCGAAAAUAUACCAACGAAUUUUUGGAAAUUCACACAUCAAUAUACUUGAAUUUAUAUCACAAUUUCAGAAUUUUUCAAUAAUUCUAAUAAUUCCUAAUAUUUGAAAAUAACUAAUUUUUCACAAUAAAAUUAUCGCAAAUAUUCCAAUCAAUUUUCAAAAAUUCAUAAAUCACUAGAUUUGAAAUCUUGCCCUAAUUCCGGAAUUUUCCUACAUUUCUAAUAAUUUUUAACAACCUCAAAUAAUUAUUUAUCAAUUACAAAGAAUUCCGAAAAUUACAAAAAAAUCCAGAAAAAAUCUCAAAUCAUUCCGAAAAAUUCACACAACAUCACAAUUACCUACUUAACUCAUAAUUAUCAGAUUUAUAACUUUUUUCCAAUAAAAAAUACAUUAAAUUUGAGUUUUAGGGUUAGUUUUCCCCUACCACAAAUAUGAGAAUUUGGCCUUUAAAAACGAAAUCAGUCACCGCAAACUUGUUCCUCUAGUCGAAUAGAGUAUUUCCUCCGAAUUUGGGCCAAAACGGAGAUCGUUUGGUCGUCCAAACGGCCGGUCAAAGAUCCGGCGAGUGCCCUAAUUCCACAACUGCCGAUCCUUUCUUCUCCCCGCGUUCUGCCCUUUUAAAAAAAAAACUCCUUCUUUUCCUUUUUUUUUUUUUUUUUUUUAACAACCCACUUCACAUGGCUUUUAAAAGCCACCAGCCACUUAAGCCCAUAUCCAAGCCCAACUCAAUUCCUUUCUUUUUAACAAUCCAUACCACAUUCACAUAGCCCAAGUUUAAUAGCCCAUUUGAAUAUUUUCAUUUCUUUUCUUUUAUUUUGCUUUUCUUUUGUUUAUUCUAUUUGUUUUAUUUGAUUUCCAUUUUUUUUUUAACACACAAAUUUAUUUAUUACCACCAAUCUAAAACUAAUUUUCUUAAUUUUAUUAUUCAUCAAUUUAAUUUAAUUAACUUUUCUUAAUUAAUUCUAAUUAAUCUUAAUUUAUUUAUUUUUUUCGUUUUCGGAAAAUUUCAAUUUCUAAAAUCCUAAGAAAUUUUCUACCCUAAGGUUGACAUGGCAUAAAAUUUCAACUCGUUUAAUUGACCGACACAAUAAAACAAAAUUCACCAAUUUGAAAUUGACACGUGUUCUCCAAACACUUUUCUUUUUGACUUUUCAACCAUCACACAAAAUAAGACUUUUCAAACUAAAAAUGCUAACGUGGCAUAAAAUACCCGGUCAUUACAUCCUACCCCCCUAAAAGAAAUUUCGUCCCGAAAUUUAAACUAGCUUACCUUAAAAUUCGUAGAAGAGUUGCGAAUAGUGUCGUCUCAUUUCUUCCUCAGGUUCCCAAGUGGCUUCUUCUAUCCCAUGGUGUUGCCACCACACUUUGACUGCAGGAAUCACCUUGUUCCUGAACCUAUGCUCUCCAACUUCCAGAAUUCGUAAAGGUUCCUCCACAUAAGAAGUAUUUCACUAAUCUGAACAUCUUGCAAGUCCACUACCCAAGUUGGAUCUGGAGUACACUUCCUUAGCAUUGACACAUGGAAAACAUCAUGCACAAGGGACAAUUGUUGAGGCAAAAUUAACUUGUAUGCCACUGGGCCAACUCUCUUAUCAAUCUGAAAUGGUCCCACAAACCUAGGGGCUAACUUCCCCUUCUUCCCAAAUUGAAAUAUGCCUCUUCGAGGGGACACUUUUAUAAACACCCAAUCCCCUUCCUCAAACUCCAAGGGUCUUCUCCUUUUGUCUGCAUAACUUUUCUGUCUAUCUUGGGCAGUCUUAAGUUUUUCCUUGAUGAGUUAUAUCUUCUCUGUAGUCUCUUGGACACUCUCAGGUCCCAACAAAUGACUCUCACCCAUCUCUAUCCAACACAAGGGCGAUCUACAAGGUCUCCCAUAGAGUGCUUCAUAAGGUGUCAUGCCAAUACUAGAUUGGUAACUGUUGUUAUAAGCAAACUCUGCCAAAGGUAAGUAAUCUGCCCAAUUUCCUCCAAAAUCCAAAACACAAGCCCUUAACAUGUCUUCUAAGAUCUGGAUUACUCUUUCUGAUUGACCAUCUGUCUGAGGGUGAAAAGCGGUGCUAAAAUUCAGUUGGGUGCCCAAAGCCCUUUGUAAACUCUGCCAAAACUGAGAAGUAAACUUAGGGUCCCUGUCAGACACUAUAGAUACAGGUAUCCCAUGCAAUCUCACAAUCUCUUGUAUAUACAACUUAGCCAAAGAGUUCAUGGAAUCAGUAGUUUUCAUGGCUAGAAAAUGGGCUGACUUAGUAAGAUGAUCCACAAUCACCCAAACCCCAUUUUUCUUGCUUCUAGUUGUUGGCAACCCUAUCACAAAGUCCAUAGUGAUAUUAUCCCACUUCCACUUAGGUAUAGGUAAAGGUUGCAACAACCCUGCAGGUCUCUGGUGUUCAGCCUUCACUUGCUGACAAAUCUGACAGUUAGCUACAAACUGAGCAAUAUCUCUCUUCAUCCCACUCCACCAAAACUGUCUCUUUAAGUCUUGAUACAUCUUAGUAUUCCCAGGGUGAAUGGUAUACUUCGCCCUAUGAGCAUCUGCUAGAAGUUCAUUUCUCAACUCCACAUCUUUUGGCACACACAAUCUCCCUUUGAACCUCACACUCCCAUCUUCAUACAUAGACCAAUUUUCAUCUAUUUCACCUGCUACCAACUGGGCUUUAACCUUUUCUAAAAACUCAUCAUGAACUUGGGCCUCUACUAUUCUCUGGAUAACCAUUGGUCUAGCUGAUAUAUUGUACAAGCAUGGACCAUGCCUUUCCAAACCAAGACAUAAUUUAAAAUCCUCAAUAACUACAUGCAUCUCAAACUCUCUCAACUCCAAGCUAGACAACUGGCCAACACUCUUCCUACUCAAAGCAUCUGCUACAACAUUCACCUUUCCUGGAUGAUAAUGAAGAGCAAAAUCAUAAUCUUCCAAUGUCUCCAUUCAUCUCCUUUUCCUAGAGUUCAGAUCCUUUUGAGUGAAAAUAUAUUUCAAACUCUUGUGAUCAGAGUACACCUCAAACUUCUCUCCAUACAAAUAGUGUCUCCAAGUCUUAAGGGCAAACACCACUGCUGCAAGCUCCAAAUCAUGUGUUGGAUAAUUCCGCUCAUGCUGCUUUAACUGUCUUGAGGCAUAAGUACCACCUUGCCUUGCUGCAGUAGCACACACCCUAGCCCCACUGUGGAAGCAUCACAAUAAAUUGUAAACAACUCUCCACUAAUAUGAGCAGUUAACACUAGAGCAGUGGUCAAUUUCCGUUUCAACUCUUGGAAAGCAGUCCAAUCAAACUUCACCCUUUUUCUAGUCAACCGAGUCAUUGGUGCUGCAAUUCUAGAGAAGUCUUCCACAAACCUCCUAUAAUAUCCAACCAACCCCAAGAAACUUCUAACCUCAAAUACAUUAAUAGGCCUUUGCCACUCCUGUACAGCUUCCACCUUGGAAUGGUCUACUGCUAUUCCUGCCUCAGAAACCACAUGGCCUAAGAAAUUCACUUCAGUAAGCCAAAACUCACUUUUGUCCAACUUCCCAUACAAUUGAUGCCUUCUCAAAGUUCUAAGGGUGGUCACCAAAUGCUGCUUAUGCUCCUCCAAACUCCUGGAGUAGAUCAAGAUGUCAUCCACAAAGACAAUCACAAACUGAUCCAAGUAAGCACGAAAUACUUUGUUCAUUAAAUCCAUGAAAGCAGCAGGGGCAUUAGUUAACCCAAAAGGCAUGACUAAGAACUCAUAAUGCCCAUAUCUCGUUCUAAAAACGGUUUUAGAAACAUCUUCUUCCCUAACCCUCAAUUGAUGAUACCUAGUUCUCAAGUCAAUCUUACUAAAAUACUUUGCACCCUUCAACUGAUCAAACAAGUCAUCUAUCCUUGGAAGAGGCUACUUAUUCUUCACAGUAACUCUAUUCAACUUCCUAUAGUCAAUACAUAACCUUAGUGUGCCAUCCUUCUUCUUCACAAACAACACUGGGGCUCCCCAUGGUGAUGUACUUGGACGAAUAAAACCCUUACCCAACAAUUCAUCUAACUGAGUUUUCAAUUCUUUCAACUCAAGAGGGGCCAUCCUAUAAGGGGAUACUGAAAUAGGAUCAGUUCCUGGGUAUACUUCAAUAGAGAAAUCAAACUCUCUAUGAGAUGGUAAACCUAGUAACUCAUCUGGGAAUACAUCCUGAAACUUCCUCACCACUGGAAUUUCUAUAAUGUCCUUUUGGGCUUUCUCCUUACCACGAAGACAAGCUAGGAAAUUUAUUGAUCCCUUCCCCAACACAUACUGAUAGCACGGAUCGGACUGCGAAAAAGCCAAACUAACACACUUCCCUCCAACAAAGCAAACCUCAAAUCCCUCUGGCAGACAAAAUAUUAUCCUGCGGCGAUGACAAUCAAUAACCGCUCUAUACACUGUCAACCAAUCCAUUUCCAAGAUAACAUCAUACCCAGUCAUAUCCAAAAUCUUCAAGUCCACAUUUAGUGUUUUAUCUGCCAAGGUAAUAACACACCCCUUGCAUAUUCUAUCAACUCUAGAAUUCGUACCCAUAAGGGAUUCAAUAAGUAACAAAUUUUCUACCAUUUAUGUUUUCAACCCCAAUGCAUUAGCACAAGAUGCAGAAAUGAAAGAAUGAGUUGCACCAGUAUCAAACAAAACACGCACCCAAGUACUAUAUACCAAAAUCAUACCUUCCACCAAAAGGACGUCCUCCUCUGGCUCUGUUAGGGUCAAGGCAAAAACUCUUCCUCCUGCCUGCCUUCCCCUACCUCUAGCAUUCGACCCUUGAGAAGAACGGGUCUGACUACUCAUAGUAGUUGUCCUGGUUCCCUGCGCUGCUGGGGGUAAUUGUGGCAUCUGGUAGUAAGGCAAUUGAAACUGAGGGGGCUGGAAAGACACUACUGGUUGCUGCUAAGAACUUCCCUAAGACUGAGGUCGAGCCUGUUGUACACCUCGCAAUGGGCAAGCCUUCCACAAGUGGUCUCCCGCUCCACAACCAUAACAUACUCUAUUAGCAGCCACCCUCUGAGCACUCUGCUCACCUCCUACAUAGAAUGAGGAAUGCCUCUCAGACUGCUGAGUCCUCUGCCUCUACUGCGGACCCUGAGAUCUCCCUUGGGAACUUUCACCCAUUCUUUGUUUCCCUUUUCUAUUCCCCCCUUUGCUCCCGAAUUUGGUUGGUCUCCUCAAUAUCCUACUCCACCAACAAAGCCCUCUUAACCAACUCAGAAUAGUCCCUUAUUGCCAAUGGGACUAAUCUAUUCCUAAUAGCAGGCCUCAACCCCUGCUGGAACCUCCUAGCCUUUUCUCCUUCCUCACUGAUCAUCCCCAAAGCAAAACGAGACAACUCUGAGAAACGUGACUCAUACUCCAACACCGACAUGGUUCCUUGGAUGAGGUGCUCAAACUCCAUCCUCUUGGCAUGCUUAGCCACCUCCCCAAAAUACUUGCCUAGGAAGAUUCUCUCAAAUUCCUCCCAGGUCAUAACCUCAGUGUCAUACACCCUUUUCAUUGAUUCCACCAGAAAUCAGCUUUAUCAACAAGCAUAUAUGCUGCCAGACCUACCCUUAUUUCCUCAAGUAUGUCCAGUUCCACCAGAAUUCUUCUCAUCCUCCUCAACCAAUGCUCCGCUGCUUCAGCACUGGGCUCUCCAUUAAAAGAUGGAGGCUGCAUCACCAUGAACCUCUUCAUUGCUUCCAUUUGGCUCAUUACUGGCCUUUCAGUGCGGCUCCUCCUAUGUGAGUGGCCUGAAUCCUCAUGGCCCUGGGUACCUCUUGAUCUCCUGGAACCCUGGCCUCUCAUCAAUUCAACAAUUUCUCUCAACUCUCUUCUUACUUCUCGAAGUUCUUCUCUUAUCGUCUCCAACUCCUCAUUCCUCUCUGAUCUUCCUCCUCUGGUCCUUCCCGCCAUUUCAAGUUUAACAAACCCUAAUUCAAUCACAUUACUAAGGUGAGCAAAAAUAAAUUUCACAUAUACACACUUAGCAACUUCAACAAUUAUCAAAACUUUCACUUUCAUACACUCACAAUACAUAAUUCAAUUAAUCAUCAACUUAUUAAUUAACACAUACAAAAAUCAUAACAUUAUAACACACAUAAGCACCCACAAACAUUGACCCCAAGGUAUUAUUGCAACCUUGGCUCUGAUACCACGCUGUCACGACCCAAAUUCCGGGCGACCCAAAAUUUGGCCCGUGACCCCAGGUCAAAGGUUUGACCCUAAAGGUUUCUCCUAUUCCACGUUGGCAAUCAACUAAAACACUCUAAAUUUUUUUUUUUUACAUAUAAGUCCCACUAGGGUUCUCACCAACUAACAAUAUUUUAAAACCUUACUCAAACACAUCAAGAUUUAAUAAACAUCAUUGCAUCCCAAAAUAAAGUUUCAUAAAAAUCCCCUUAAUCAAAAUAAGGUCUUAUUACAUUGUCCAUAAUUCACUUAUUACAAGGUCUCAAUGCCACAAACACAAUAAAAAAAAUAAAACCUUUCCACUAAACCGCUCCAGGGGCAUCCUGAAGUCCUCCCUGUCCCAUCUGUGGAUCCUCAGGAGUGAUAUAUGUAUCUAAAAAGAUAUAAAAAUGAAGGGGUGAGCAUUUCCACAUUGCUUAGUAGGGUGCCUAACACCCACAGGGUUAAUGGGGGAUUGCUAUAUUUUGAGAACCCAAACACAACAGUUCACCAAUAUAAAUCAAGUCACACAAUUUAACAUAUAACAUUAAACUCAAUUCCACAACAUCCAAUCAUUAAAUGAAUGCAUAUAACCGUAUGACACACAAUCAUACAAUGCACUAUCGUUCUCGGGCUUUCACCGAAGGAUACGCGUCCGCACCCAAAUAUACUCCCCAUUCGGAGUCUUCCCGGGGUAAACUUUUGGGUCUUUCACCCUAGGGAUCUCUCUCCCUUCUUAGUUCGUCUCACACAGGCUUUCACUUUUCCUUACUAUUUUUUUUUUUUUUUCCAUUUCAUACACUUUUCACAAUUUUUUUUUUCUUCAUACAACCAUGAUGCAAAUGAAUGCCACAAACUCCAAAAUUCCUUAAUAAUUUCAACAAUUCCAACAUUUUCAAUAACUCAAUAAAAUAAAAUUUUCACAUUAAAAUUCUCGAAAAUAUACCAACGAAUUUUCGAAAAUUCACACAUCAAUAUACUUGAAUUUAUAUCACAAUUUCAGAAUUUUUCAAUAAUUCUAAUAAUUCCUAAUAUUUGAAAAUAAUUAAUUUUUCACAAUAAAAUUACCGUAAAUAUUCCAAUCAAUUUUCAAAAAUUCAUAAAUCACUAGAUUUGAAAUCUUGCCCUAAUUCCGGAAUUUUCCUACAUUUCUAAUAAUUUUUAACCUAAAAUAAUUAUUUAUCAAUUACAAAGAAUUCCGGAAAUUACAAAAAAAUCCAGAAAAAAAUCUCAAAUCAUUCCAAAAAAUUCACACAACAUCAUAAUUACCUACUUAACUCAUAAUUAUCAGAUUUAUAAUUUUUUUCCAAUAAAAAAUACAUUAAAUUUAAGCUUUAGGGUUAGUUUUUCCCUACCACAAAUCUGAGAAUUUGGCCAUUAAAAACGAAAUCAGCCACCGCAAAUUUGUUCCUCUAGUCGAAUAGAGUAUUUUCUCCGAAUUUGGGCCGAAACGGAGAUCGUUUGGUCGUCCAAACGACCGGUCAAAGAUCCGGCGAGUGCCCUAAUUCCACAGCCGCCGAUCCUUUCUUCUCCCCGCGUUCUACCCUUUUAAAAAAAAAACUCCUUCUUUUCCUUUUUUUUUUUUUUUAACAGCCCACUUCACAUGGCUUUUAAAAGCCACCAGCCACUUAAGCCCAUAUCCAAGCCCAACUCAAUUCCUUUCUUUUUAACAAUCCAUACCACAUUCACAUGGCCCAAGUUUAAUAGCCCAUUUGAACAUUUUCAUUUCUUUUCUUUUAUUUUACUUUUCUUUUGUUUAUUCUAUUUGUUUUAUUUGAUUUCCAUUUUUUUUUAACACACAAAUUUAUUUAUUACCACCAAUCUAAAACUAAUUUUCUCAAUUUUAUUAUUCAUCAAUUUAAUUUAAUUAAUUAAUUAAUUUUUCUUAAUUAAUUCUAAUUAAUCUUAAUUUAUUUAUUUUUUUCGCUUUCGGAAAAUUUCAAUUUCUAAAAUCCUAAGAAAUUUUCUACCUUAAGGUUGACAUGGCAUAAAAUUUCAACUCGUUUAAUUGACUGACACAAUAAAACGAAAUUCACCAAUCCGAAAUUGACACGUGUUCUCCAAACACUUUUCUUUUUUACUUUUCAACCAUCACACAAAAUAAGACUUUUCAAACUAAAAAUGCUAACGUGGCAUAAAAUACCCGGUCAUUACAGAUAUACAAAUUCGUGAGCGCAACAAUCACCCAAUAGUCCAUAAAGGCCAGUUCAUACUGCAGAGUUUUUAUCAGGAUGGUUGGGAGAGUCAGAUAUUCUCUCCAUGCCAUAAAACACAAGGAAGAAAACAUGGCUGAAAUUUCUAAUUCUGUUUAUAUUCCUUGCUAUCAUGGUUGUACGUAGACAAGAUUUGACAUUCGUUUCAUUUCUUUUCCCAGCAUACCCAAUCUGCUAUGUGACAUUAUAUGACUAAAGUUUGUCUGAGUUCCAAAGUUUCUAGGUUUUGAAUCUUCUCCACUGAGCUUGGAACUGCCUUUAUCUUGGUAUUCCUCAGAUUCAAUUUCUUUAGUAGGGUGAGAUUAAUAACCACUUCGGGAAAAGUUUCCAAAACUGCAUCUUUCAACUUCAAAACUCUCAAUAACCUUAAUCUCUAGUGUUUUUCUAAAUAUGAAAGUAGUGAAAUUCUCUCUUCCAAGUUUGAACAAGGUGCGAAGACGAGAGAAAUCCUCGCUUUGCAAUGAAUCUGUGAAAGCAUCAUGGAUUGCUAUACAUCGAUGGCUAAGGUGAUCAUAUCGAUCUACGUUUUGUAUGGUCAAAACUUUACAAAAGCUUGCAUCUUCAGAUAUUGGAAAUAAGGCAUUCUCGCCAAAGAUUCUUAACUUGACACCUUCUUACUAUGCCUUGGAAAUCCCUUUUGUUUGCGUCAACCAAGCACCCAUUGAUCAGCUCAUCGAGGUAGGCAUCCACCACCUCCUCCAGUGUUUUACCUCUUUUCUCCUCAACAAAUCCUUCAGCUAUCCACAAGUUAAUCAGCCUUCCACUAGUAAAAGAAUAAUCCUUAGGAAAUUUGCAGAAGUGAAAGAAACAACGCUUAAGAUGGAAAUAUCUUUGUUGUAAUAUUCUCCGAAUAAUCCCAAGUUUGGAAUUGCUUUAGAUGAAAGGGGUGAUGAAACGAGAGAGAUGAGAGGAAAAGAUGCUAAUAUUAUUUAUCUCAGUAGUCUUCUACAAUAACAGAGCACGCAUUAUAUACAAGCAGAAAAUACACAUCCUAACCAACUGUACAUGUGGAGCUAAAAGACUAGAGAGAAAAUAAUAUCCUAACUAAUUAUAGCUUUAGGCUUAAUAUCCCCCCUCAAGCUCAUUGGUCUAGUGAGAACAGUGAGUUUGGAACGUAGAGUAAUGAAACGUUGGGUCACUACAUGGAAAAAGAUAUAUGGUGACAUUUAUAAUAAGUCACUAUAAACAAAGGGUGUCACUACAACAUAGCAUCAUUUUAUCCACUGACACCAUAAAGGGUAUCAAUUGGUGACGUAUUUGGAAGCGACACCAAAGCAGAUAAAUGGUGACACAUUCAGAAACGACACCAUAUAUUUUUAGUGAUGCUUAAUUUGAUAUAGAGUUGUAUGAGAUAUAUAAAGUGUCAUAUUAAAUGCAUCAUUUUUUAGUUAUAGUGUCCCGUUAAAUGUAUCACCUUUAAUUUAUGGUGUCACAUCAUUGUAAAUGAUUAUGGAAGAUAUGGUUGUUUUUUGUUGAUUAGUUUGUAGAUUUUUGUAAUGCUUAUUAAUAAAUAAGACCAAUUUGUGUAAAUUGUCCAUAAAUAUAAUAAUCAUAUUACAUUUAACUUAUAUUUUCAUAAUGCUUAUGAAUUAACUUGUAACACAUUACAUCAUCCAAUAAUAUUUGUAUAUCAAAUGUUCACAAAAUGAUAGUACAUCAAACACAUCAAACCCACCAAAACUAAAAAAGUAAAGUGAAUACACAUUAAAACAUGAUUUAGAAAUGUUAAGCCUCCCAACAUUCAUGUAUACCUACAUUUCAUAUGCAUAAAACCGACUAACCAUAAAAUGACACAAGAGUUGCAUCCAAAAACCCAAAAUUCUCAAUUCCAAAUAAAGUAAUGUUUAUGUCCUAUAAUGUAUGACAUAAGAGUCAUAUCUAAAAACCUAAAUCUUGUUGCAUCUUUCUCCUUUCUUUUUAUUCUUCAUAUCGUCCUCCCAAGAGUGUAUACUUGCAUUUCAUAGUUUAAUGAGUUUUAGAGUUCUUAUUGAAAAUAAAAAUAUGAUGUUAUAAAAAAUAAACAAAUCUAAGUACUAAUGUUUUCUUUUUCUUUUUCCUUUUUCUCAUUUUGAUAUAAAAAUAGUUCGUAAAGAAUAAGUAAUGUUAUACAAUGCCAAUGGAAAAUUCAAUCAUACAACAACUAAGGGACUUACCAUGAAUGAUCACGAUACAUCAAUAUGAUUCAUGAUUAGUUAUAACACAAAAGUAAUCAAUUUUUCUCUAAUUUCAUCAAAUUCUACUUGAGAAUAUGUUUUUUUGUCAUCAAACUGAAAUCAAAUGAGAAUAACAUUAAUAUCACAAUAAUUGGAAGUAUGAAAUUAUGUACAAUUCAUUAAAUGAGUAAAACCUUUAAUAUAUGCAAUAACUAUAAAAUCAACAAUUAUUUUUUUAAUGAAUCUCAUAACAAAGUAGUCACAUUUGAACUCAAAUAAAAACAAUUCAAGAAAAUAAAAAAUAAAUCAAAACUACAAAAUCAAAAUAUAAAUCUAAAAUUUUAAAAAAUACUAAUUUUCUACUUAAAAUUUUCACUUUUUAAUGUUUUUUUAUAAUUCAUUUUGCUUUUAAAAAUCAUUUUUAACAUCUAAUUCUUUAUAUAUAUAUAUAUAUAUAUAUAUAUAUAUAUAUAUAUAUAUAUAAAUUCUCUUAUUUUCAUACAAGAAAUUUCCAUUUAUGCCUAAAAUACUUUUAGAAAAAUCAUUGCCAACAAAAUUUUAUUUUUAAAAUUAUUUUCAACAUUCUUAUUUAAAAAAAUUAUCACUGGAUUAUUUUCAAAAAAGAUAGUCCUAAAAAAAUUAAUAUUUUAUAACCCAAUUUAAACUCAAAAAUUAUCCCCAAUAUUAUUUUAUAUUCCUAAAUUAUUUUCAAACAAAAUAAAAAUUAUUAAUAUUUUGAUUCAUUUUUAAAUACUUUCACAAAAAUAUAUUUUAACCACAGAUUAUUUUAAUUUAUCAAAAUAUUUUUAGGAAAUGAGCUAUUUUCCAUUUAUUACUAUCCUAUUUUUCAAAACAUAUUUUCAAGCAUUUCAUUCACAUUUUAAAAUUUCAAAUACUAAAAUUAUUGUUUUUAUAAAACAACAAAGCAUGUAAAUUUCAACUACUAAAAUUAUUGUUUUUGUAGAAUAAACAAAGCAACAUACACUUCUCUUCCAUUUACUAAUUCAACUAUUACAAUCACCCCAAUAUUUUGUUCACCUACCAAUAAUUCAUUCCAUGUAGGUGACUCUUUAAAAAAAAAUCAUAUUUAUAAUACCCUUUACCACUCUGAUACCCAAUAUUCUAUUCCAUUUAGGUGACUCAAUACAAAGAAAGUAGAAAUGUUUUCUUAGGUUAACUGAAGAAAACCCUAAAUAGCUUAAGUGUUUUUGGAUUAAUUGAGCAUCAUCUUGUAGUAGAUGUCAAUCUCUAUUGUUAGACUUCACCAAAAAGCUCCUAGCACGGUGGAAAAAAUUAUCAAAUAUAGUCAAGUCUUCAAUAAAAUAUUAUUUCAUGUGAAAAAUUACUACAAACUAGUGUAUCUCUCAUUCUCAAUUAGACAAAAAUUUUAAAAAUCAUUCAUUUAUCUUGUUUUCAUUUGUUUUGGGGCUUAUUAGCAAUGAAACGAAAAAUAUGUUAGAAUGUUAAACCUAGUUUUUACUUCCUUGGAACUCGAUAAAAGACACCAUUUACAAAACCCACAUCAUAGAUAUACUAAAUCAAGAGAUAUAAAACAAUUAUACUAACAAAGAUUUUUGCAUUAAUAAAAAAAAAAUGAAGAUGAUAGAUAAGGGAUUUUGACUUACCCGAGAUUUUACAAAACAAAGAAUAUCAAUUAUGGGUGUGCCGACCAUGGGUGUGAGAAGAAGGAGAAGAAAACGAUGGUUAGGGUUAAGCAAUAAGAUCUUUUAUAUUAGUUAAUGUAUAUAUGGAAACAAUGGACUUUUCAUAAAUUGUUCCUACUCACUAUUUUAAAAAAAGGCCCAUUGAGUUAUAAAAUUUAAUUUUUUUAUUUCAUAUGGUGUCACUUCCAAAAAAUGACACCAUAAAUCUAAAAUUAGCAUCAUCUAACUACCCUAAUUGAAGAUUUUUUAUAUGAUGUGUCACCUUUAUAAAUUUUAAGCUCAAUGGUGUCAUUAUUUUAAAUGCGACACCAUAAAUAAUGACAUCAUAAAUUAUUUUUGUAGUAGUGGGUGGAAAGAAGCUUGGUCAUGCAAUCAGCAAGUUGAUCAUCAGAAGGUGUGAACUAGAGAGAGAGAGCGUUGAAGAACAUGUUCCCGGACAAAGUGGUAGUCGAUUUCCACAUGUUUGGUUUGGGCAUACAAAAUAGGAUUGGCAUUUAAGUAUGUUGCACUGAUAUGAUCACAAAGAAUGAGGGGAGGUGAUGGGAGUAAUGGAAAGUUCACAAAGAAGAGAUUCAGUCCAAGCAAUUUCCGCAACCCUAUUUGCUACCCCUCGGUACUCUGAUUCGAUGUUGGACCGGGAUACCACUUCUUGUUUGGAAGAUGACCAAGAAACCAUAUUUGAGCCAAGAAAAAGGUAGUAGCCACUAGUGCAACGCUUGUCAUCAGGGCAAGAGGCCCAAUUGGCAUCUGUAUAGCAAGUGAUGUUGAAGUCCAGUGAAGGCUGUAGGAAGAUACCAAAAUGAGAUAUGCCCUUUAAGUACCAGAGAAUACGUUUAACAACCUACCAAUGAACAUCAAAGGGAUGGUGCAUGAAUUGACACACUUUAUUUACUACAAAAGCUAUAUCUGGGCGUGUCAAGGUACAAUACUGAAGAGCACCAACAAAACUGCGAUAAUCUGAAUCAUUUUUAAGAGCCACACCAUCAUGAAGAGAGAGAUUUGUGUUGGAGGACAUAGGAGUGGGACAUGGCUUGGCAUCUAACAUAGCAGCUCGGGUAAAGAGAUCAAUGAUAUGCUUUGCUUGGCUGAGUUGAAUACCAGUAGGGGUGUGAUGAACCUCCAAGCCCAAAAAAUAGUUGUUUUUUAUAUGUUAGAAUUGCCUCGUUAAAAAACUUGCAAGUAAAACCCAAUAGGACAAAACCUAGAUGAAGGGAAAAAAGAGUACAAUACACUAACACCCUUUUAUAAACAUUCUCCUUCUCAUGUUGAUAUCCUUGAGUUUACACAUUCCAAUCUUCUGUAUUAACUUCUUAAAUGUUGAGGUUGGCAACGACUUUAUGAACAAAUCUACUAUAUUAUCACUUGAGUGUAUUUGUUGCACAUCAAUAUCACCACUCUUCUGGAGUUCAUGUGUAUAAAAGAAUUUUAGUGAAAUGUGUGUAGUUCUAUCUCAUUUAAUAUAACCCUUUGUUAUCUGUGUAAUGCAUGCAGCAUUAUCUUCAAAUAAUAUUGUUAAGUCACCUUUGAUAGAAAAGAGUCCACAUGAUUCCCGAAUAUUCUAGAUCAUAGAUCUUAGUCAUAUAUAUUCACAACUUGCUUCAUGAAUUGCCAGUAUUUCUGAAUGAUUUGAUGAUGUGGCCACCAUUGUUUGUUUGACAAAUCUCCAUGAAAUAGCAGUACCAUUACAAUUAAACACAUACCCUAUUUGUGACCUACCUUUAUGUGGAUCUAAAAGAUAUCCUGCAUCUGCAUAUCCAAGCAAUUGUUGUUUUGAUUUCCUUAAGUAAAAUAGACACAUAUCAGUAGUUCCGUAAAGAUAACGCAAUAUAUGUUUGAUGUCAUUCCAAUGUCUUCGAGUUGGAGCGGAACUGUAUUUUGCUAAUAAAUUGACAAAAAAAACAAUGUUUGGGCAUAUACAAUUGGCAAAAUACAUAAGUGCACCAAUAACACUAAGAUAUGGUACUUCAGGACUAAGUAAUUCUUCAUCUUUUUUGCAAUGAUGAAAUGGGUCCUUUUUCACAUCAAGAGAUCGGAUAACCAUUGGAGAACUUAAAAGAUGUGUUUUAUCCAUAUAAAAAUACUUCAAAACUUUCUUAAUGUAUGUUGAUCGAUGUACUAAAACUCCAUUUUGAAAAUGCUUGAUUUGGAAGCUAAGACAAAUUUUUGUUUUUCCAAGAUCUUUCAUCUCAAAUUCCUUUUCAAGUAAUUUUUAAUUUUGUGACCUUUUCAGGAGUUCCAACAAUAUUUAAGUCAUCAACAUACAUUGCAAUAAUUGCAAAUUCGGUUUUUGAUUUCUUAAUGAAGAUGCAUGGGCAUAUAAGGUUAUUCACAUGCCCUUAUUUUAGCAAGUAUUUGCUAAGGCGACUGUACCAUAUGCGUCCAGAUUGCUUUAAUCCAUACAAGGAUCGUUGUAACUUGAUUGAGUACAUGCUACAAGACGAUGUACUAUUUGCUUCAGGCAAUUUAAAUCCUUCAGGGAUUUUCAUGUAUAUCAUUAUCCAUGGAUUCGUAUAAAUAUGUUGCAAUAACAUCCAUGAGAUGCAUAUCUAGUCCUUUUGAGAUUAUCAAACUAAUUAAGAAAUGGAAUGUGAUUGUGUCCAUGAGGGGAGAGUAUGUUUCCUCGUAGUCAAUACCAGGUCUCUAUAAGAAACCCUGUGCUACUAAUCGUGCUUUAUAUCUUAUGAUCUCAUUAUUUUCAUUGUGUUUUUGUACAAAUACCCAUUUGUACCCAAUAGGCUUUACAUCUUCAAGUGUUUGGACUAUAGGUAAAAAAACUUCUCGUUUUGUUAAUGAGUUUAACUCUGCCUGCAUAGCUUCUUUCCAUUUUGGCCAAUCAUUUCUAUGUCAGCAUUCUUUCACAUUUUGUGGUUUGGGAUCUUCAUCAUUUCUUAUGAUAUCAAAGGCUACUUGGAAAGUGAAAAUAUUGUUAAUAACAAUAUUAUUUCAAUCCCAUUUUUCUCUCAUGUGUACAUAACUUACUGAGAUCUCACAAUUUUCAGGUACUUGUGUCUCUUUAGGGGUUUCUCAUUCAAUAUGUGCCUCUUCAGGGGCUUCUUAUUCAAUAUGUGUCUAUUUAGGGGCUUUCUGCAUUAUUUAUGCCUCUUUUGGGGCUAUAGAGUUAUCAAUUUUAAACUAAUCAGUCAUUUUGAUGGCCUUUUCUAGAGUGCUAAGUUUUUCUUGUAUUCUCAUCUUAUAGAGAGUCACAUCCUUUAAGUCGACAGGUCUACCACACUUCAGGUGUAUUUUAGAUUCAUUUAUUAAUUGUCCUGCAAGAAAUCAAUCCAUGUUGGAGUAACCAAGAUAUGUGACUUUGUCACUUUCUUUAUAUCAAUGAAUGCAUCUGGUAAUUGAUUUGCAAUAUUUUGAAAAUGAAUGAUCCUUUGAACUUCUAGUUCACAUUGAUUUGUACGAGGAUCAAGAUGGGUCAUAGUAGAUACCUUCCAGCUAAUUUCUCGUUGUUCUUUAGGAAUCGACUUUUCUCCCCCUAAUAACGGGAAAACACUCUCAUUAAAAUGACAAUUCGCAAAGCGGGUUGUAAAAACAUUUAUUGUCAAAGGUUCAAGAUAUCUUAUGAUAGAUGGAGAAUCAAAACCUACAUAAAUACCAAGUUUUCAUUGGGAACCCAUUUUAGUGCGUUGUGUAGGUGUAAUUGGUACUUAUACUGCACAACUAAAGAUUCGUAAGUGAAAGAUAUUUGGUUGUUUUCCAAGCACAAGUAGUGAAGGGGAGCAUUCAUGGUAAGUUGUAAGUUGAAUAAGGACUAAAGCUAUAGCAUGCAUAAUAGCAUGUUCCUAGGUGAAAGUAGGUAAUUUGGUUUUCAUUAGUAAUGGUCAAGCUAUUAAUUAGAGACCUUUGAUGAAGGAUUCUACUAAUCCAUUUUGGGUAUGAAUAUGAACAACAUGAUGCUUAAUAUUUAUCCCUACUGACAUACAAUAGUCAAUGAAUGUUUGUGAAAUAAAUUCGUCAACAUUAAUAUCAAGACGUAUUGUCUUAAUUGGAUAAUUUGGAAAUUGUGCUCGUAAUAUGAUCAUUUAUGCAAGGAGUCUAGCAAAGGUAACGUUAUGUGUAGAAAUGAGACAAAAAUAUGACCACCUAGUAGAAACAUCUAUUAAGAUCAUAAAAUAACAUAAUGGUCCACAUGGUGGAUAGAUAGACCCACAUAUGUCCCCAUGUAUUCUUUCUAAAAAUACUGGUGACUCGGAUAUGACUCUAGUAAAAGAUGGUCUGACUAUCAAUUUACAUUAUGAGCAGAUAGCACGUGAAUAUUCAUUGGGCAAAAGAAUCUUAUGGUUCUUUAGUGGAUGCUCAUGUGAGUGUUUGAUUAUUCGAUGCACCAUUGAAGACCCUGGGUGGCCUAGUCUAUCAUGCUAAAGGACAAAAACUUUUGGGUCGUUGAACUUUUGGUUUAUGACAACAUAUGAUUCAAUAGGCAUUAUAAUUGUAUGAUACAACCUAGAGGAGACAGCCAAGAGUUUUUCCAUUAUAAGCUUCUGGCUAGAUAUAAUGGAAGUAAUAUAAAGAUAUUUUACAUUAUCUUCAUUCAUAGUUUCAAUAUGAUAUCCAUUUCUGUAGAUAUCUUUAAAGUUGAGCAAAUUUCUUUUGGAUUUUUUAAAAUAUAAAGCGUCAUUUAUAUGGAAUCUAGUUCCAUUAGGUAGCAUUAUAUUUGUUCUUCUAGAGCCUUCAACUAAGUUUGUAAUACCAGAUAUGGUACUUACAUUAGCUUUUAUUAAUGUCAAUUAGAGGAAUAUUUUUUGUCUCGAAGAAUUGUGUGUGUGGUUGCAUAGUCUACAAGACAUACAUCAUCCUCAUUCAUCUUGAGACCAAAUAACACAUAGAUUUUAGAUAUAACUAAUAUUAAAAAAAAAACAGGGCAUAAUAUAAAUAACAAAAAAAAUCAGAUGUGAAUAUCAGACAUAAUAAUAUAUUAUUUGAUAUAUAAAGUAACAUCAAUCAAUGUUAAUAUUCUCAUCAUUUAUUAAACGGUCUGCUUUUUCACUAGGACCUCCAAAGAAAUCAAUGUCAUAGUAGGUUAGGUCCAAUCCAUCACCAUUGGCAAAGUUCAUCUCUAUCUCUUUUUCUUUUGCUUUUAUUAAUGCUUGGUAAAGGUCAACCAAAUGGUUGGGUAUACAACAGGUACGCGACCCAUGCCCCUUCAUACCAUAUCUAUAAUAAUUAUUUUCAUGGUUCUUAGGGGGUUUAUCUUGUAAACACUUCCCAUUUUCUUGUUUUGCCUCAGUAUUAUUCCACUUUUGGUGGUGCAAUGAGGCUUUCCUCUUAUGAGAAUUUGAUGAAUUGUUACCAUAAGAAGCAUGGUAUCAGGGAUUUUUUCCACGACCAUGUCCUCGUCCUCAUCCAUGUCCAUGAGUUUGGGACGAUAUUGCAUUCACUUUUGGGAAUGGUUCAGAUCCAGUUGGACGAGACUGGUUAUUUCUCAUCAACAGCUCAUUAUUUUGUUCAGCAACAAGAAAACAUGAUAUUAAUUCAGAAUAUUUUGUAAAUCCACACUCUCAAUAUUAAAAGUUUUUUCUAAUUCAGUUUUUUAUGCCCAAAUUUGUAUGUUCUGCUGGGAUUGCAGUUGAAGUUAUUGUCACCCCCAAAGCCAUACUUGGUGCGGUACCCUGGGUAGUCCAUAAAAUUAAAGGGCUCCUCUUCUAUAAGUCGAAGCCCAACUCUUGAGGCUAGAAAUUCCAAAUUCCACUCAUAAAAGAAGCCAUUGCUUUUGUUAGUAAUGUGGAUUUCUCCAUCUAUGUGAAUCAUCUUCUUAGCAUUUUCUAAAAACAGCUGUACCAGCAUUUGAUUUCGCCUGCAAGAAUUAACAAUGAUAUAGAAGGAAAAUUUUCAUGUAAGAAUUAGGAAUACAGGCUAUACAUAAAUUCGAUUGAAGAAGCUUUUCAAAGAAAGAAUCUACCAACCGGAUCUUAUCUUCCCUAGAUGCAUUGGGAAAAAAUCCAGCCAGCGGGAAGUUGUAGACAACUCGAUCAAAACGCAUGCAAUUGAAUGGGAAAACGUGUGCCAUUUUGGUGGCAUCAACAUCAUGCAUGACCUUAGCUCCCAAGCUCCGUAGUGAAUCGAUGUUGGACAAGGCAUGCCUAUAGUUUGUGCUCAAAAACUCUGAAAAUUGCAGUCAAUUAAGGCCAUAAGACAAACCCCAAAUGGGUGCUGGGGCACAUGCUAAUCAAGGUUUACUCGGGACUAGAAUGAGAAAAAUACCCAAAUCAACCAAAAUCAUGACAUUCAUGAGAAACACUCAAAGAAGAUUACCAACUUAUGAUUCAGGAUUUCUUAUUUGUUACCUAUAGAAUCAAGAGAAGUAGCGGUUAUGUUUGUAGCAGAAGCAAAAGCCACGGCCAAAGACGCAGAGAAUGAGAAGUCCCCUUCACCCACCAGCAAUAUUUUGUACUCACUGCUGUAGUGCUUUAUCCAUCUUACUCUAAGCUUUCCUUCCUCUAGGUCUUCUUCACAGCUGCUACAGUCCCACCAAUUUUUUCCUACCACUCCUCUGGUUCGUUCUUCGUUUUCUUCAAUUAUGUUGUAAUGGUGGAGCCGUGCAGAAACUUGCUUCUCAUCACCUACAACUUGGAUUUUAAAUUUUGAAGGAAUUAACAGAUCCAAUGCAUCAUCAGACCUGGAAUUGCUGCGUGGGUCCAAGCUCAGUGGAAAACCCAGAGAGUUUCGCUGCGAUGCACCAUUGAUGCCUGAGUUGCUGCUUGGGACAGAGCUCAGUGGAAGAGUCACUGGAUUUGACUGGAAAUGGGAUGCACCACUCACGCUAGAGUGGCUGCAGGAGCUAGAGAGUAGUGAAGGAUGAGUCUGUAUCUUUGGCUGAGCAUGAGAAGUACCACUUGGCCUGGAUAGGCCACACGAGUUGGAGGUGAGUGGCUGAGGAGUCUGCACUGGUUUUGGGUAAAAAUGGGUUGUGCUGGAUUGGCUGCAUGAGCUAGAACUUAGCUGUUGGUGAGUCUCUAGUUUUGGCUGGACAGGGGAUGAUACAGUCGCGAUAGAGAGGCCACCUGAGCUCAAGUUGAGUUGAUGAUGAGUCUGCACUGGUUUUGGGUAAAAAUGGGUUGUGCUGGAUUGGCUGCAUGAGCUAGAACUCAGUUGUUGGUGAGUCUCUAGUUUUGGCUGGACAGGGGAUGAUACAGUCGCGAUAGAGAGGCCACCUGAGCUCGAGUUGAGUUGAUGACGAGUCUGCAGUGUUGGCUGAAGACGUGAUGCACCACUUGUUUUGGAGUGGGUGAAUGGGUUAGAGCUAGAGCUAGAGUUAGAGCUAGAGCUCAGUGGAGGCGUAGGAUGAGUCCGUAGAUUUGUCUGCAAUGUGUAGUCCCUACAUGAUCCUAAACUCGGUGGAGAAGUAAUUGGAUUUGGUUGCAACGCAGGCCUUGAGCUUGAAGAGUUGGUGUCUGAGCCCAAUCUCGGUGGAGAAAUCAGGGGUAGUUUUUCACUUGGCUUCUUUUUAUCAUCUUUUUCACCCCACAACCAGCGAAUAAUAAUGGAGAGAAUUUGACCCAUUGAAUCACCUGUCCCCCUUCUUUUUCUUCUUUUUCUUCUUCUUCUUCUUCAUCUUCAUCUAGGAGCCUGUAAACAUAGAAAUGUCCCUUGUCAUGAAAACCAUGCGGGCGUGCACUGCAAUGUCAAUGGACUUGACACAGGUCCCACCAACAUUGCAUUAAAUUUUCCUUCUCGGACAAGUAAGAUAAGGAAUGCCUCUGCCACAUACUGUUGAGAAAUAUAAGAAGAUAUUACCCACAAAGCCUAUCAUGUUAACAUUCAAGUCAUCCCACAUCAUUUCAUAACAUAUUAAAUCAGGUAUCAUUUCACAUCAAAUCAUUGUAGCCUGCUUGACUACUCCAAUUCCCAAGCCUUUCUCCUCCUUUUUGAAUGUUGAUUACAUCAAUGUCUAGUUUCUAGUGAUGUAGGGUUGUGUGAGUCUUUAUCUGCCAUAUCAGACCGAGACAUUAAUAGUGGGAUUCUUUUUUUCUUUGCAAAUCAAUAUGACUCAAAUGCAACAUUCAUGUUGGAAUACAAAGGGAUUCAAAUUGCCAACAAAUGAACCAAAAAUCAUCUUCACAGCCAAAUCUACAACUACUAAACAUCUUUUCCCUCUAAAACUAGUAAAAUUUUCAUCCAGACAUGUUGAUUAACUAUAGAAGAACAGGCUUCUGCAUUCAUCCCCAUCUAAGUUCAGCAUUUUAGCAGAAACCCAAUAUGAAAAAACAGAAUGACAGAAAGGGUAAAAGGGCGCCAAUAUCAAUACCAUGCAUGCAGAUGAGCUUGUGGAUGAUGAGAGCUUUGUUGAGACCAGAGAUCAAAGCUCCCAAAUCAGAGUUUUCCCACCAAAGAUCGGACGAGAUCAAACACUAGUGAUGCUUGGCUUGCAGGAGAUCCAUCAG
rnacentral:lncRNA from 1 species